AAGGCGCUGUCCGGCCAGGCCGCGGCGGCGCGGCGCUCGACGAACGCGAAGAUGGGCUGGCAGAAGACCUGGUACGCGCCGACGAGGUGCACGACGAUGGCGACGUUUGCGACGUCGAGCAGCCAGAAGGGCUCGUAGAAGCCGAAACCUGUCAGGAGGUUGUCCGGCGCGGCGUCGCCGAACGCCGCGUACCCCAUGCACCCGCACAGCAUGUAGAAGAUGGUGGUCGUCGCCACGCUCAGACGCGUCGCCUUCUGCAUCACCUUCGACUCCGACGGCGGCGGCGCCUUGAUCGUGUCCUGUAAGAAGAAGAAACAGAGCAACGUUGAUUAUUAGGAACUGAGAUCUGAGAAGUUUCUUGGUGAAGGAAACAGAGCAGAGCUCUGUGUAGGUCUUGAUGCUUACUUGGAUCUCGAUGAGGAUGUUGGAGAAGGAGUAGGCGAAGGCGAUGUCGCCGAAGGCCUGCAGGCUGUGCCAGACCUUCUGUGUGGAGGUGACGCCGGCGCCGAUGCUGAUGCCGGUGAGGCUGCCCUUGAACCCACCAUUAGCUGUGCAAUAACAGUUGAAGCAACCGUUUAGUAAAGUAACUCAGCAUCGAACUGACACCAUGGAUUAAUAUUUCUUCACAAACAGGGAUUGGAGGACUCACAGAUGGUCUGUGCGAUGCCGAGGGAGAGUCCGAUGGAAGAAUAAGUGAAUGACAUGACGGCGGCGACGAUGGAGAGCCACGAAAUCUGAUCGAAGUCCGGUAUCUGCGAGAAGACGAUCUGGACGGCGCCAAAGACGACCAUGUACGGGAUGCUGGAGCUCUUGCAGGGAUCCUCAUGUCCAUGGGUGUGGAAGCAGCCAGCUCUCCUGAUGGCCUUCAUGCUGAUGGACGACGCGAUGGUGUAGCCAAUGGCGACGCCGACGAGGUUGGCGUACUGGAUGACGCCGCAGAGCGCGACCUUGGCGCCGCCGAGGUUGGAGCGGACGGCGUCCAUGUAGGUGUAGUUGCGCUUCCCCGUCUCCGGGUCGCCGGUGCGGUAGCACUCGGCGAGCAGCGUGGCGGUGUAGUAGGUGACGAAGGCGAAGAGGAGCAUGGCGGCGGGGCCGGCCACCCAGCCGAGCUGCGCGAUGGCCCAGGCGAGGGACAGCACGCCGGAGCCGAUGACGGCGGUGAUGAUGUGCGCGCUGGCCGUCCAGAACGUGCCGGCGCGGCGGGGACGGCCGUCGUCGUCCAGCCACGCCGCCUCCCCAGCGUUCCCGGCCUCCACCGUGACCUCCAUCGGCGCCACGCGGUUGGUGGUGCCUUCAUGUGCCGCCAUUGGAUCACUGGAGGUUGGCUAGCCAAGCUAGGCGGCGCUGCUCGUUGCUGCCGUGCCGGGCCGGGUGCUGGCCUGAUCGAGACGAGAGCGAUCGAGCUUGAGGAAGCGUGUGGUGGUGGUGCUUGGAACGGAGGGGAAGGAGGUGUCUAUAUAUAUAUAGGAGGCGUUCGAUCGGUCAGCGCUGGUGCCCACGUCGUGGGUUUCUUUUUGCAAAUCCACUGAUUUUUAGUUGAUCAUUUUCUAUGUUUCUCGUUGGAGUUUCGCGUUGCCUUUUUUGGAGUUUCGCUGGUGUGCUCGGGAAAUCAUGAACGACGGGAGCAAAAACAAGAACUUAUUUGUUUCAAAAAAGGGUGAUUAUAUUAUUUGUACCGGUUCGAGCGGCCAACUAAAGUUUCUCAAACUUUGACCACCGUCCUCCAACCGUACAUGAAGAGCGCAUGUACUAUGCAGCAGUUGUUCAGAAGUCAAUCAAAGGCGGCAAUUUUUCCUUUGUAUUUGGCUUCUUCAUUUUAUGGUCGUUUUGCACUGUACUACUUAAUUACAGGCACUUAGCUUAAUUAUGCAAAUAAUAAGCGCCUUCCAUCGGUUCAAGUAGCUAGUUGUUGAUAGCUAAAUAUGGGCUAAACAAAUUUACCCCAGAAUUUCCAGCACAAACAGGCAAGCUAUAUAAGACUUUGAGACUUCGUCAAAAUGAAUAAUGUGCUUCAUCAUUGUGUUCUACUCGUCGACACGAUAAAAAAACCAUAUAUGAAAUCAUCUAAUUUGUAGUUAGAUGAAUAAAAUAUAAUUUUGAAGAUCAUGUUGCUUGGCAUGUAUGUGAGGGACAGUGAUACUGUUUCCACCGAAUUUUUUAUCCCUGCCAAGUGAGUGUGACGACAGACGACGAUGCAUAUUCGUAACUGUCCUUACACAUAUCGCGGGCCCAUGUACCUGACUUCGCCAACUCUGUCGAUAGUCUAUGUACUUGUAUAUGUACAUGACUUUGCCAACUCUGAUGAUAGUCUUUGUACUUGUACCUAUACAAUUGACACAAACACAAAACCAAUAUACUCUACCUCUUUUUUUUUGCCAUAAUCUCUUCUAAUCUUCAUGUUGUUGUUCACUGUUUGAUCGAUCUGAUGACCAAGGAUGACAUCUUAGGUUUGCUGGCCGACUUAGAAUAACCUGUUGGUGUCCUUGCCCCGACACGGUGUCGGGCAAGAGCUUUGAUGAUUCUAUUGCAAGUUUAUCUGAAAACUAGCCGUACUUCCUCACGUAAGCACGGCAGUUACCCCUGCUUGUUUGUUUGUCAACACUUCAUUAUGGAAGCAUGAUAACUACUUCGUUGGGUGUUCCUAGCAAAACCGGAGAAAACAAACUAGGCCAAUUCUCGAAAUCGGCUAGGCCGGUUUUGGCAUAAUUGCAUCGUCUCGGUUUUUUUUUCAGUCCGAGUGGUGUUUGGCAGAUUUUUAUGUCAACACUAGUAUUAAUUACUAGGAGAAUACUCCGCGCGUUGCUGCGGGAGUUUCAGAUAGUUUAAAAAGAAAUUAGACUAUUUAUAUUUAUAGUUAUAUAAAUAAAUUUAUCUUAAAUUAAUUUUGUUGAAUAGUUUGACACAUCAAUAUGAACAACUAAAUGCAUGUUAGUAGAUGAAGAGAUGACUUAUCAUAAUUACAUGUGCUAGUUGGCUAUAAUUGCAAGUUUUAGUGGAUUGUUGAUGUGGAUAGUUUGUAUGUUGAGAAAAACCUCUAGUGGGGUUUAGCUUUAUAAGAAUAUAAGAUUUCCAUUACUCAUAGCACCUUAUGAUAAUUACUAGUAAGAUGUAGUUAUAACUAGAAAGCCUACAUAAAAUCUGUGCAGGAAUCGAUGGUGGCCGGUCACUCCAGCGGUCAACAGUUUCUGGACCGGCUAUCUGAUUUCUUGCCUGUGGUCUUAUGCUGUACCUGACGAAUGACGAGUGUAAGAGACGACGAUGCAUGUAGUCAACUGUCACCAUGUUUAGGGCUUGUUUAGAUGCAAAAACUUUUUGGAUUUUGACACUGUAGUAUUUUCGUUUUUAUUUGAUAAAUAUUGUCCAAUUAUGGAGUAACUAGGCUUAAAAGAUUCGUCUCGCGAUUUACAGACAAACUGUGUAAUUAGUUUUUAUUUUUAUCUAUAUUUAGUACUCCAUGCAUACGCUGCAAGAUUUGAUGUGAUGGGAAAUCUUUUAAAGUUUUGGGUUUUUAUGCAUUAAACAAGGCCUUAAGCUCCCAUGUUCGGCGUCGAUCUGUCCUAACGCAUAUCACGGCCCCACAUGGCGUCGAUCUGUCCUAACGCAUAUCACGGCCCCACAUGACUUUGCCAAAAACUCCGACGAUAGUCUUUGUAGCUAUACAUAUGAGUUGACCAAUAUGAUAUCUAUCGGUCAUAUUUUUCCUCUGGUGUGUUCACAUGCAUACUUGUAUAAGGCCUUGUUUAGUUUCUUGAAAAUUUUGCAAAAUUUUUCACAUUCUCCGUCACAUCGAAUCUUUAAACGCAUGCUGUAACACCCAAAAUUUGAUUUCGGAUUAAUAGGAUUUAAUUUGAUUUAAUUAAGUAUUUUUGAGAGCAUUUAAAUUUAGCACUUAAAUAAUUUUGUGGAAAAUAAAAUUUAUUAUAAGUUUAGAAACAUGAAUGUGCAUUCAUGCUGAGACAUAUUUUAUUUUGUGUUGAUAAGUAUUUGGUUUAUAUUUAAUUGUCCUCAAAAUCCUUUUUGAAAAAGGCUUUGAAAAAAAAAGAGAAUAAAACAAAACAGAAAAGGAAAUUGGAAAUAGGAAAAAAAAGAGAAAGGAAGCCUCCCAGGCUGCAGCCCGAGCAUCCCCCUUCCCCCUCGCCUCGGCCCAGUGCGGCCCAGGAAGCCCGCGCGCCGAUUUUCCCCUCUCUUCUCUCUGGCCGACAGCCGGGCCCCGCCCUCUCUUUCGCUGACCUCCGGGGCCCGCGUGUCAGCGCGUCACCAUCCCCUUCCUCGAGUCUGAGCAGGACCCGAUUCCAUGCCGAGCUCGAUCCCAGGAAAUCCGCGAUUUGUUGUCAACUGCGCAAACCGAGACCCUAUAAAGCCUGGUGCUCGCCCCCGCGACCCCCUCUUUGCUUCUAGUUGCCAAACCGUGCCCUAGCCGCUGUUUUUCUUGUGCUUUGGAUCUCGCCGAGGCGAGCUCUCCUUCCUUGCCGCGAAACCAAGGCCUGCUUGUUUCUCGGCUAGAGUAGACCGUCUAGGUGAGUUCGCGAAGUGAUUCUCCAACUCUCGGUGCUUUUCUUUCUAGAAACGGCGCUCGGAAACGGGAAGCCGGACGACGCCGGCGAGCUUCCGGACGGUGGCCAUGGCGCCACCGAGCGACCUCCGGCCGGACGACGACCCUGCGUUCCGAAGGGCUGUUAGCCAUCCAACCGAAGGCCUGCUAGCCAUCCAACCGACGAUCAACGGCCGAGAUUAGAACUUACCUGUUCGCAGUGAAUCUUCAUAAAGAGUCCCCGGAAAGAUUUGUUAUUUACCCCGCGGUCCCUGGCGUCCUGGAACAGAUUACGUUUCGUUGUGUUGAAAGCGUAUUUACGUUCGGUUACGGCCAAAUACGCUUUCGGUUAUUUACAGCUUUGCCAUCAAUUUUAUAAUGCUCAUAAAAUAUUUAUCUUAACUCCGUUUUUGUCCAUCCAAAUUUCGUUAGAUUCGUUUCAACGAGCUCUACAUGUUAGAAAUAUUAGUUUACUGUUUUGAAACUUUUUAAUUCUGCAGUAGCAUUUAAUUAAUUAUUACUCUAUAGGAAAUCUUAGAAAAUUCAUAUCUUACUCGUUUUAAUUCCGAUUUUCGUGAACUUUACGUUUGUGUGAUCGUAGCGCUGCGUAGAAUAUUUUGAUAAACUUUUAUAUUUGUUUUACCACUGUUUGGUGUAAUGUUCUAAUUAUACCUUGUUUGCUUUGUGUAUGAUUGUCUCCAUUGGAUUGCGUGUUGUUGAUUGAUGUUUGGGAAUAGACGGUGAGCUGUACGUUGGUGAUCAAGACCAAGCUUUUGAAGACCAGCGGGCUCAGGAGAGCUUUGGUCAAGGCAAGUAUAACUUGGGAUCAUCCUUGUUACCUAUUCACUAUUAACUACAUAUAUAUAUAUAUAUAUCAUAUGCAUGCUAUCACCUUGUCGACCUUAGCAAAAUCAUAGAUGAUUGUUACCUGUAUUCCUUGCUACCUACUUGAAGUGCAUUUGUUGUAGAUGUGCUAGUGCUUGAUAUAAUCCAUGAUCUUGUAAGAUGAUUAAUAGCUAUGCCAUGAACAUAAAAGAAUGACACAUAUAACUGUAUGAGAUCUUGUCUGUAAGUGAUCACCGGGACAACAGUGCAACCAUGAGGGCUAUAAUGGCUCUGGCUUUAGCUCAGUAUGAAGCACUUUUCUAGCUGGUUAGAGGUUACCCGAAAGGGCGGAGGGGCUGAACCGUUUUGGGUAUAGUGUGGCCUCUGUCUGUAUGAGUAUAGGCUGCGAGUCAUUGUGCCAUCGGAAGGGGGGCUCUAUAUCUGCGCGCAAAGGAAACCUUGCGGCCCUAACUUGUUAGACGAACUUUUGAAAGGCUUCAUAGUGAUCCCUGCCGACCUCCCUAGGAAGGGGGUUAAGAGAUUAGCUACCUCGGGCGAAAGGGUAAAUCAUGACUCAUGGGUAAAGAUGUACAACCUCUGCAGAGUGUAAAACUGGUAUACUAGCCGUGCUCACGGUUAUGAGCGGCCUUGGGGGUUCUUGCUGCGCCGACAAUGAGCUUAUCAAGUUGUUAUGUUAAUUUGAUUAUCGUUUAUGCUAUGAGAUUAAUUAUGCUUACACUUGAUCAUGUGAUUAGUGGAUUAUCUAUGCUACCUUGGCAUUUGCUAUUUAAUUAUGAAUAUGCUAUCCACUAUUAAAAGCUAAAUGCAGUCAAACCAGUGUCAGCUAUUUGAGCCUCAUGAACCCCUGGUUAUACUUGUUGAGUACGAUAUGUGCUCACUCUUGCAAUUUCCCAACACCUCAGGUUAUGAUAAUGAAGAUGACUGGGAUGAGGAUUAUCGUUAUGAGUACUAGGUUUGGAGUCAACCAGUCAACAGUGUCCCUGUGUGGAGCUUCCGUCGAGAGCGUUGUUUACUUUAUGCUAUCAUUUUUGUAUGAGACUAUGUGAUUCAAUAUAUAUUCCGCUAUGUAAUAAACACUGCAAUGGUACAUUUGAGAUUUGUCUACUUAUGUGUGCGACUAUUCCUGGGGCACAUAUGAGUCUUUUAUGCAUCCUAUUUUGUUCUUAAAAUAUGGGUGUGACAAAUUGGUAUCGGAGCUUUGUUGACUGUCGGACGCAAGCCUAGUUAGAAAUUGGCCGUCAUAAGGUUUUGAAAUUGCUAUAAAAUCCUUGUUCUAUAAACCUUGAUAUUUUCUUCUACAUUAUAUCCUAUUCAUCUUCACCUUGUUGCUUAUCUUAAAGACUUGUUCUCAUCCCCACUCCUUGCUUUGAAUAUGCUUUUAGAACCUUCUCUUACCACCUGCUUACAUAGUUGAAAGAGAAUUUUAGGAAUCUUUGCCCUUAAUAGGAAGAGAACGAUAGUACCGCAAGUUGAGUUAAUGCUUGAAAUGUGAACCUUUGAUGCUUGGUUUGGUUUGUUAUUAUGCUUAUGCUUGAUUUGGAUCUUUGUAAUGAGUGCAAUGAUCUUGUGGAUUUCCUCUACAAUUUCAUUUAGUUUAUAGGCUUAAGGCAUAAGGAUUAAUGAACUAAAUAGUUGGGGUUGGUUAAAAUUCUGUUUCUGUCCUUUGCUGUUUUAUGGAGCAGUCUGCAAUGAAUCUGGUACAUCUCAAAAUCUGUUCAUGCAAUGUCCAUCAAAUUUUUCUGGGAACAAGUAGACUUCCAUAUCUUUCCAAUGCCGCAAGAAUGACCAUAUCAUCGAUUAUGAGCUGAGAGUUAUGACUGUUUCAAGUUGAGGUUUCUGCGCAGUCUGGAAUUCUGGAACAGUUUCGGUUGUACCCAGUUUUUGGUUAACCUCACGUUGGAAUCUGGUAAUAUGAUCUAAAUGAAAGUUGUAGACAAUUUCUUUAUAUUUCCAACGGUGUACAGCAUGUAUCCUUUUGAAUUCUGGAACUCGAGAUAUUACUGAUUUUCUGAUCUGCUGAUGUUGGAUGUUACCCAGAAAAUUUCAGAUUCGGUUAACUCUUGUAAUUGUCAUGUUGGACAUUACUAAGAUGUGUUUAUAUACCUUGGAAUGCAGAUGGCAGCAAGGGGAAGAGGCAGAGGCAGAGGCCGUGGCAAUAGUGACAAUGCCCCAAUUACUGUGGAGGAACUUAUGCAAACUCAGAAUCAGAUGAUGCACGUCUUCAUGCAACACCUACAACAACAACCUCCACCAACACCACCACCUGUUCAUGUGGGAGAUAAGCGGGGGAAUUCAUGAAGGGAAGACCUCCGGUAUUUACACACUCAGCGGAUCCCAUGGAGGCAGAUGAUUGGUUACGUGCUGUGGAGAGGCAACUAAACAUAGCACAGUGCAAUGACUUAGAGAAGGUGUUGUAUGCUUCUGGACAACUUCAGGGAGCAGCUCAGACCUGGUGGGAGUCAUAUCAAGCUGCUCAUCCCAACAAUGCUCCUCCUGUCACUUGGUUAGAAUUUUGCAGAGACUUCCGAGCACGACACAUCAAUGAAGGAAUGAUGGAGCUCAAGCAGGAAGAAUUCAGAUCUCUUAGGAUGGGUUCUAUGUCUGUGGCUGAGUAUCAUGACAUGUUUGAGCAGUUGGCUCGCUAUGCUCCAAACGAAGUCAGAGAAGAUGCUGACAAACAACGUCUCUUCAUGAAAGGUCUUUACUAUGAACUCAGAUUGCAACUGGCUGGAAAUACCUACCCUACAUUCCAGGCUCUGGUGAACCGUGCCAUUGUGUUGGAUAACAUGCGCAAAGGUCAGGAUAAGAAGAGGAGGAUGCUAGCACAAGGGUCUGGAGGCAACAACCGCCAACGUUUCAAUUCUCAGCAGAGCAAUCAACAGAGGUUCCAGGGACCAGUUAGUCAAUGGGAUCGCAACCAACAAUCUCAGCGUAAUCCUAAUCAUCAACAAAGUGGACAGCAGACUUCCCGCUCCGGAGAUUCAAAUGCCACCUCUAUGAAGAGAAGUGCUCCCAAUACCCCUACUAGGUGUUUUCGCUGUGGGAAAGAAGGUCAUAUGUCAUAUGAUUGCCCGGAGAGAUUCAACCAGCGGAACAACAAUCAAAAGUCUAAUUCUCAUGGAGCAAAGGUGAACCAUGUGGCUGCAGAGACAGUACAAGAGGGACCGGAGAUUAUGAUGGGUACGUUCAGUAUCAACUCUAUUCCCGCUACAGUUUUAUUUGAUUCUGGAGCUUCGCAUACAUUCAUAUCACAAGCAUUUGUUAGAGCUCAUAGCAUACCACUAGUUGCCCUGAAAACCCAUAUGCUAGUAAACUCACCGGGAGGGACUAUACCAGUUUCAUAUUGUUGCCCCUCAGCAAGUCUUUCUUUAAGGGGGGUAGAUUUCCCUGUUAGUCCCAUGGUUAUGAGAACCUCAGGCAUAGAUGUGAUAUUGGGUUUGGAUUGGAUGAAGAAAUAUGCUACGGAAAUUAAGUGCAAGGAGAAAGUAGUAGUUGUGACCACACCCAAGGGAGAGAGAAUCAGUGUGGACGUAGCAGUACAAGCUCCACCCACAGCCACAGUGAAUCAUUUAGAGGAUGAUGGUGUUGAUCUUCAGGACUGUGUAGGGAAUAAAUUUUCAGAUAAGUUACGAGGUAUGUUACCUGGUUAGAGACAUUGAAGUUGCUAGUACAAUGGAAUUGGUAUUUAGAGACACAAGCAACUUGAAAAAAAAGAGAGAAUGUUUGGAGGACAUAUCCACAGUGGUUUGUUUAUGCACUGCUCAAUCUCGAGGACGAGAUUCUUUUAAGGGGGGUAGAAUUUGUAACACCCAAAAUUUGAUUUCGGAUUAAUAGGAUUUAAUUUGAUUUAAUUAAGUAUUUUUGAGAGCAUUUAAAUUUAGCACUUAAAUAAUUUUGUGGAAAAUAAAAUUUAUUAUAAGUUUAGAAACAUGAAUGUGCAUUCAUGCUGAGACAUAUUUUAUUUUGUGUUGAUAAGUAUUUGGUUUAUAUUUAAUUGUCCUCAAAAUCCUUUUUGAAAAAGGCUUUGAAAAAAAAAGAGAAUAAAACAAAACAGAAAAGGAAAUUGGAAAUAGGAAAAAAAAAAGAGAAAGGAAGCCUCCCAGGCUGCAGCCCGAGCAUCCCCCUUCCCCCUCGCCUCGGCCCAGUGCGGCCCAGGAAGCCCGCGCGCCGAUUUUCCCCUCUCUUCUCUCUGGCCGACAGCCGGGCCCCGCCCUCUCUUUCGCUGACCUCCGGGGCCCGCGUGUCAGCGCGUCACCAUCCCCUUCCUCGAGUCUGAGCAGGACCCGAUUCCAUGCCGAGCUCGAUCCCAGGAAAUCCGCGAUUUGUUGUCAACUGCGCAAACCGAGACCCUAUAAAGCCUGGUGCUCGCCCCCGCGACCCCCUCUUUGCUUCUAGUUGCCAAACCGUGCCCUAGCCGCUGUUUUUCUUGUGCUUUGGAUCUCGCCGAGGCGAGCUCUCCUUCCUUGCCGCGAAACCAAGGCCUGCUUGUUUCUCGGCUAGAGUAGACCGUCUAGGUGAGUUCGCGAAGUGAUUCUCCAACUCUCGGUGCUUUUCUUUCUAGAAACGGCGCUCGGAAACGGGAAGCCGGACGACGCCGGCGAGCUUCCGGACGGUGGCCAUGGCGCCACCGAGCGACCUCCGGCCGGACGACGACCCUGCGUUCCGAAGGGCUGUUAGCCAUCCAACCGAAGGCCUGCUAGCCAUCCAACCGACGAUCAACGGCCGAGAUUAGAACUUACCUGUUCGCAGUGAAUCUUCAUAAAGAGUCCCCGGAAAGAUUUGUUAUUUACCCCGCGGUCCCUGGCGUCCUGGAACAGAUUACGUUUCGUUGUGUUGAAAGCGUAUUUACGUUCGGUUACGGCCAAAUACGCUUUCGGUUAUUUACAGCUUUGCCAUCAAUUUUAUAAUGCUCAUAAAAUAUUUAUCUUAACUCCGUUUUUGUCCAUCCAAAUUUCGUUAGAUUCGUUUCAACGAGCUCUACAUGUUAGAAAUAUUAGUUUACUGUUUUGAAACUUUUUAAUUCUGCAGUAGCAUUUAAUUAAUUAUUACUCUAUAGGAAAUCUUAGAAAAUUCAUAUCUUACUCGUUUUAAUUCCGAUUUUCGUGAACUUUACGUUUGUGUGAUCGUAGCGCUGCGUAGAAUAUUUUGAUAAACUUUUAUAUUUGUUUUACCACUGUUUGGUGUAAUGUUCUAAUUAUACCUUGUUUGCUUUGUGUAUGAUUGUCUCCAUUGGAUUGCGUGUUGUUGAUUGAUGUUUGGGAAUAGACGGUGAGCUGUACGUUGGUGAUCAAGACCAAGCUUUUGAAGACCAGCGGGCUCAGGAGAGCUUUGGUCAAGGCAAGUAUAACUUGGGAUCAUCCUUGUUACCUAUUCACUAUUAACUACAUAUAUAUAUAUAUAUCAUAUGCAUGCUAUCACCUUGUCGACCUUAGCAAAAUCAUAGAUGAUUGUUACCUGUAUUCCUUGCUACCUACUUGAAGUGCAUUUGUUGUAGAUGUGCUAGUGCUUGAUAUAAUCCAUGAUCUUGUAAGAUGAUUAAUAGCUAUGCCAUGAACAUAAAAGAAUGACACAUAUAACUGUAUGAGAUCUUGUCUGUAAGUGAUCACCGGGACAACAGUGCAACCAUGAGGGCUAUAAUGGCUCUGGCUUUAGCUCAGUAUGAAGCACUUUUCUAGCUGGUUAGAGGUUACCCGAAAGGGCGGAGGGGCUGAACCGUUUUGGGUAUAGUGUGGCCUCUGUCUGUAUGAGUAUAGGCUGCGAGUCAUUGUGCCAUCGGAAGGGGGGCUCUAUAUCUGCGCGCAAAGGAAACCUUGCGGCCCUAACUUGUUAGACGAACUUUUGAAAGGCUUCAUAGUGAUCCCUGCCGACCUCCCUAGGAAGGGGGUUAAGAGAUUAGCUACCUCGGGCGAAAGGGUAAAUCAUGACUCAUGGGUAAAGAUGUACAACCUCUGCAGAGUGUAAAACUGGUAUACUAGCCGUGCUCACGGUUAUGAGCGGCCUUGGGGGUUCUUGCUGCGCCGACAAUGAGCUUAUCAAGUUGUUAUGUUAAUUUGAUUAUCGUUUAUGCUAUGAGAUUAAUUAUGCUUACACUUGAUCAUGUGAUUAGUGGAUUAUCUAUGCUACCUUGGCAUUUGCUAUUUAAUUAUGAAUAUGCUAUCCACUAUUAAAAGCUAAAUGCAGUCAAACCAGUGUCAGCUAUUUGAGCCUCAUGAACCCCUGGUUAUACUUGUUGAGUACGAUAUGUGCUCACUCUUGCAAUUUCCCAACACCUCAGGUUAUGAUAAUGAAGAUGACUGGGAUGAGGAUUAUCGUUAUGAGUACUAGGUUUGGAGUCAACCAGUCAACAGUGUCCCUGUGUGGAGCUUCCGUCGAGAGCGUUGUUUACUUUAUGCUAUCAUUUUUGUAUGAGACUAUGUGAUUCAAUAUAUAUUCCGCUAUGUAAUAAACACUGCAAUGGUACAUUUGAGAUUUGUCUACUUAUGUGUGCGACUAUUCCUGGGGCACAUAUGAGUCUUUUAUGCAUCCUAUUUUGUUCUUAAAAUAUGGGUGUGACACAUGCAUGAAGUAUUAAAUAUAGACGAAAAUAAAAACUAAUUGUACAGUUUGGUCGGAAUUGACGAGACGAAUCUUUUGAGCCUGGUUAGUCCAUAAUUGGACAAUAUUUGUCAAAUACAAACGAAAGUGCUACAGUGUCGAUUUCCUAAAAUUUUUCGGAACUAAACAAGGUCUAAGGCCUUGUUUAGUUCGUAAAAUUUUUCAAGAUUCCCCGUCACAUCGAAUUUUUAGUCAAAUGCAUAGAGCAUUAAAUAUAGACAAAAAUAAAAAUAAAUUACGCAGUUUAUCUGUAAUUUGUGAGAUGAAUCUUUUGAGCCUAGUUACUCCUUAAUUGGACAAAGUUUGUCAAAUAAAAAUAAAAGUGCUACAGUAGACAAAACACAAAAUUUUUAAGAACUAAACAAGGCCUAAGUGUAACAAAUCAUCAUCUAGUGACAAAGCUAGAGUAAAUUUGAGAGGUACACAUGCCAUAUAGAGAUAUAUAUCUUAAAUGUGUAUAUAUAGAGAAAUUUUAAUCAAAUUUAAUUUUUUUCUUGGUGUGUGUGUGCGCCGGGGGGGGGGGGGGUGGGCAGGUGGUGGGAGGUGUGCGUUGCUUUUGCACCGACUAGCCAGAACUUAGUUUCGCCCUAAUGGUCACCUACAUAUGAAGAUUUGAUAGGUUCUUUCAUAAUUAAUAACGAACUGUAGAAGGUUAAACUAACCAAAUUGUAUGUAAGAACAAAUAUUGGUGCCCGCACUGUAUAAAACAACUAUAGCAAAGCUAUAAUGGCCGAUAUAGCUCUCACAAGUAGUAUGCUUAUAUUGCAUUGAACUGCUAUGCUUAUAUUGCAUUGAACUCUUGCAACGAGUCAUUAAUCUAGUGUUCAUGUAAAAAACAAAAGGCCUCACUUCUUUUUUAGAUAAUGGAUAUAAAAUCCGGCCUCUACAUCCGAGGAUGUACACAACCCAAAAUUACAGAGUUUUAAAUGAGAUAAACAAAGAGAGCCAAAGUCCUAUACAUGGACCGGGACCCUAGUUUAAACAAUAUAAAUGUUUCCAUUCUUUAUUGGAUAUCUCUAAAGCAAUUACUUCUAAUUUCUUGCUUAUCUUCGAGAGCACGUCCUUGGCUGUCUCAUCAUGCUGCAGCUGAGCCCAAAAGCAUAACCAGUACGCUCUCCAGAAAAUUACCUGCAUAAUAGAGUUAGUUUUCACUUUAUUAAAAACAUAAUCAUUGCGGCAUCUCCAGAUAGCCCAAAGCAAAGCAGCCACCCCCAUCCAAAUCAAAUCUCUAAUCUUUUUAUUUUGAUUAGAUAGCCAAGUACCAAACAUGUGGCUGAUUGAUCUAGGUUGGGUCAAACUAGUAGCAAAGAAGAUAAGCGUCCAAAUCAUUUUGGUAAAGGGACGGUCUAGGAAUAAAUGCUGAAUAGUUUCAUUCCCAUUACAGCAAAUGCACUUCUGACUCCCUUUCCAAUUUUUUCUAGCAAGGUUGUCUUUGGUUAGGAUGACACCCCUUUGCAGGAACCAAAGAAAAAUUUUAAUUUUUAGAGGUACCUUUAUCUUCCAGAUGUUCCUAUGCCGAAAGGGUGUAUGUGUAUCUAUAAGAUUGAGAUACAAGGAACGGACAGAGAAUAACCCUGAUCUGGUUAAACUCCAUCUGAAAUAAUCUGAACCAUCCACCAAUUCGACAUGGGAUAUCUUUGCCACUAGACUAAGCCAUUCUGUAAGUUUAUUAUCCACCAAGGCCCUCCUAAAAGAUUGUUCAGAGGAUUCGUACUCAUAACUUUCGAGACUGUGGCGUGAGGAUCUCUCACUAUGUUAUAUAAAUAUGGAUAACUAGCUUUCAGAGGCUUAUCCCCUACCCAUGUACCAUACCAAAACCUAGCUGCGGUUCCAUCUUUAAUAUGAAAGGAACCUUUUGCCAACACCUCAUCUUUGAUACGCAUGAGGCCUCUCCAAAAAUGGGAGUCAUUGGGCUUAGCUGUCACCUGGGAUAGGCUUUUGGAGUUUAGGUAUUUAUUCCUUAAAAGCGUUUGCCAAAUACCUUCUGUAUUCAAGAGAUUAACCAGCCAUUUGGCUAGGAGGCACUUGUUUUGCAAUUGUAAAUUUAGGAUACCUAAUCCUCCUUGAUCCUUAGGGCGGCACAGGAUGUCCCAUUUGGCAAGGCGAUAUUUAUGUUUAUCUGAGGAUCCUUGCCAAAAGAACCUUGAUCUAUAAUGAUCUAGGUUCUUUAAUACUCCCUUGGGGAUCUCAAAGAAAGACAUCAUAAACAUAGGCAGGCUGCUUAGGACUGAAUUAAGCAGUACUAGUCUUCCCCCAUAAGACAGGUACUUCGCUUUCCAACAAGAGAGUUUCUGUUCGAAACGAUCUUCUACUUUUCUCCAUUCAGAAUUAAGGAGUUGUCUAUGAUGCAUAGGGAUCCCAAGAUAUCGGAAGGGAUAUACACCAGUAUUGCAUCCAAAGAGACUAGUAUAAAAGGAUUCCAUCUCUUUAGCAGCUCCAUAGCAGAAGACUUCUCUCUUGUGGAAAUUGAUCUUCAGCCCUGAUAGCUGUUCAAAAGCACAAAGCAACAGUUUCAAAUUCUGUGCUUGUUCGGGGUUGUGAUCAAUAAAGAUAAUGGUGUCAUCCGCAUACUGUAAUAUGGACAGACCAUCAUCUAUAAGGUGGGGUAUAACACCUCUUAUCUGACUGUCGGCUUUUGCUCUGUUAAUAAGGAGGGCUAGCAUAUCUGCGACGAUGUUGAAUAAGAUUGGUGACAUUGGAUCUCCCUGUCUGAGUCCACGUUUGGUCUGGAAGUAGGGCCCUAUGUCAUCAUUGACUUUGAUUCCCACACUCCCACCUGUGACCAUAGUUUCUACCCAUCGACACCAUUUGGGAGAAACCUUUCAUACGUAGCGUUUGUUGCAGAAAAGACCACUUCACUUUGUCGUAUGCCUUUUCAAAAUCAAUUUUAAAAAUGACACCGUCUCUCUUUUUUGUGUGAAGCUCAUGGAUGGUUUCGUGUAAGAUGACGACCCCCUCCAUUAUAUUUCUGCCUGGCAUAAAGGCAGUUUGUGUUGGUCUCACUACAGUUUUAGCCACCAUAUUAAGCCUAUUCGUGCCCACUUUAGUGAAUAUUUUAAAGCUCACAUUAAGAACACAAAUUGGCCUGUAUUGCUGAAUUUUUAUGGCAUUAUUAACUUUUGGGAUUAAGGUAAUAAUACCAAAAUUCAGACUGUAUAGGUCAAGAGUCUCCCUAUGCAGCUCAAUGAAUAAGGGAAGGAGAUCAUCCUUUAUCACUCCCCAAAACACCUGAUAGAAUUCCAUCGGAAAACCAUCUGGUCCUGGAGCUUUAUUAUGCUCCAUUUGGAAGACCGCAUCCCUCACUUCAGAUUCAGUGAAAGGGCUAAUGAGGAUGUCAUUUUCCUCUGGAGAUACCUGUGGAAUAUCCAGGAUUUGGUCUUCCCUAAGGGAAAUCUCUAGACUCUCCGGCUGUCCAAAGAGUUCUUUAUAGUAAGUCGUAAUAUGUCUUUUGAGAUUAUCAUCUCCUAUCACAGCACCUUGAUCAUUCUCAAGUUUAUAGAUAUGCUGCUUAUGAUGUUUCCCGUUGGCCACUAAAUGAAAGAACCGAGUGUUAGCAUCCCCUUCCAAUAGGGUUUUAACUUUGGCUCUCUGGUACCAUUUCAGUUCCUCCUCUCUUAGAAGGUUAACCAAACGCUCUUUUAGAUAAUGCUUCAGAUUGAUCUCUUGAUCAGAUAAAGGAGAGAUCUCAGCUUUCUUAUCAAUUUUUUCUAAAAGAGCUAACAACGUCUUUUUUCUUUGCGAUAUGACCCUGCUGUGUGUUUUGCCCAUCCCCUUAGAUAUUGACGGAGUCUACGAAUUUUAAACUGCCACCGUUCAAGGAGAGUUGACCCGGAGCAUGAAGAUUGCCAAAUAUUUGCAACCAUAUCAUAAAAUCCAUCUCUUAUCAACCAUCCUCUCUCAAAUUUGAAAGGACUAUUGUGGGCCUGGUGGGUCGAAGCGCCUGUUUAUAAACCAGGGGGUUAUGGUCUGAAAUAUUACCAUCCCUUGGUUCUACUUUGGUUAAAGGAAACAUGAUUUCCAUUUCUGUGGUAACUAGGACUCUAUCCAACUUUUCAAAUAUUGGAUUAUCCCCUGGGCCAGUCCAUGUGUAUUGGCGGCCAUUCAUAGUAAUCUCUUUAAGAUCUAGAGAUUCAAUAAUAGCAUUAAAAAGAUUUGGCCAUUUAGGGUCAAAGUCACCACUACUUUUAUCUUCUGGGCAACACAUUAUAUUAAAAUCUCCUCCUAUGAUAUAUGGGAGUGUUUCUUUGGAACACGUAUUGGCUAUUUCUACUAAGAAAGCACGCUUAUUCUGUAGUUGUGCUGGUCCAUAGACCGCAAAUAACACAAACUUGAAGUCAUUUGAUUUGACUCUAAGGGUGAACUUUACAUAGAUGUCUCCCUCUACGAUUGCUCCAAUGUCAAAAACAUUCAAAUCCACACCUAGCAGGAUACCUCCAGACCUUCCAUGGGGUGCCAUAGUGUGCCAAAGGAAAUCAUGUCCUCCACAAAGAUUUUUGAGAACAUGAUCCGGGAAUGAGUCCCUACCUGUUUCCGAAAGAGCAAUAAAAUUAAUCUGCUCUUCCUUAACUAGUUUAGCCAAAAACCUAUGCUUAGCCAAGUCUCCAAGACCUCUACUAUUCCAAAAAACACCCUUCAUUUGAUAAUUAUUUUGGAGGGUGUUUUUGGUUUUUUAGGAAGUUUGCCCUUCAUGAUAUUCUUGGCAUUAUUGUAUUUUUUCUUCCUUCGGAGUGGAGAGAGGUCUAUUAUUUGAUCACUCUCCUCCUCCAGCAGAUUCUCAUUUAAAUUACCACAGUUGUGGCUGAGGAUCACAUCAAUCUGGCUCUCCCGCUCAUCAUCACUCUCAAGAUUGGAGAGUGUAGAUUUGGUUGAGCCCUUUUUUCCAUUGGCACAUAAAACCAACCUAUCUACCUCUAAGUUUUUAAUAGAAACUACAGCUGAGGUACCUAGGUUGAUGCCUAUCCUACCAAGGUUUGCAAGAACUUUAGAAUCUGGAAAGCUAGUGAAAGAAUUACCUAGAAAUUCAAGGUUCUUUUUCGCUGUCAUCCGUUCAACCAUAUGUAGGGUGUGGACGUCUGCGGUUGCCGCGUUCCUGUUGCUACGACGCAACACUUUGAUGGGUGCCGUCGUACCCGUAGGUGGUAACUCUCCCACUGCCAGAGUGGUUGUGUCCACAGGAAUGAUCACCUCCUCUGUGUAGGUCGCAGUAGGUGUCGUAGGUGGUAUAGCUUGCUCCUCAGAUGCUCCUUCCCCCACCCCGGCCAUGGAAGGUGCGGCCAGCAGCAGGGGAGCUGCUGGUAGGGUAGUCGCAGAGCUAGCCUGGGGGGUAGGUGCUGGUGAAGAUCCCCCCGAGCCAGCCGGUGCCACUGUGUCCUCGACAAAGUCACCCACCGUCAUGGGUGGGCUACGCUGGCGGCUCAAGUCCACCUCCUCCAGGUUGUCGUCGUGAUCCUGUGUAGUGGCUGGCGCCAGGGAGCGGCUGAGGGUGGCGUCAUAGCCCUCGCCAGCAACCGGCUCGGUCCCAAGUAGCGCCAGAGGUGGCGCGGUGGAGUCAGGGAGGAGGCAUAGGGGUUCGGUUGCAGUAGCAACCCCUACGCCUACCUCGCCAAUACGCUUGUCAGCCGCUGUAGAAGCGAGUCCCACCGUCAUCGGAUCCACCGUCGGGCUAGGAUGGCCCAACAGUGAAUCUCCCAAGCCGCAUUUCAGCGCAAGAAAGGGGGUAGUGGGCGAUGUAGAGCCCCCCAACUUGACAUCCUCGGUCGACGACAAGAAAACAGAAGAAGGGAAAACAUAAUUAGGAUCAGCAAACUCAUCAUCAGCCGCUGGAAUAUUCCUUGUAUCAGCUUUUAAUAAUUAGGAUCAGCAAACGUGUGAUCUUUUUGUCACCGCUUUUGAUAAUCAAUUAAUGAUCAAAUAUCUUAGUCUAUACAUAAUUAGCUUAGGAUUUUUUUUUCUUCUGAGCAAACAACACGAGAGGUGUGUUAGGUGUGUUUCCAUCGAUAUAGAAGACACAAAAUACAAAAUUAUAAUCCUAGAAGACGAACAACCAAAAAAGGAAAAAAAAGAAACAAACAACUAACAACACACCAUGCAUGUGCAGGCAACUACAUUACACACGAGGCCCCCGCAUUUCCAACAAUGCCAAGGCCUUGUUUAGUUUCCACCGAAAUCCAAAAAGUUUUCAAGAUUCCCCGUCAUAUCGAAUCUUGCGGCACAUGCAUGAAGCACUAAAUAUAGACGAAAACAAAACUAAUUACACAGUUUGACUGUAAAUCGUGAGACGAAUCUUUUGACUCUAGUUAGUCUAUAAUUGGACAAUAUUUGCCACAAACAAACGAAAAUGCUACAGUAGAGAAAUCCAAAAAAAAUUCGCAUCUAAACAAGUCCCAAGUCGCACACCGCUGAACGCAUGGAUUCUCGGAUGCUAGCUUAGGUAAGGUGUGCAAACUGCAGAGGGGGAGGAAGAGAGAGAAGGAUCCACUCCUCCCCAACAAGAACAUGUGGUGGCCGAGACAACCAAAAGCUUCAUGAUCUUGUAGAUCGAUGCACCGCUGUCAAGGUGAAAAUGUGUCCAAAAUGAGAAAUGUUGGCACCUCCGGCCGAAUAAACCUAGGCAAGGUUUUCAUGUGGAGAACUGCCUAGAGGAUGGUGGAGCCUCAUCAAUACCGCCCCCAAGGAAGAAAUGUGAUGCUCACAAUUGCAAGCAACAUUGUUGUCAACUAACAUAAUGCCGAGCUCAGCUUUUCUACAUACAUUAUUUUUACUAUAUAUUUAGUUAUACACUAUAUCUAGAUAUAUAGUAAAAAUAAUAUAUGUGUCUAAAAAGCCAAAACCGUGUUAGAAUUGGAACGCAGAGUAAUAAAUAGCAUUAGCGAGUGGCUCUUUUUUUUUUUGAGAACGUGGAGUCAACUCUAGGCCACGUGUAACAGCGUUUUUACCACUGCUCUACGCACACGUUUCGAUCUCCAUUUCUGAUAGGAAUCAAAUCUUCUUAAUCAUAGUCCUAGUAGAUUAGCUACUACUCUAUAUGAUGUCUUAUCUUAUUCGCUAAUUGUCUUAAUUUAACAAUGAGGCAGUCGCAUUCCUUAUCCCUAUAUAUAGCGCACCUCGUCACUUUUUAGCCUAACCCAUCGGUGUCAUUCAUGACACGUAUAUGCACACCUGGAGAAACCGAUGGAGGACCAAAAAAUAGAGACAUGAUGGUAAUAAACAAUUCUCUCUUUACGCUUUUACAACACGUGACCUGAUAGUAUAUAUGUAUAUCCACAUCUUGGUUGCGCAAUAUUUAUUUUCUUUGCUAAUAAUUGCUGGUACUUUAUACUGAAUUGGAUAACACAUAAAAAUAGCUAAAGUCGUUAGUUAAGCACGUGGCUUUGGAUUUGCACUAAAAUCGUCAAUGGAGGAGGGGUUAGGGCUAAAUAACUGAGGCUUUGUUUGGAUGCCUAUAUUCACCUUAAUCUAUAUGCAUUGAAGUCGUUUGGCAUGAAAUUUAUUUUAAAUUUUACAAUUAACCACCCUAACGACAUACAUGGAUUGAGGUGAAUACACAUGACUAUCCAAACAGACCUAAUAUGGAACUUAUUGCGUGUUUGGUUAGGGGAGGGGAUGGGAUGGGACGGGACGGGAUGGAACAUACAAUCUCCUUUUUUAAUAGUGUAUUUGGUUAUGAGAAUUUGGGACAAGAUCCAUCCCAUUUGGGGAAUAUCCAUGGAAUAUAUAUGUCCUAAUAUGGAGAACACCCUCAAUUGCUAAAAGACAAGAGUAUGGCGAGGGACGAGAGAAUGACUACAAUCAGAAACCCACAUGUCAAAUGACUUUGUCUCAGAAUUUGAUGCCCUUGAACUAAACACGGGACACGGACAAUCUCAUCCCUUGCAAUCAAACAUGGGACAAGGGCGAUUACGUCUCUAAAACAGGGGAUGGAACCAUCCCAUCUCUCAUUGUCUCAGAAUCAAACAUACACUUAAAAGCUAUAAUUCAUCUGCACGCAAGACCUGAUUACAAUCUGGUCCAGAUGCUAUUAAAACUCAACUGUAGAGAGUAGUACACUGCAGCCUGCAGGAGGCUCAUCAUUCGUUUUUAUGCAUGGUUAGUAAGGUAGCCAGUAGCCGAAUAUUUACAUGGCAGCAGCAGCAGCAGCAGAGAGCCACCGAGAGUGGAUUAUUAGUCGCCGAUCUUUCUCAUUCAACAGCUAUGCGUCCGUUUGCAUCGUGCUACUGCUGUUGCAAUGCAUGCCUGCUACUGCUAGCCCCAGCAACAAAGUGCGAUGCUACUGUUCAUCAGCAGCACCCCGCGGCAGGCCAGGGCAGCAUGCAAAUUUUGUUCCAGUCAUUAAACAUAGAUAAAAAAAAUAUCUAAUUACACAUAUUAUCUAUAAUUUGCGAAACGAAUCUUUUGAAACUAGUUAGUCGAUGAUUGAACAAUAGUUGCCAAAUACGAACAAAAAUACUACAGUAGCCAAAAUCUAAAAAGUUUUUGAUCUAAACAAGGCCUCCGCUUAAUUUAGUGCUUAGUGACUGAUGACUGUACCUCGCUCGCUGUCGCUAGCAAGCUCACUAGUUCCAUGUAGAACAUCCACUAGCUAGCUUGCCACUAUAUACUGCAGAAGUCUGGCCUCUAGUAUCACGGUCACGGCUCGUUGCCUUUUAAUUAGCUUCGCUCUCCCUUCGAUCAGUAGUGCUAUAUAGCUAGCUCCUGCUCAUAAUUCGUCGAUAAUAACAAGGCCUUGUUUAGUUUCGAAAAAAUUUCGGAUUUCGCUACUGUAGCACUUUCGUUUUUAUUUGAUAAAUAUUGUCCAAUCAUGAACUAACUAGGAUUAAAAGAUUCGUCUCGCGAUUUACAGACAAACUGUGUAAUUAGUUUUUGUUUUCGUCUAUAUUUAAUGCUUCAUGCAUGUGCCGCAAGAUUCGAUAUGACGGGGAAUCUUGAAAACUUUUUGGAUUUCGGGUUGAACCACUUGACCACAGCGCGUACUGCAUGCCUCUCUCUCGUUUCUCACGUGUGGGUGUGUGGCCGCGUUAGUUAUUGCUGUGCCUGUGCAUGUGCAUCGAUGAGUGCGUGAGUGCUGCCACUGGUGCCACCUCGCUGUCGAUGUCGAUCGAGCCCAUCGCCACUUCGCCGGUCAGCCACCGCGUGCUUGCUCGUUCGUUCGUUGCUGUUCAUGGCCUGAUGAUCAUGCCCACUUGGCCACUUCACAGCACAGUUGGGUCGUUGACCUAGCUCGCUCAACGCCGGACAGCACCCAUAUAUAGUAUAUGACUCUAGCCCCGAAUAUAUUAAGUCAAGGUUGACUUGGACUUGACGAGAGUAUAUAUCUUUUAAUUUCCCUUUUGUUUGGCCAUUGCUGUUGUGGUCAACCACAGCGCUCCAUCGCCCGUAUUUUCUUUUUUCUUUUUCCUCCAACAAAUUCACAAAGCAUCACUGAAAAUUAAUUAAUUCUGAUCUAGCUAGAAAGUUCGUAGAUUAGAAUUGGUGGCGGUGUAACUAAGAAUGACAAGUGAGCAUAUCUAAUGAUACCAAGGGUCUGUUUGGUUCCCCUUGCUAAAUUUUAACUAGCUAAAAUUUUUUUAGCUACUCUUGGGUGACUAAUAGAACUAAACUAUUUUAGCUCUUUUUAGUCAAUGUGUUUGGAACUUUAGCUAGCUAAAAUUUAGCAAGGGGAAUCAAACAGGGCCCAAUUAUACGGUCCUUAUUACAAGAAGGCUGCAUACUACAUGUGAAGACAUUCUAGCCGAGUUUUUGAGCAUCACCACUGCCCCAUUGUAACCCUACCACCAAUGGUUGCCCGCUGGAGUACGACCAUGUCAAGUUUAUGUUACCAUUGGAUAACUAAGCUCAUAGAGGAUCCAUUUUAAGUUAGGAAGUUCCAUGCAUGCAUGGUUGGUACAUGCAUGGCAACAGCAAAAGCAAGACUUUGCUAGCUCCUUUAUAUAUGCACAUUUCGAAUCACGAUGUUUAAUAGCGGCGACGAUGAAAUAGACUUCAAGGACAUGCGCAUAGGUUGAUGCGAGACAAGGAACUUCGCCUUGUUUUGCCUAAUCAUAGUCCUAGAUUGAUGCAAGACAAGAAACUUUUGAUGAAGAAGAGGUAACACAGAUUGCAGCACUUCUCCUACUUCGUCAUGCACAAAAUUGUUGAUUGAAAUGGCAGGUACUUCUGUGAGAUUAGAGAGCUCUAGCCAUGGAGGACAAGCUCAGUGACCUUAGAUCAAGGGAGAAACUAAGGGUUAGAGAUUACACACCGCCAGAUCUGUUUUAGACACAUGAACUAUAUAUAUAGUUUUGUAACAUUAGCAAGAGACAGAAAUAUUGUAUAUGACAUUGAUUACUUUAAUUUGUAAAAUAUUAGUGCUACGAUGACGAGACUCAUAAUCUAUAUAUUGCACGCAAAUUAUUUAGGCCAACAUUGAUGGUUAUAAGUAUCUCUUGUGUAUCUGAGAAUUGCAUAAGAAGAAGGUCAAUCAAACUAAGAUUGGGAUACCCAUAUUUGCUAAUGAUAGUAGAGGUAACAUCUCUGUUGUUAAUAGAGAGGCGGGUAUGUUAGGGGAUAUGUUAGGGUUGCCACCUAAUCUAUUAACAAAGAUGAGUUUCAUAUAAAGGACUACAUAUCUAUUAAUCCUAUAUUAAUUAAUAGAGGUAUGAUCCCUGUAUGAAGGCCUGUCUCUGAAAAUGGUUGAUUAACACGGUAUUUCCUUAAAACGGGUGGGCUUCCCAUCUGUUAAUCUGUUAAUGGUUCUGAUACCAGUGGUGCUUGGAAAACAUGUAUACCUAGGAAAAUAUUUCAAAGGUCACGUUCUUGGUCAGUGCGAGAGAAUGGAAACGUAAGUCCAAUAACAGUGAUGUCUAUCUGUUAAUAAGCGUGUUUCUACAUCUCCUCUAAUCGUAGAUCCAUGCAGGAAUACACGCACAACGGCUGGUGAGUGUGUAAACACGCGAGAAUAUAAGAAGGGCUAAAGUCAUAUGGGUUAGCGAAGGCAGCGCGUGAGAUAAACACGGUGCUGCGUGACUUCCAACAUAUAUGUAUCAUCACUCGUUAACGUACAUAUUAUUAGACCAUGAAAGAGCGACAUGGAGAAGUAUAUAUAAUUCGCCCUUCUUUUUGGCAAAGGAAUUCUUGCCUUUAUUUGAAACGUCAACAAUCUGCAGCAUGUACGGUCGUCAUAGUUUCAGAGCAUUAAUUGCACCAUAGUACAGUACCACUAUAUACCAAUCUUUUGACAUUGAUCUAAUGACAUUGAUCUAAUAUACUUCCUCCAUCUCUAAUAAAACAAAUUGUAUAGUUAUUCUAAGUCAAAAUGUUUUAUUUUGGAUUGAAGUUAUAGAAAAAUAUGCCAAUAUUUAUGAUAAUAAAUAAACAUAUUAUAAAAAUAUAGUUUAUGAUUUAUCUAAUGAUAUUAAUUUGAUCUUAUAAAUCUUAGUAAAUUCGGUUAAAUUUGGAAAGUUUGACUUCAGACAACUCUAUGAAUUCAGAGACCGAUUAUUGGCUAGAUAUUUUUGAAAAAUAUUGUAAGAACUUUGUAAUAUCUAUAUUUGAUUUUUCAUCCACGCCUCCUAAGGAUUAAUGUGCGGUCAAUUUGUUUCUCACCCGUGUAAUUCUUUGUCUAUGGUCACAUGUUUUUUUUUUUGUGCUGUUGGAUCUGACUCUGGAUUGAUCUGGUAGGCUGUUUCUUUUCUUCUUUUGCUUUUCUUGCUCACAUGUGAUUCUGUCUUUUAAAUCGUUUCUACUUUUAAUUGUUGAUUUAAAUUGCUAUUUCAUUUGCCCUCUUUUUUUUUCAGGAUCUCAGUAUUAGAUUUGCUUACAUAUAUUCUCAUCGUGUAGUUGUCUUGAUCUAUUCAUAUACAGUGAGUGACAAGUGUCAGUGUAGUGUUUUCUUUCAAGUAAGUGUAAGUGUCAGUGCAGUUUUGGUCUUGAUCUAUUCAAUUAGCCAGGUAAGCACUCCAGUAUUCUCUGGUAAUACUUUAGUUCUUGAGAUGGUUUUGAUAUAUGUUUGAUAAAUUCAUGAACAACUAUGGCAGGUAGGAUAUAUAGUUUAAUAUGGUUCUAGUGUACUUACAUUGUCUCUAUAUAUUUUUUACACUGAGGUAUGCACCGUAAGACUAUCUUCAACAAUCGUCACCCAAAAAUACACGACCAUCAUUUGUCCUUUAGGUAGCACUACAGGUAAAAGGUUUCAUACCUAUUUUUAGUCUUCUCUAACAAUAAGACCUAAAAGACAACACUCUUUGCAAAUGGGUCUUCGGAGAUAGGAUACCCAAAUUUAGGUUAUGCCUCUCCUGAUACCCAAAAUGGAUCUUCUAUAUGGGUACUCUAUUGGAGGCUAUAGGUAUUGUGUUAGAGACCCAUUUUGAGUUGUUCUCAAAUGGGUCUCCUAUUGGAGACAGCCUAACUUAUUUGUUAUAGUGGUGUAAGUUUUUGAUUUCGUUACAUUUUGUAUGUUUUCUCUGUUAUGUUCAUAUGAUCAUCCUUUUUAUUUGCCUUUCAUAGAAUAAAUCUGAUUGAAUUUGUUUUUUUAUAUGUUUUGUUCUUCAUGAUUAUUUUUAAAUUUGCUUUUCAUAGUAUAGAUCUGAAUUAAUUUGUAUAUAUAUGAUUAAAUUAUUUUUUUUAUGUUUUUUUUAUCUAUUUACGAUGUCUUUUUGUAUGGUACGUUGAUUUGAGAUCUAGUGGUUUUAGAUUUUGUGACAGAAGCCUUAGAAUCCAUUUUGGGGUUUUUGUUUGAUUUGGGUGAUAUUUAUUGUUUGGUCACACGGGUGACACAAUGAUGAAAAUCACCCAAGUUUUGAGUACAAUGUGUGGAUCGCGGGCUCCAUUGAAGACCUCUAUAGUACUAGUAAGAUAGUUAGCAGUUGCAGAGAUGAAAAAAAGGAUUAAAAUCAAACUCUAAAAUCAAUAAGCAUCCAACACAUAUACUUGUCCAUGGAUCCACAAAUUAAUUAGCUGCAAAUUAAGCCCAACUAGAACCGAUGAACAUGCAACUCUCAAGUCUCAACUGGACGAGAGGGUUUGAUCAAAAAAAAAAAAAGGACGAGAGAAGGGACCAAACUGCACACAGUACUGAGUGCUGGCUAGCUGCUAGCUACUAGUAAGAUAAUGAAUGAAAAAAGACUAAUAUACACCGUCUGCUGGCACCAAAUCAAACCAAAAGGCCAAGAUAGGUGCUCGCUCACCUGCUUUUCAGUACGUUUCAGCAUCAUGCGACUAGCUUAUUAACUCCCAGUGCGUGGUAGAGCUGGUUAUCGUAAUCAUGGCAGUCCGGAAAUUAAAUCCUGGGAAAAGGUAGCUUUUUAUCCUAAUAUAUCUCCACUACCUCAUUCACGAUGUUAUGCCCCGAAUCCAAACCCACGUGUUUAACAAACUUCCACCAUCUCAAGUUACCAUGCUGCCUAGAGUAUAAUAUAAUAAUAUACCCGACUACAUCAGAAAAGGCCCACAGCAGAAAUUAUAUACUAAUUAACCUGCUGUAAAUAAAAGUGUAAAGUGCGAAUUGUUUAAAAUAUCAGCUGUCUAUUUGCUCCUAAGUUUAUUCCUCUCGUGAUGAUGAAAAUGUGUGGGAGCAAAAACUAACACAAGUGGUAAGUGGCCAAGGAAUAAGGCGACCCCCUUCGCUAUGAUGGUUGCGAUCGAUUACCAAGAUCUGGUUCUUAUCACAAAUUAAGGGAUGUCUGCAACUGAUACUUAAUUCAUAUACUUUGAAGCUUUUCAAACAUGAGUUUUCACAGUGAGAGAGAUGCUUUUCACGAACCUCUUAUAUUUCUUGUGUUUGUUGCCUUUUGAAUUCUAUGCCGGGUGUCGACCAGCAGGCGCCUUGCAAUGACUUAAAAAAAAAAGCUAUUGUCCAACGCUUGAUAGACAUGGCUUUGUAGUUAGAUGGUAAUAUUAAGAUCUUAGCAAAACUGAAGGACCGUACCCAAAAGACGAUCGACGGAGGUGAAUGGAAACCGAUAAAAAAAUAAUUUGUGAGAACUUGGCCUAUAAUAUCAUAAUUCAAACACAACAUUCUUGUCUUCUAAUUACCAAGGUCACACAAGCCAAUUUGUAACAUAUUGAUCCUUGCAACGAACAAUGCUUUCUUGAAAUAUUGCGGAAGCAAAAUUGGACAUGAUGAUCCAAGGCAAGAGCACAGACCAAAAGAAAACAAGCAGAGCACACUACUUCUACCAACCUGCAGCUAACUAUUUACUAAAUGUGAAAAGCAUACGUGAAAAGUCUAAAGCUUCUGUAUAAAUGAAAACAAUUCUAAACGUGUGUGGCUAAUCGGCAAGGGGAGAGGAGAGGAGAGGAGAUCAGAAGAGCAAUUGAGAUGGGGGCAAGAAACACAGUGGGUAGCGAGGAACUUGUAGAGGGCCGUGGUGGACGACAGUGGUGGAAGGAACUAACACCACCAACGAAAUCAACGCCCCAUACGGGAAGGUUUAUUAUUCUCUUUGAUUAUUACAAUCAAAAAUAAGAUGUCCUUUACAUUUUAUAUUUUAUAGGUGUAUCUCCUAGGCAAUAAACCAUCUAACAAAUGCUUCCCUAGUUUUCCUCCGUGACCACCAACCUAUUUAGCAUGAUACAAAUGUCACCCUAGCCAUGUCCUGGGCCGGCCUGUGCUUAGGAGUGACAAUGAAAAUCCCUAAUUUAGUUUUGAUAAUUGAGUGAUAACUAGUGAACUAUUAUUUUACUGAUCAUAAGGUGAGGUUGGGCAAGACAUGGAGCCAUGAGAUAAGCUAGCAAGGACCAUUAAUUGGGAUAAUGCGCUCAACAUAAGGAGAGGUUAGUCCACUUCACUCAUGCAAUCCCAUGUGUUUAACGACUUCUACAAUCUUAUGUUACCAUGCUGCCUCUAUAUAUAAGUACUACUAUAUAAUAUACCCGACUACCCGUGGAUAACAUAUAGAAUAGAAAAGGUCCAACGAUUACCCGACUACCCGCCGCGUGGAUAUACUAACGUGCUGUAAAAGUGAUAAAGUGCAAAUUGUUUAAAUGUCAUUCUGUUUGCUCCUAUGUUAUUCCUCUUGAUGUGAUAAUGGAGAUGCGGGGGAGCAAAAGGUAUACUGUGGUCUUCACUAUGGUUGCGGUUACCAUGACUUGGCUCUUAUCACAAAGGGAUGCCUUUAAUUGACACUUAUUAAUUCAUAUACUUUGAUGCUUUUCACAUAAUAAGUUUUCACCGCGAUGGGCGAGACGUUAUUUACUAACCUUAUCCUUUGUUUGUUGCCUUUUGAAUUUAUUGGUAAACAAUGCUAAAGGAACACUUAUUAAGAGUACUCCCUCCAUUCCAAAUUAUAAGACGCUUUGACCUUUUUGGUAUAUCCAUUUUACUAUGCAUCUAGGUAAAUAAUAUGUCUAGAUACAUAUCAAAAUGGAUGAACCAAAAAAGUCAAAUUUUGUAAUUUGGAACAAAGGGAAUAUAACUUCAAGUGCACAAUUGGUAUGUGAUUUAUUAAAAGGACAUUUUUUACUAUUGGUAAACUAUAUAGAAAUAUAUACAUUUAUUGCUCAUGCAUGCAUAAUACUACCACGUAGCAUGUCUAUUUGAUUUGAGUAAGUUUAUUUGUAGAAGUGAUGCAUAAUUUAAAGUGUACAAUAUGUUUUAUUUUCUUUUUUAUGAUAUAGCAGAUACUUGCAAUUUAGAUAUAGAUUUGAGUGGCUAUUUAAGUUUUAAUUAGUGUGGCAUAGGUACGUGGAUAAUUUACAUACAAAUUUUUGGGGCUGCUUUAGAUUAUCUUUAGUAAAGGUGGAUAAUUAAGACAAUAUGUAGAUUUAGGGGUACAGAACUCUUUGUUGUUUGUCAUAUCUGUGGAAGUGAGUAAUUGAAAAUCGAAUUAGAUCUAUCGACUAUUAUUAUAGUCAAUGAUGAUUAUAGUCUACUAGAAGUUCUAAGUAUGGUUUUGGCAAUUAAAUAAUAAUAAGUGGACUAAUGUUUCCAAUUGAGCUGUGAUUGAGCUAGGGUCCACACCAAUAUACUGGGAUUUUUAAUUGAGUUGUGACGGCAUCUAUGGUGAAGAAGGAGAAUGCCAUAAGUUGAUCAAAUGCUCACACUUGGGGAGAUGAAGAAGAGAUGCAAACAAGCCCGAAGGCAAAGAUAUAUAUACUAGGAAUUUCAUUUUAUCAUCUGAGAUGCAGUAGAGAGUUUGGUCUAGUUUACGAUUAAUAGCGUACCAUUGAGAGCGGAACUCUGAAGCAAAACAAUUAUCUAAGUGCCACUAGGUGUGAACUAACUUUGUAUAUGCAUUUGGACCUAGGGCACAGUGAGAUGCUAGUGAAAAAUGUUUUUUUAAAAGCUAACUCAGUGCCUAAGGUGGAGAUGUUCAUGUUUGAACAUAUUGGUGUUAACGGAUUUAAGUGGCCUACGAAGUUUGUGACUUAGUGCAUAUUUUUGUGCACAUAAAAAAUGUCCAUUUCCCCUUAAAGAGGUGCAUCAUGGAAUGUUAAACUAUGGAAUGUGAUACUCACAGGAAAUGUCCAUUGGUAGCCCCACUACUUGCAUAGGAAGAUAGGGUGCUAUGUCCUGAGUUAAUAGAAAGUUGGGGGUACUUAUCAUCAGAAAUCUCUAGUGGUAACCCCUAACCGUGCAUGGUAUAAAGCAAUAGAAUACCUAUCGGGUGGCAUAUGCAGAAAGGUUUUGUCGUUAUUAGAAAUGUCUGGUCCGAACUAUAUAAUGCAGAUACAUGUGAACCAUCUUCUGUAGCUGAAGCUCUCAAGGAUGAAAGAUGGGUUUCAGUAAUGAACAAUGAGCACACAACACUGAUUAAAAAUAAGACUUGGCACUUGGUACCACCAUAGAAGGGUAAAAAUAUAAUUGGGUGUAAAUGGGUGUACAAGGUCAAGAAGACAUCUGAUGAUACAUUGGAUCGCUAUAAGGCACACCUUGUUGCAAAAGGGUUUAAGCAACAAUAUGGGAUAGAUUAUGAGGACACUUUCAGUCUCGUAGUAAAGGCAACUACUAUACGGCUAAUACUGUCAAUAGCAGUUUCCAAAGGUUGGUCUCUUCAACAAUUGGAUGUGCAAAAUGCAUUUUUGCAUGGUGUACUUGAGGAAGAAGUCUGUAUGCAUCAGCCUCCAGGAUACAAAGAUGUGAAAUAUCCCAAUUAUGUGUGCAAAUUGGAUAAGGCUAUCUAUGGGCUUAAAUAGGCACCCCAUGCUUGGUAUGCACGUGUGUGCAAUAAGCUACAACAACUCGGUUUACACCAUCAAAAGGGUUUAUAUUGGUGUACAUUGAUGACACAUCAUUGUUGCCAGCUCUUCACAGGAAGCCAUGGCUUCUCUGCUCAAGGACCUAGAGAAGGAUUUUGCAUUGAAGGACUUGGGGGACUUGCAUUACUUUGUUGGCAUUGAGGUGAAGAAAAGUUCGGAUGGACUAGUGAUGCCUCAUGAACGAUAUACUGUGAAACAUGCAGGUAUGGAAAGAAGCAAACUCGUUGAGACACCUCUUUCGGUUUCAGAGAAGCUAAGUAUAGCUGAAGGCACAAGCUUAGGGCCAGAGGACUAAACCAAAUACAGAAGUUUGGUUGGAGCUUAGCAGUAUCUCACUCUUACAUGGCUUGACAUAUCCUUUGCAGUAAACAAGGUUUGCCAAUACUUGCAUGCGCCAACUAUUCCACAUUUGAGUGCGAUGAAACAUAUACUGCGGUAUGUGAGAGAGACUUAGAAUCUGGGUUUAAAGAUGCAUAGAUCAAGCUCUUUGUUGGUGAGUGCUUUAUCUAAUGCAGAUUGGGCCAGAUGUGUGGAUGAUAUAAGAUCGACUGGAGGGUUUGUUGUGUUCUUUGGCCCAAAUCUUAUUUCUUGGAGUGCUUGAAAGCAACCCAUAGUGUCUCGUUCUAGCAUAGAGGCUGAAUACAAAGCAUUAGCAAAUGCCACUGCUGAAAUGAUGUGGAUACAAAAGCUAUUGGAAGAACUUCAAGUUCGACAUUCAUAGGUAGCUAGGUUGUGGUGUGAUAACAUCGGUGCCAAGUAUUUGUUAGCAAAUCCAGUGUUUUAUGCUAGGACAAAACACUUUGAGAUAGAUUUUCAUUUUAUUCGGGAAAGAGUAGCACAUAAGCUACUGUAUGUUCAUACUGGUGAUCAACUUGCAGAUGGAUUCACCAAACCCCUUGUUGUGUCAAAGAUGAAAGAAUUUAGAUUCAAUCUCAACCUUGUAAGUGGUUAAGAUUGUGGGGGGAGUGUUAAAUGAUAUGCAACUUAGGAACCGUCCAGGUUCAUGGUAUAGGUGUCGGCUAGGUUGUUGGAGUAGCAACCAUGUAUAUGCAAAUAAGUAGAGAGUUUGUUUCUAGUUUGUUGUAAUCUUCAUCUUGUUGGGCUGUUUCCUACUCUAUAUCACAUGAACAGAGAACCCAAGAGGGGUCAUCUCGUUCCACCUAUAUUUACAGAUGCGUUCUGUAGUUUGUGUGUAGAAUUAUUGAACUAAUAAGAGGGAUUGAUAUAUAUGGCUAAUUUGUUAGAUUUGAAACUUACUAUGUCAUUUAGUAUUUGUAUAUCGAAUGGUGCGAAAGUUUUUUAUAUGGUCGUUAACCAAAUAUUUCACUGAAUUGUACACGAAUGGACAUCCUCUUUUACCGGAUGGACUAGGUUUGUCCAAGGACGGGUCAAAUCGGACCAUAUACAGGCCUUAGCAGAACUAUGAAAAAAAGGGACCGAUCUAAAUGACAUUCAACUGUUUUAGCCCCACCUAACAACUGACUUUUGCCCAUAUACUUACAGUGUCUUUAGUUAUAUUUACACUAUCUUAUUACUAUAUUUACAAUGAAUUCAUUAGCGUAAUCUAUUGGAUGAAUUGAUGUAGUUUGGAAAUAACACAAAUAGAUGCCAAAAUUUUCAAAAGGAAAUUUACAAAUUAUUGCUAUGGAUUCCAGAUAUUAGAGAAAUAUAUGUAAAAUUAUUCAAAAAUGUCAUCAAAUUGUUCACAAAUUUCUGAAAAAUACAACGGACUCCAAAGCCAAAGGAUUGAGCAAUGACAAAAAAAAACAAAAAAAAGUAGUAGUACAAAAAUAGAUGGGCGCCUUCCCGAUUUAUUCUGGUUACAAGUCACCACGUGCAUCCAUUUUAUUUUGAACGCCAUAUAACCCUACCAUCUACAUCAAAAUUGUACUAAGGCCUUGUUCAGUUCGCGAAAUUUUUUGGUUUUCGCUACUGUAGCACUUUCGUUUUUAUUUGACAAACAUUAUCCAAUUAUAGAGUAACUAGGCUUAAAAGAUUCAUCUUGUGAUUUACAGACAAACUGUAAUUAGUUUUUGUUUUUAUUUAUAUUUAAUACUUCAUGCAUGUGCCGUAAGAUUUGAUGUGACGGGAAAUCUUGAAAAAUUUUGCGAACUAAACAAGGCCUAAGUAGUCGAUAAAGACAGAAUUGGCGCGUGGCUUUGCGGCGGAAAAGAAAACACAAAAAAACAGGCAUAAAAAUGAUGAGUGGAAAAGAAAACGGAGACGCAGACACCCGCGCUGACCAGCGUCACUCACUCCCGCACGCGGCAUCCACGCCUCUUCCUCCUCUGCAUCCUCUUCCUCUGCUCUAUAUAAACUCACCUCCUCCCCCUUCUGAUUCAAACACAGCCUCUCAGUCCUCUUCUCAGCUCUCACUCCACUCCAGUCCUCAGAGCAUCCAAGAAACCAGUCAUCUCAUCAGCGCUUGCCUUGCCUGCCGCGCUCCAUCCCUGAGCAGUCAAUGGCAGUGCACAGCGGAGUGAACAAGCACGCGGUGGCGCCGAUGGAGGUCUCGGUGGAGGCCGGCAACGCCGGGGACGCCGCGUGGCUGGACGACGACGGCCGCCCACGCCGCACCGGCACGUUCUGGACGGCCAGCUCCCACAUCAUCACCGCCGUCAUCGGCUCCGGCGUGCUGUCCCUGGCCUGGGCGAUCGCGCAGCUCGGCUGGGUCGCCGGCCCCGCCGCCAUGCUCCUCUUCGCCUUCGUCACCUACUACACCGCCACGCUGCUCGCCGAGUGCUACCGCACGGGCGACCCGGAGACGGGCAAGCGAAACUACACCUACAUGGACGCCGUCCGCUCCAACCUCGGCGGCGCCAACGUCGUGUUCUGCGGCGUCAUACAGUAUGCCAACCUCGUCGGCGUUGCAAUCGGGUACACCAUCGCGUCGUCGAUCAGCAUGAAGGCGAUCAGGAGAGCAGGGUGCUUCCACACCCAUGGACACGCUGAUCCCUGCAAGAGCUCCAGCACCCCGUACAUGAUCCUCUUCGGCGUCGUGCAGAUUCUCUUCUCCCAGAUACCAGACUUCGAUCAGAUUUGGUGGCUAUCCAUUGUCGCCGCAGUCAUGUCCUUCACCUACUCUUCCAUCGGACUCUCCCUCGGCAUCGCACAAACCAUUUGUAAGUUCUUGGUUCAAUCAAACUAAUUAGUAAAUUAGACACUGUUUCUGUGACUACAAUUGAUGGAUUCUUGAUUACUGACAUGUGCUCAAUCGAUGGAAUUGCAGCUAAUGGUGGGUUCAUGGGCAGCCUCACCGGCAUCAGCAUCGGCGCCGGCGUCACCUCCACGCAGAAAAUCUGGCACACCCUGCAGGCCUUCGGGGACAUCGCCUUCGCCUACUCCUUCUCUAACAUCCUCAUCGAAAUCCAAGUAAGCUACAAUCCCCUUUUCUGCUCCACUGUUGGGUUCUCUGCAACUGAUCCCCCUGUUCCUAACAAACUCUGCUCUGUUUCUUGUUCAGGACACGAUCAAGGCGCCGCCACCAUCGGAGUCGAAGGUGAUGCAGAAGGCAACGCGUCUCAGCGUGGCGACGACCACCAUCUUCUACAUGCUGUGCGGAUGCAUGGGGUACGCCGCGUUCGGCGACGCCGCGCCGGACAACCUCCUGACAGGUUUCGGCUUCUACGAGCCAUUCUGGCUGCUCGACGUCGCCAACGUCGCCAUCGUCGUGCACCUCGUCGGCGCGUACCAGGUGUUCUGCCAGCCCAUCUUCGCCUUCGUGGAGCGCCGCGCCGCCGCGGCGUGGCCGGACAGCGCCUUCAUCGCCCGGGAGCUCCGCGUGGGCCCCUUCGCGCUCAGCGUGUUCCGCCUGACAUGGCGGUCGGCGUUCGUGUGCGUCACCACCGUGGUCGCCAUGCUGCUGCCGUUCUUCGGCAACGUGGUGGGGUUCCUCGGCGCCGUCUCGUUCUGGCCGCUCACCGUCUACUUCCCCGUCGAGAUGUACAUCAAGCAGCGCCGCGUGGCACGCGGCAGCACCAAGUGGAUUUGCCUGCAGACGCUCAGCAUCAGCUGUCUCCUUGUUUCCAUUGCCGCUGCAGCAGGCUCCAUAGCUGACGUCAUCGACGCCCUCAAGGUCUACCGGCCGUUCAGCGGUUAACCUCUCUAGACGUAUAUAGUUAGCUCUAGAAUGCAACGACGAAGAGGAACAUUCUUUUUUUUUCCUAAGAACUGAUUUGGCGUAGCCGUCAAGGAUUUGAGCUCAAAUGCAACUUAGAAGGAUGUGCGUAAUGAGAAGAAAGCAGAAUAACUAGACUCGCACUGAGAAACACAAAACAAUACAUCACUUGGCUUCUAGUUUCAUUACUGUGGUGUUUCUUGUAACUUUCAUUUUAGGUUCAAAACCAAAGUUUAAAAUGGCCGUAAUUUUUUUCAGUAGCUAUGCAGCUAUAGCGGUGCUAUGACACAUAGUGUUUUAUUAAAAGUACAUAAAAACCUGAGUAAUUGAUAAAAAGAUAUGGUAAAUAUAAAUUUCCAUGUAUAAAAAUAUAUUCUCAUAAGUCGGUAACAUUACUGAAUACUAAUAUAACAUUACGGCAUGGUUCAUAAAAGCUUAAUUAUCUAAAAUACUAAAUUAGUUGCAAAUGAUAAAUGAUAAUCUAGCCUAAGAUGGAGUUUUCAGAGUCAAACUGAGAAGAUUUAUCAUAGCGGCGCUAUAGCAUGUAAUAGCGGUGAAAGUUGUCAUAGCAAAUGCAACUUAGCGGCACUAUAGCGCGUAAUAGCGAUGAAAGUUAUGAUAGCGGAUAAAAUACAAAUAGCUUACCGGCAAGCCUAUCCAGCAGCUAUAGCGCCGCUAUUUAUCUCUUAUUUGCAAUACUUGUCAAAUUUUGUUCCAAAUUUCAGUGACAUCAAUUAUUUGUAUACUUUUACUUCGCCCAUCCACAAAUCCUUGUGGUUCUUUACAACAUUCGAGUGAAAGUCUAAAGACUUUCACUAUAAGUGACUUUUAAAUUGAUAUAAUCUUUUUUAUUUUCUAACUAGGUAUGAUAUGAUAACAUAAAAUAAUUAAAAAGCAACAAAUUAGACACCACUAGUCCAUCAACUCAUGCUUUAACAUGGCUAGAAUUUUAGAGACAUAAGCAUUAGUUAUGGUUUAAUAAAUCUGACCAAUAAAAAAUUUCUUAUAUUAGUUAUGAUCGACUUUUUACUCUAAAAAGUAUUGAAUUUUCCUAUCAAGAUAUUACAUGUGCAGUUAUUGUUAUACAAUCAAUAUAGACAUGUCAAAUAUUUUAGUAAAGAUAUAUAAAUUUAUCUAAGGUAACAACAUAUUUAAAUUAUAUGUCAUGGUUACUAAAAUGGUUUGAAACAAUCUUUUAGUACUAUUAGUAUAUGAGUUGUUAAGGAAAUAUUUUUUAUAUGAUCAAACUUAACAUAUGUAUUUAUCACUCUUGCAUACCGGCACGACAAUGUAUACUUUAACCAAAUAUUAAUAUAUUAUUAAUGAUAGGAGUGGGUAAUGUAGGAAUAUAUAUAUAUAUAUAUAUAUAUAUAUAUAUAUAUAUAUAUAUAUAUAUAUAUAUAUAUAUAUAUAUAUAUAUAUAUAUAGUAUAGUUAUUUAAAUUUUUUGUAAUAGAAUAUAUUGAUGAUCUAUAUGUAUAUUUGAGGGAAUAUUUAAUCUUAUACUCCAAUAAAGCUAAACUCCACUACCUAUUUCUCUCAACAUGCAAGCUAUCCAACUAAGCAACCCACUAUCAUACACAAUUAAAAAUUCACUAGCUCGUGCAAUUGUGGUGUCUACGUCAGCAAGUCAAUAUAUUUCUCUCAACAUACAACUAUCUAGAGGCGGAGCCACCAAUAGGGCGAGGGCGUCCGCCCUAGGUCCCUGUGGCCGAGCACCCUUUCCCCACCCUUGGACCCGAGGUUGAUGACGAGUAGAUGACGACGGUAGUGCUGCUCGCGUUCUGUUCGAGUCGAGAUGAGGCAGAGAUGUAGACAGGAGAGAGUAUAAUGGGCCUGCCUGUAUAGAAGUCCAACUUACACCCUGCAGCCAGCGUCCACAAGCGUCCACAAGCAACUUCAAUUCCAUUAUCCAAAAAGCGUUAUGAUUAGGCAGGCAACUUUAAUUCCUCUAUCGAAGAAGCCCUAUAAGAAACUAGGUAUUGUCAGAUUCCACUCUCCAAGAAGCCCAAUAAGUCAUUAGUCAUAGAAUUUGAUUACCGGUUCAUUGGUUAAGGCCUUGUUUAGUUCACCCCAAAAACCAAAAAGUUUUCAAAAUUCCCCGUCACAUCAAAUCUUGCGGCACAUGCAUGAAGCAUUAAAUAUAGACGAAAAUAAAAACUAAUUACACAUUUUGUCUGUAAAUCAUGAGAUAAAUCUUUUGAUCCUAAUUAGUCUAUAAUUGGAAAAUAUUUGCCACAAACAAACGAAAGUGCUACAGUAGCGAAAUUCAAAAACAUUUCGCAUCUAAACAAGGCCUAAAAUUUUAUGUAUAAUCCGCCCUAGGUCGUUUCUCGGGCUGGAUUCGCCACUGCAGCUAUCACACACAACUUAAAUCCACUAGCCAUCAAUUAUAACGUCCACGUCAGCAAAACACAAAAGUAUUUUGUUUGUCCAUGUCAUUAUACCACGUAAUCCACCGUAUUACCACAGCAAUGUGCAGGGUAUUCUCCUAGUUUUUUAAUAUUGAGAUGAAAAUUGGGUUACAUAAAUUGUUGUAACAUCCCGCCUCGUGCUUACAUCUGGCAGCUUUUCUACGAUAUAGUCGGUCCUCACAGACCAACACUUGUCUUUUCUGCACACUUUGUCCUCACUCGUGCGCACCCGGAAAGAACUUCCCGGUCGGUCACCCAUCCCUAAAUUUCUCUAGGCCAAGCACGGUUAACUUUAGAGUUCUUUGGAGAUGGACUUUCGAAAAAGAAGUUGCAACUUGUUGGUAUGAGUUUCCUAUUAAUCCUAUUAAGCCCUGGGCCGGGUGUUACAUCCUCACCCCCUUAAGAGACUGAUGUCCUCGUCAGUCAACCCCAAGCCAGGAACGUCCCCUCUUGGCCACGUCCGUGCAUCCAGUGCCAGCGCAUGUGCCAUGCUGUGUGACCACUCAAGGUCCACACGAGCCAUGCACACCAUGCCUGCGCAACUGCAACACGCGCCCGUGAAACCGCAAAGGUCGGCUUUGAUACCAUUCUGUAACAUCCCGCCUCCACGAGGCCGGGUCCGCUUACAUCUGGUAGCUUUUCUAGGAUAUAGUUAGUCCCCACAGACCAACACUAGUCUUUUCUGCACAUUUUAUCCUCACACGCUUAACUUUAGAGUUCUUUGGAUAUGGUCUUCCGAAAAAGAAGUUGCAACUUGUUGGUAUGAGUUUCCUAUUAAUCCUAUUAAGCCCGGGGCCAGGUGUUACAAUUGUCUAUCAUAAUAGGAGGACUUGGGUAAUUAGAUGCAAAUUUAGAUCCACUUUAGAUCAUGUUUCUUAAUAGCACAAGUGGGUCAUUUGAAUAUAGAAUUAUUGAUUACUUUAUGUUGUUUUAUGUAAUAGCAAAGGUGGAUAAUUAUUUCAAAAAUAGAAUAGAUCCAAUAUCUAUUAUUAUCAAUGGAGAUUAGUUAUACCGAAUUGGUAGUUAGAUAUUUUUUUGAGAAUUUUUAUGAUAAAUCCUUUGUUCUACUACUCUCGUGGGGAUAAAGUAAAGGAUACACUAGAGACCCCUAGUUAGUAUUUAUAGCAUUUAUCUUUCUUGUAGCAUGAUAUUUAUUUAGUGAAUCUAUAGCAUGAUAUUUAUUUAGUUGAAUCUACAUUAAACUUUUGAUGCAUUCACUUUGUCAGUUCAUGAAUCUAUAGUUAAGCUUUCAAAUUUUAAUUGGGUUUUUGUAUUUUUCAAUAAAGUAGAAACUCUAGUGUUUUUUGUCUAUUAUUCAAAGUUUAUUUAUUUUAUAGAAAAGAGUUUUGGCUCUAGUAGUGUUUUUUUUCUACAAGUUAAGUUGAAACUUAGUUAUGAACUUGUUAUAUCAUUGUAUGGUUUUAUAUAUCAUAUGGUGCUUAAAAUUUUAUUAUCAAUAUUGUAUGACAUAACGUUUUAGUCAAAAUAUAUAAACUCAUUUAAAAUAACAAAUUAUGAAAAUUAUUAUCAUGGGGUAUCAAUAUAUAUUAAAGUGAGUUGUUAGUGUUAUUAAUAUGUGGUUUGUUAAAUGAAUAUUUUUCUAUGCUUCAUAAGAGCACUCACAAUGCAAGACUCUAUCGAAGAGUCCAAGACAAUUAAUUAAAUAUUAUUUAUGGUAUUUUGCUGAUGUGGCAACAUAUUUAUUGAAGAAAGAGGUAGAAAAAAUAAGACUCCAAGUCUUAUUUAGACUCUAAGUCCAUAUUGUUCGAGGUAAUAAAUAACUUUAGACUCUAUGAUAGAGUUUGUAUUGUGAGUGCCCUAAUUAAAAUGAACAUUUAUGCAAAAGUAUACAUAUUUACUUGGUAUACAUGGUCAAACAUAGCAUUAUGCUAAUUUAUUUUUACAUGUGUAGAAGUUAGUAAUUUAUAAAUACUUAUAUAUUUCCAUAGUUUAUCGAUAUUGAUUUAUUUUAUAUAAUAAUAUGUAUUAGUAUAUACAUGUACAUUUGAGAUAUAUUUUUGUUUAUUUUUUUAUAAAGACUGAGGUAGAUAUAAAUAUAAAUGUAAUACUUUAUAUUAUCUUUCACAAUGACAUAUAUCGGUAGGUUGAAUACAAACUUUGGAGGUUACUUAUUUGCAUUACCUUUUGUAAUGAAAAGUGGGUAAUUUAUAAAAUCAUUAGGGGUAUUCUAAAUUAUCUUUCAUAAUAUCAGAAGUAGAUAAUUUAGAUGCAAUGUUAGGGGGUUAUUUUAAAUUAUGUUUCACAAUGUUAAAGGUGUGUAAUUUAUAUGCAUGUAGGGGUUUAUCUUGGAUUAUUUUUCAUAAUGAUAGAUGUGGGUAAUUUAUAUACAAAUUUAAGGGAUUAUUUUGAAUUAUCUUUCGUAAUGGCAGAGAGUAUUAUUUAGAUACAAAAUUAUGGUUACUUUAUGUUUUUUUUAAGAAUGGCAUAUGUGGGUAAUUUUUUUAUAAAUUACAAUAGAUCCAAUGCUAUUAUCAGUACGAUUAGAGUUUCUCAAAUUAAAAUAAGAUGCUUAUGAUUAUUAUGGAAAUUUUUAUGUCUUGUCUUUUUUACUAGCGUCCCUAAUGAAAAUUAAUGUGGUGUCUCCAUACUAACCUCUAAUUAAUAAUAAAAAUCUUUUAUUAUCUUUACUAUAAUGGAGCACUUCAAAUUAUAUUAAUCUACCCAGUAAAACAUAUCCCGCUAAGAGUCUCCAAUCUCUAUGUACCCAGAAAAAUAUACACACGAAGUUAUAUCUUCAUUAAAAUUAAGAUCUACAAAACAUCUCCCGCAGGCCUCAACCUAAUCAUAUGGUCAAGAUCGAUUACAGGUUUCAACGUGAGGCUUCAACUUGCCCAGGAUUCAGUGAUCCUCCGCCCGGGGUUGCAGCUUCAACGUGAGACGGCUACGAUCAAUAUGCUGGACUUAUGUGAUGUCUUCAACGAUAGCUGCAAUUCAAGUUGCCGUGACCUUUUUGACAAAUCGACCUGCAGCGUCACCUUUUUCCUCAUGAAAUGCCACACAGCGGACUUCUAAGCCAUAUCAUCAGCAUCUUUGCAAACAUGCAUGUCUCUGCGUCACCUAUACUAACCACUCGAGACUAUCUAUCUAUCCACGGCAGUUUUCUUGGACCUCGACGAUCUAGUAUAUAUAUAUAGCGGUACGCAUGGGAAAAAGUUGUAGUAGUUGCAUUCGUACAUGUAGUUUCUUUAUGCAUACCAUUUGAAUGAGCAUUGUGACUAGACGAAAGAUAUUACACAUAUAAAAAAAGAUGACCUGUCAAUAAGUACAAUAUCUUUGCACAGUGUGAAAACCAUAAAAUAUAUAGCGAUUAUUGUUGGAUUUAAUUUGAACAUGAUUCAUUUUAUCCAAUUAAAGUCAAACAAAUGAUAAUAAGGUCCAUAUCAAAUGCGGUUCAAUACUUGUCAAAAAUAAAUGCGGUUCAAUAAACCUUCAAUUUCACUUCGGAUUUUGACUUUAAAGUUAACUCAAUUUAAAUAAGUGAUUACUAGCUAUAUAUUCUCGUGUAAGGAGUAUUACAAUAGGGUCACAAAAUGUUUUCCUUGGCCGGGCUCGUGAUGCGCCGGUCGGGCAGUCGAAAUGGCCAUUAUACGGUUACUUGAGUUGUAAUUUUUUGUAUUGAAUGUGUCAAAUAUAAGGUGUACUUUAGUUAUUAUUUAAAUUGGAACGUGGAUGUAUAGGUAACAGGAACGUCGGUCUUGACCAUGACGGUAUUUAUUCAAAUGAUUUAUUUAGUUUCAUAAUCCAAGAAUUAGUAUUUUUCCAACGUUAGUAUUUUGCAAAUGCAUGUCGUUGGUAACAGAGCCGUACAACUCAUCGGAACACAACGUUUAGUUUGUUGUCUAUUCUUUUUUUUUCACUUCUCUAAGUAUUUUAAUUAAUUAGUAAUAGUUACUUAAAUAUUGCAAGUAUUUUAAAAAUCAAGAGCUAAGAUCAACUUAAGACCUUACCUAUUAUGAGGUGACUAGAGUAUACCUGAGCCACACUAAAGAGAAGUGGUGUUACUCGAAGAUCGGUGAGAUGUGAGGAGCUCUUCUAUUAUUGGCGGACGGAGAAAGAUCAGUUAGCUGGAUUCUUUGUGGUCCCACUCGGGUUUAAGUCCUUGACUUGGCACGAGUGUUCGUAUUUUCUUAUAUUAUUCCAAACUUUAACGGUGUUAUACUUUCAGUGGUAGGCGACGUCCUCGUCAACAGCGAUACGCUCGUGGUGACUUUGUAAAUUUUGAGAUCUGUCGGUUCAAUCCUUUGAAGGUGCUCAUAGGAAUAGGGUUUUGCGUGUGUGCGUUCUUAGGUGUGAGUGUACAUACGUCAUAAGUGUCUGUGUUGUACUAUGUAAUUUGAAGAAAAAAAAAACUCGCACAAUAAUAUACUAUUCCGUAAUAUUUGAAAGAGAUAGAGAUCCGUAUAGCAGCACGUGUAUGCCGAACUAGCUAGAUGGAAUAAGCACAAUCUGGUGCUCUCGCUGGCUCUGAUCACUCCUUGGCCGGGCAGUUAAUCGUGUUUUUUUAAAAUAAAAAAAUAAAAAAAGAGGCGGUUCCAUUUCGAUAUAAGAAGAGGCGGGGCUAAUCGUGUCUGUUCUACCUGUCGGCAUAAAGCGGCAAUAGUUAGUUAAAAUGAUUGCAUGUUGGCCAGCCGCUCAAUAAAGCGCGCAUCUUGGACUAGAGGCCCCAACGCGCGAGUGCUUUUUGGCGCCUUUUUUUUAAAAAAAAAUUCUGCUCGAUCGGGUCGAGGUGGAAGGUAGCCAGCCGCCCGCCUUUGCUAUGCGCUGCGGCCCAUAUCAUCAUCCAAUAGCAAGCCAGGGCCCAGGGCCCAGGGAUGAUUGGCCAUCUAUUUUUUUUCUUUUUUUUUUUUUUGAAACUGUGACUUGCCAUCUCUGUCAUGUAGAAGCACAGCCUGAGUGACGGUGCAUGCGUGCGUGCCCACCGGGUCCACGCGGCACUGGUAGCGUGGUCGGCGGUGGCUGCAAAUGGCAGCUCUGGACAAGGAGACAAGUUGCUGGCCGGGCGCGGCCGGAAUCUAUCUAUACAAAUCAUGGAGCACGCGCACUGUAAAAAUAUAUUUCACACCCUGUGCCUGAAGUUUAGCGGAGGAAUAUAUCCGCUCGCUAUUGAUAAAUAAUAUUUUUUGUCAUGACUUUUUAGUCAAAUGAAAAGAUGAAAAAUUAAAUCAUAGUACUAGUUUGCUAUGGUAAGUUUAAUGCAUUAUUUUUCUAUAAUUUGAUCAAAAUUAGAGAAGUUUUUUUUAAAGAAGGGAGAUAGAAUGUCUUUGUUCCUAGCGUGUCCUACUCACAGAGAGAGCUAGCUGCUAACGUAAAAAGAAAAAUGCUACUAUUCAUAUUUUGCAAAAAUUUUAGAAGUAAACAAGGCAGAGGGAGGUAGCUACGUACUCCCUCCAUCCCAAAUUGUAAGUCAUUCUAAGAAUCUUGUAGAGUCAAAGCAUUUUCACGUUUGACCAAAAUUAUAGAGUGAAAUACUAAAAUUUGUAACGUAAAGUGAGUAUACUAUGAAAAUAUAAUUAAGAAAGAAUCUAAUGAUAUCUAGUUGGUAUCAUAAUGAUUAUUAUUUUAUCAUAUCAAUUUGGUCAAACUUUAAAAAGUUUGACUCUUUAAGAUUCUUCAAAUGACUUACAAUUUGGUAUGGAGGGAGUACUAGCGUAAGAGCAUCUCCAAUAGUUAUGAAUAUGACUUGCCAUCCUUCAAAGUUUGGCAAAAGUAGAGAAAAUCAAUCUCCAAUAGUUUGCCAAAGGGACUUGCCAAAAUUGUGAGUUUGCCAAAUCGCGGUGCCGCGCGCGUAUAGUUGCGCACGCGAAUCGGAGUUGCCAUCGCGAGUCUGCGGCCGCGUUUUCUUCUCCCGCGCGGUGACUGAAAAAUCCAAUCGUGUUCCCGCUUGAGUCCGCACCUCCGUCAAUAUACUGCAUCCGUCGCCGCGGAUCACUCCGUCUCUCCCUCGCCCCAGUCCGGUUCGUUGUCGCGCCCAGGUCUGCUUCGGUGUCGCGCCCAGGUCUCCAUCGACCAAGUCGAGUGAUCCGUCGUCGCGCACAGGUCUCCAUCGCCCAAGUCCGGUGAUCCGUCGUCGCGCCCAAGUCUGCUCGGACGUCGCGCGCAAGUCCGCUACUUCGUCGCGCCCAAGUCCAGUUCGUCGUAGACCUGGACGUGAUUUCGCGCGCUACCUUCCUCGACGACGCGAGCUGGUGUUGAGGUUCGUGCCCCCUCUUGAACCUAGGGUUUCAACCAUGUUGUUCUUGUGAUAGUUUGAUCGGAUAGGGUUCAGUAAUAUAUGUAUAUAGUUUCCUUGAUCGGAUAGGGUUUCUGAUCUUGUGAUUGUUAUAUACUUUAUCUGGGUGGAUGACAAUUGUUUACUACAUACAUGAUACCUGAGUAUUGACUAUUGAGUCAGCAGUACAUACCAAAACAGAUUACCGCUGCUUUCAAUUACCUGAGUAUUGAGUAUAGAUUAGUUGCCUGCCAAUGAUGCUUGCUUAUGAUUGAUUGUAUAUUGUUUAUAUGUUCGAUGUUGUUUGCUGAUGGUCGAUCAUACAGUAUGUUGCUGCUCAAUAUAUCUUUUCAAUUCUAUUGUUUACAUUUGUUUAGACUGAUGGAGAUGGAUGGAGAAGGUUUCUUGUCGGGCAUUCUUAUGAGUGGGCAAGACGGCCAUGUUGCUGGUUUGGACGACCUCACCUUUCCAAUCUCUCCAGAUACAAAUACACAGUCUAGUCCAGAUGUUGAUGUUGAAGUUGUGCCUCCAAGUCGUGCUAGCAAGGGUAACAAGGGUACUAGGCGGUCCAAGAAUUUUCAUUUCAAGGAAGAUGAAGUUGUUUGUUCAGCCUGGUUGAACGCUAGUAAAGACUCCCUCCACGGGCCCAACCAAAAUCGUAACACUUUUUGGGGUCGAGUUCAUGCUUUUUUUGAGAAGAACAAAAAAACUAAUAUUUUGCGGACAGAGAGUUCGAUUAUGCAUCGAUGGUUCACAAUUCAGCAUCAAGUGAACAAAUUUUGUGGAUGCUAUGAGGCAAUUAAACGCAAGCAUCAAAGCGGACAUACUGUCACAGACAUGGUAAGUGUUAUGUUUUUAAUCCUUUACCAUAAUUUUUUUAUUUGAGACUGAUACAUAAAAUGCUACAUUGUUCUAUAGAUUUCAGAAGCAAUGAAGCUGUACAUAGAUGAAGACAAGGACAAAAAGAAAUUCACUCUUAUGCCUUGUUGGAACAUACUAAAGGGGGAGGACAAGUGGGCAGCCCGGAUGGUAGAGAUUGCUGAGGUAGAGAAACUGGAAAAAGCCAAACAAAGUUACUGUCAUUUUAGUUCUUUAUCAAAUCAACAUUUAUUUUACUUUAUUCGUCAAACAAUGUUACUUGCAUGGUACUGUAGUUGGAGCGCACGAACAAAACAAGGUCUUUGGUUUCUGUGCUUUACUUUAUUCUAUCAAUCAUCUCUAAAUGUUCCUAGAACUUGUAUCUAUUUCGCUAGACUUUUUUUUAUUCAGUCAGCCAGUGCAGGUCUAAAGGUUUUUUUUAUUCUGUGCUCUGCUUCUAUCGAUCGACAGUAGGCUACAGUGCCAUGCAUGAUGACGUCGAUCAUGAAUAAAAAUGUAUAGAUAAUACAAAUGUGUUUAUUACAUAAAGUAUAUGAAAUAUGAUUUCAUAUAUUGUAGGAGUAUAAAUCUGGAUGAUUGUUCCACAGGUGUUCGAUAAGAUCUUCCUUCAAGUGCACAUGUGUGGACUUGUCUCUGAUCUGUCUAUGCGCUUCAAUGUAUUCUUCAAGUGUACGAUGGGGUUGACCACGAUCAGGCUCGACAUUGUCACCACCGUAAUCAAAACGCUCGUUUGGGUCGACCACAAAUCCUUCAUCUUCUACAAUCAUGUUGUGCAUGAUGAUAGAAGCCCUCAUGAUUAGUGCCAAAGUCUCACUAUCCCAAGGGCGUGCGGGUCCUCGAAUAAUGGCGAAUCUUGAUUGAAGAACCUGAAAGCCCUAGUUUGGUUUUGGAUAAUUGAUGAAACCCUAGUACUAACCUCUAUGCUAAGUGUGUGUAGACUUAAUGAGGUUGGUACAUGCCAAGUGAUGGAGCAAGUGAUGAUCAUGGUGAUGAUGGUGAUGACCACAAGAUGAUCAAGUGCUCAACUUGGAAAAGAAGAAAGAGAAAAACAAACCCUAUGGAGAUCAAGGCAAAGGUAUUGCUUAGGGUUUUGGUUUUAGUGAUCAAGACACCAUAGAGGGUGUGAUCACAUUUAGGAUAGAUAGCCGUACUAUAAAGAGGGGAAUUCUUUGGCUAAGCGGUUAUCAAGUGCCACUAGGUGUCAUUGUUCAUGUGCUUGCAUUUAGAACCUAGUGAGCUAACUUAACUCCUUCGAAGAAAAUGAUUGUGAAAAUGCUAACACACGUGCACAUGUUGGUUUACACAUUGUGGUGUUGGCACACUUUGAGAAGGGAGUUGAAGUUUGAAGGGUUGAGAGAGGAUGGGUUCCUCUCUCCCUCCCGCCGAGCUUGCGAGGCGGGAUUCGGCGCUUUUCGAGAAAAUGAAGUGCAUAUUUUCUAUUGCGCCGGAGGGAAAUUUGGUGAAGUCGCGGGAGUGUUUCUCGCUGAGAAAACACUCACCGGACGCUGGCUUAGAGGCACCGGACGCUGUGUCUGAGCGUCCGGUGUGCAGACAGUGCCUGGCCCAGCUAGGGUAAGGCACCGGACGAUAGGCACCGGACGCUGGCUUGAGCGUCCGGUGGUGCGCGUCCGGUGUGAGGGGUUUUUGCAACCCUCUCUGCGCACAAGUCUGGUGAGCACCGGACCGUCCGGUGCCUAGCGUCCGGUGAGGUCGCGAGUUUGACAAACUCUCUGCGCACGAGUCCGAUGAGCACCGGACCGUCCGGUGCCCAUCGUCCGGUGGUGCUGUGCAGGCGCGCGUGCGAAGUAGCCGUUGGCGGCAACGGUCGACUUCAAACGGCUAGUGACACGUGGCGGUCAGCUGAGCACCGGACGCUGGGUGUUGAGCGUCCGGUGGCUCCCUGUGAGCGUCCGGUGCCCCCGAGUUUUGCCCAGUGAAAGAGCCAACGACUCUAUUUGUUUGAGGGGCUAUAAAUACGUGUUUGGCCGGCUUGGGGCACAUACUCUUGGCAUUCUAACAUACUUGACAUCCUUGUGAGCCUAAGCAAACUCCUCCCACUCAUCUCCUUCAUAGAUUAAACAUCUUUGUGAGAUUGGGAGUGAUUCCAAGUGCAUUUGCUUGAGUGAUUGCAUCUAGUGGCACUUGGGGAUCGAUUUGGCUGCGGUUUUCUUGUUACUCUUGGUGGUUGCCGCCACCUAGACGGCUUGGAGCAGCGGAGGAGGAUUGGCACGAGUUGGUGAUUGUUCGUGGCCAUCUCCCGGUGAUUGUGAGAGGUUUGUGCCUACCUCGGCGGAGAGCCAAAGGCAACAUUAGUGGAUUGCUCGUGUCAUUGAGCUACCUCACUUGUGGGUAGGUUCUUGUGGUGUCCUAGUGAGGACGAGGUUCGUGCUACACCUCUUAGCCACCGAACCACCAAGUGUUGGUCGACACAACGGGGACGUAGCGUGCCGGCAAGCACGUGAACCUCGGGAGAAAAAUCAGUGUCUCAAUUGUGUUUGAUUGGCAUUCUCCCGGUGCUUAAUUGUUUAUAUUGGUGAUUGGUUCAUCCCCUACACGGCGGUAUAAAUAUCUCAUCUUAUCUUUACUUACCGCAAACUAGUGUAAUUAGUUUAGUUGCUUACUUUGACUUGUGUAGCUUAGUUCUCUAGUGUAACUUGUAAAGUCUUAGUUCUUAUGUGCAUAGAGAUCUUAGCAACUAGAAUUGUUGGGUAGGUGGCUUGCAAACACCCCUUUAGAGCUAGAGCAAAAAGCUUCGCUUUGUUAUUUACUAACCUUUUGCUCUAGUGAGUUUGUAGAAUUUUUUAAAUAGGCUAUUCACCCCCCUCUAGCCAUAUUAGGACCUUUCAGAACCCCAAAAGCUCUCUCGACCAUCUUCCUCGCUGCUUCUUGCGCUUUGGCAAAAUAUUGCCUCUUGUUCCCCAUAGGUAGAGUGAUGGACUUGACUAAAGUAGCCCAUGAGGGGUAUAUACCAUCUGCAAGGUAAUAACCCAUUGUGUAGUCAUGGCCGUUAACGGAAAACUUGACUUCUGGAGCUUUACCUUCGGCCAAGUUAUCAAACAAGGGAGAUCUAUCAAGAACAUUGAUGUCAUUGUGAGACCCGGGCAUUCCAAAGAAGGCAUGUCAUAUCCAAAGGUCUUCAGAAGCAACAGCCUCUAAAAUGAUUGUGGGCUUGUCACAAUGCCCCUUGAACUGACCUUGUUUGUCAUAUGGACAGUUCUUCCACGCCCAAUGCAUACAAUCAAUAGACCCUAGCAUUCCUGGAAAUCCCUUUUUCUCACCCAUUGCAAGUAAGCGUGCUAUGUCCGCCUCAUUUGGAUACCUGAGGUAUUCAUCACCAAAAACUUCAAUAACUGCCCGAACAAACUUACGCAGGCUCUCAAGUGCAGUACUUUCGCCAAUGCGAACGUACUCAUCUGUCGCAUCAGCUGGAACCCCAUAGGUGAGCAUACGCAUUGCGGCAGUGACUUUUUGGAAGCAACUCAACCCAAGAACAUUGGCUGCAUUUCUUUUCUGAACAAAAUAAUCAUCAUGCUCUUCUACAGCAUUCAUUAUGCGUUUGAAAAGCUAAAGAUUAAUAACUAAAACAAAUUUUUAGCAUGUGAAACAAAUUCAUGCAAAUUUAAGAUCAAUAACCUUCGACGGAACAUUUCAGAGGUGUAUGUUGGAUUGUCCGAUAAAUAAUCUUGGUACAUCCUGUUGUGGCCGUCUUCUCUAUCACGGUACUGAACUCUAUGACCUUUGACAGAUCCACCAUGUCUUCAUUUUUCAUUGGAGAAGCUUUGCACAAUUUGAGCAGUCGCUAAUAUUUGGGAUUCAUCGUCAUCGGAUGAUGACUCCUCCAAUACUCUUCGUGCGCGGGAUCUUUUCCUAGGCAUGAGAUUCCUGAUCACGAGUACAGAGGAUGAAGAACAAAACCUAGAUUAUCUAAACCCUAGACUGCUGAUGGUCUAGAGGGGCAAGGAGAUGGAGUAUUGGCGGCGUACCUCACCUGCGAUGGAAGAUUACAAAGGGCAAGGACGAUCCUGUCGUAGGCCGCGACACGAUCACAGUCGCGUACGGGCACCUGCGAUGGUCGAUGGAGUCUUGGCGGCGUACGACUGCAGUAGCGGACGGAAACCACGAUCACGCGAUGAAGACAAGGACGCGUCGGUGGAGUACCGGUCAACAACCGGACCUGCUGGGCCCUCUUUUUUUUUUGAUUUGGCAACUAAAAAUAGGGAAUUGUUGGAGAUGACCUCUUUUGAACUUGGUAAAUUAUUAUAGCAACUUGCUAAAAGAUAACAUUUGGCAAUUCACAUAUUCAUAACCAUUGGAGAUGCUCUAAGAAGCAACAGAAAAUGCAUAGCAGGAACGACCUGCAACUGCAAGUCUUGCCAUUCCAUCGUCACUCGUGAGGGUUGACUGGCUGAGACUGUGCUGAUUGCGUCUGGGCUGAGACUGAUUGGAACAGCAGGUAUACUAUGGCCUUGUUUAGUUCACACCAAAAAUCAAAAAAAUUUUAAGAUUUUCCGUCACAUCAAAUAUUGGAGUAAAUGCGUGAAUCAUUAGAUAUAGACGAAAAUAAAAACUAAUUGCACAGUUCACCUGUAAAUCACGAGAUGAAUCUUUUAAGCCUAAUUAGUCCAUAAUUAGAUAAUAUUUGUUAAAUAAAAACGAAAAUUUUAAUCCAAAUUUUUUUCCGAACUAAACAAGGCAUAUAUGUAUUAUCACGUGAAUUAUAUAUAGUAGAGUAGUCAUGUCAUGACGGGGAGCUGCAGGUCGGCACGCAACGCAAGCAGGAAUCAGAUGAGAUGACAAUACCCGCCCCCCAUUUCCUGCCGAAUCCAUCUGAUCCGCACACGCAAUAAUGCACGCGCUCGUGGCGUGGCGGCGGCCGGCUCGCCCAUGAUUAGAGGCCGCGAUCGCGAGCAGCAAGCAUCACGGCCGGCCUCACGGGUCCUCGAGGAGCAAGUAGAGGAAACGCAUCACGACACUGCCCCCGCUAUGGUGGUGGGAGGUCAGGGCCUCGGCGCGCGGGGACCGACGACGUACGUGUCGUGGCGCCCAGCCACCGCGCGCGCGGCCGGCGACACGAUCCGCCCACGCGCGGCCGGGCCCGGGCCCCCGCAUAUGAUAUGACGACCGGGACACACGGCGACGUGGACUUCUCUGACUGACCUCGCCAAGAAAAAUAAAAAAAGGCUACCUUUUUGACUCGCCGCCGGUGACCGGCCGGCCGGACGUAGAGUACGUGGAUGCCUGGCGGCGCGGCCUCAGCUCAUCAGACGACGCGAAGCGCGUGGGAGGAACCGUGGCGCGGCUGUGGGACGACCGACCAUCGGAAGGAGACUCGGAGCCUUCUUGCUUCGUCCUCCGUCGUCCGUGCUUCAAUUCUUCCACACGGACGGUGACGGCCGGAGAGACAGCAGGGGGACGGUACACAAGCCGGCCGGACAGCGCGUUCGCUUAGGGCCCCAAAAAAAAGUUUUCAAGAUUCCACGUUACAAUCUUGUACCACAUACAUGAAAUAUUAAAUAUAAACGAAAACAAAAACUAAUUAUACAGUUUAGCUGUAAAUCACGAGACGAAUCUUUUGAUCCUAGUUAGUCCAUAAUUAGAUAACAUUUGUCACAAACAAACGAAAGUGCUACAGUAUCGAAAACUUUUUACUUUUCGGAACUAAAGAAGGCCUAGGUUUAGGCACCGGCCGGCCGUCCGGCGUUCGGUGCGCCGUCGUCGUCGUCGUCCCUGCAAUGAUCACCGCACAUGUGCCACGUCAUCGUUCACAGGAAGGAACAAAUUAAGGGCUUGUUUAGAUGUAAAAUUUUUUUAGAUUUUAGCACUGUAGCACUUUCGUUUUUAUUUGACAAACAUUGUCCAAUUAUGAAGUAACUAGGCUUAAAAGAUUCGUCUCGCGAUUUACAGACAAACUGUAUAAUUAGUUUUUAUUUUUAUCUAUAUUUAAUACUCCAUGCAUAUGCCGCAAGAUUCGAUGUGAUGAAGAAUCUUGUAAAGUUUUGGGUUUUUGGGUGCAUCUAAACAAAGCCUAAACAACGACGGGUCGGAAUCAAAACCAACACCAACACCAACACCAACACCGCGCACAAGUUUGCAACAGUGUCAUUGGGUAGGAGCAAAGUAGGGGAUUUUAAGGCCUAACAUCUUGAGGAAUUGUCCCAUCCGUAUUGGGUUCAAAGCUCUUCUUUUCUCCACCACAAGUCUUUUUUUUUUUCAUUUCUUUCUCUUUCUAAAAUAGCAUGUAUAUAGACAGGGUUGAGAAUAGGUACUGUUCGCUGAUUUGCUAUAAGAGAAAAAUAUUAUAAACAGGUGAUAGAUUCGGCAGAUAGCCUCAAACGAAAAGAACCUAAGAUUUUUUUUUAAAAAAAAAACUUUCUCUCACACCUUCGUUUUAGUUGCCGUCAAUUUAUACUAGAUUUAUACUCAGCUUGUACUAGAGUUAUGACUAUUUUGGUGUAAUUAACAGGUAGACUUGGUGUAACAGAAAAUUUAGUUUGAAAAAAUUUCUCUGCCACAUCUCAAUUUUAGUUACCGCCAACUUAUAUAUAUAUGCAAGAUUGACACUCGGACCUGUUUUGUUUUGAGUCUGUCUAGGCAACAUUCAAGGGAAACCAUCACUCGAUUUCUUUGGACCUUACAUAUAAAAAUGGAGUGCCCAAAAGGCCAAAACAAAUAUCUCUCAUUACAUUACAUUUGCAUCCUUUCCUUCUUCUUCUUCCUCUGCCCACGCACAAACUUUAUCCUGACACAUCGGUUGACCUCACCAUUAGGAGUUGGGACGACGUACCUCCACUGCGUAUCUAGUCCCUAUGUAGCCUCUUUAGUGUGUGUCCUCAAUUCGAUGUCAAAGGUUAAAUGUCGUGAGUCAAAGUCUCUACAAACUCAUCUACCACACCUAUGGUGAAGCUACAAGCCCAUAACUCCCAUCCCUUUUAGCCAUGAUAGGCUAUUCCAUCAACCUAGGCCCCACUCAUCCAUGCAUGCAAAAUUGUUUUAGCGAAUUUAAAAAAGUCAUAACUUUGAAACUGAAGAUAUAAAUUAAAUUCCGAUUGCACCAUUAAAUUUAACAAAUCCUUCAAAACAAGAUCACACAUGGAUAUAUUUUAUCUCUACAACUAAAAAUUAUAGAGAGGACCCAUUGUAAGGUUCAAAUGGCUAGAGGGGGGGUGAAUAGCCUAUUUAAAUUUUCUACAAACUUCAACUAGACAAGUUGAUUAGUAAAACAAAAGGCGAAGCUAUUCUAGCACUAGCACAACUAAGCUAUGCAAGCCACCUAUACAAACUAGUACAAGGCUAAACAACAACAAGAGAAGGCUAGUUACACUGCUAAACAAGAAGACUAAACUAAACAAGCUAAACAACUUGCAAGGUAAACAAGUAAGUAAAGGAGUGGAGAGUGAUUGUUAUACCGACGUUGUAGAGUAGAGAUAUAACCAACCAAUCACUCACAAUCACAAGAGAAUCCUCGGCAAGAGAUGACACAAGAUUUUUACCGAGGUUCACUUGCUUCCCGGCAAGCUACUCCUCGUUGUGGCGAUACACCCACUUGAUGGAUCACGAGCUAAUUGGCAAUCCAAAGCCAAACCCUCAGCGGGUGCCGCACAUCCACUCACAAGAUGGGGAUCCUCCAAGCCACGAGCAAUCCACUAGAGUAGCCAAUUGCGAUCUCCUGCAGGGAAGGCUCAAGAACCCCUCACAAAUCACUUGGUGAGGCUCGAAACAAUCUCCAAUCACGAGCUCAACACCACCGCUGCUCCAAGUCGUCUAGGGCGUCGGGAAACACCCAAGAGUAACAAGAAAUCCGCAGCAAACUCAAGAAUCAAGUGCCACAAAAUGCAACUCUCAAAGCAAUGCACUUGAAUCUCACUCAAUCUCACUAGGAUUAGCAAACAAGCAAGGAGAUGAGUGGAGGGAGUGUUCUCUAGCUCAAUGUAUGUCUCAAGUAUUCAAAAGUGCAAGAGAGAUCCUCCCAAAGCCGGCCACCCUCAAUUUAUAAGCCCCUGAAAGAAACUAGCCGUUGGCUGUUUUCACUGGGCUGAAAUCGGGGGCACCGGACGCUACUAAGUGAGCACCGGACGCUCGACUCCCUGCGUCCGGUGCACUGGAGUUGCCCACGUGUCCUCUUUGAAUCUCGCGUGUCAGAUCAUAACGGCUACCUGCAACACACCGGACGCUCUGCAAGUCCACACCGGACGCGUCCGGUGCACACCGGACUCAUGCGCAGAGAGUUUGUCAAACUCGCGACCUCACCGGACGCUAGGCACCGGACGGUCCGGUGCUCACUGGACUCGUGCGCAGAGAGGGUUGCAAAAACCCCUCACACCGGACGCUAACCACCGGACGCUCUCAGAGUGCGUCCGGUGCUCAACCCUAGCAGGGUCAAGCACACCGGACUCUGAGGCCAGCGUCCGGUGCCUCCGCACUCAGCGUCCGGUGAGUGUUUCUCACUGAGAAAACACUCCCGCAACUUCUCCAAAUUUCCCACCGGCGCAAUAGAAAAUAUACACUUAUUUUUCUCAAAAGCGCCGAAUCCUGCCUCGCAAGCUCGGCGGGAGGGAGAGAGGAACCCACACCCCUCUCAACCCUAGGAACUCCACCUCCUUUGUAAAUGUGCUAACACCAACAAGUGUCCACCACCAAAGUGCAAGUGUGUUAGCUUUUCACAAACAUUUUCACCAAAGGAGUUAAGUUAGCACUUUACUAGAUCCUAAUGCAUAUGCUCAAGAUAUGGACCUAGUAGCACUUGAUUCGAGAGAUGACUGUGAUUUCCCCUCUUGAUAGUCGGCUAUCUAUCCUAAACCCGGUCAAUCACUUCUCUACACAUCUUAGACCGGCAAAAGUAAAACCCUAUGUUUAUACCUUUGCCUUGAUAACUUUGCUCCUCGUCUAUCACCAUGAUCUCCACUUCAUGCUUCAUCCCUUUGUGAUCGUGUGGCCACCUUUCCAUGCCACCAUGCACCUUCAUCACAUGUGUUGCUAUGCCUAACUCAAAUCACUUAAACACAAGGCAUUAGCAACUUGGUGUCAUUAAUUACCAAAAACCAAACUUGGGCUUUCAAUCUCCCCCUUUUUGGUAAUUGAUGACAACCAACACAAAGAUAUGAAAUGAAAUCAUAAUGAACUUGAAUUGCUUGUCCAAAGCAUUUUAAUCAUGAGACAAGGUUGGACAAACAUUUCAAUUUCGGUUUUGGUAGUACUAGCUCCCCCUACAUAUGUGCUUCCAUGAGUUUGGUUCAAGUUUGCACAUAUGCAUAAAUUAGAGUUUUGGGAGAUUUAUUACUACCAAAAUGAUGCUAAGGUAUAUAGAAUGGACCUUUGAAGCGUGAUACCCAUCGGAGUUGCCAAUAUACCAUCCUUAGCACCAAUGUAGCUAGACAUACAUCAAAAAACUCAAGAUACCUCGUGAGAUCAUAAUAUAUGUCUAGAUACCACAUGAAAAUAAAACUCUAUGCUAGAAUUCAAAGCAUCAUUCAAGUUCUAUUUCUAGCAAGCACCAAACAUACAAGAGUAGGGAAUUUAAACUUGCAAUGCACCACCUCAUUAUGUUAAUGCACAUUCAAAUGCAACAAAUGGUUCAUGAGCUUGCUCCCCCUAAUUGUGUGCUCAAGUUUAAAGGUGUUUUCUCUCCCUAUCUUUGUUUCUCUUCCCUAUCUAUCUUUGUUUCUCUUCCCUAUCUUUGUUUCUCUUCCCCUUUUUGACUUUAUCUUGACUUUAUCUUUGUUUCUCCCCCCCUUUGUCAUCAAUGACCACAAAGGUUCAAAUUUUAGUGAGAAUUAAGUCAAUCAAUGUGAGGGUCAAAUUAUGGUUCAAUCUAGAUCACUUGCCUAGAACAUGUAAUUCGGUUUGAUCCAAGGACAAGCUUCUUCACACCUCAUAAACUAUAAGGGUUAUCUUGACCAUGUUGAAUUACACAUCUUAAGCUCAUAUUCUAGAUCCAACACUAGGCUUACAAGCUCACAAACAUGUCAUAUGCUACCACUAGAUCAAUCAAGCAUAGAAGCAAUAGCGGUACCAUACAUACAUCAAAUCCUUUUGAUUUUCAUGAAUGAGCCUAUUGUCAUGCAACCAUGUCUAUAUGUUCUAAUCAUGUCCUUAGCAAAGUAUGAAUGCUAUGUCAACCAAUUUUACCUUGCUUUGUUGGAAGAGAGGCAUGUCAUAUAGAAAUGUGGGGGUGCACUCAUCUCAAGUUGGAGAAGUCAAGUAUGUUCAAUUCAUUUCUCAACUUGCAAAAUCUCUUAUCAUCAAGUGGCUUUGUGAAGAUGUCGGCUAGUUGAUCUUCGGUACCAAUGCUUUCAAUGCUAAUAUCACCCUUUUGUUGAUGAUCUCUUAUGAAAUGGUGCCUUAUGUCAAUGUGCUUGGUUCUUGAAUGUUAAACCGGAUUUUGUGUCAUCUUGAUUGCACUCUCAUUGUCACAUAGCAAUGGCACAUUCUUGAAUUUGAUUCCAAAGUCAUUCAAGGUAGCUUUCAUCCAAAGCAAUUGUGCACAACAACUACCGGCACUAAUGUAUUCGGCCUCGGCGGUUGAUAGUGCAACACUAUUUUGUUUCUUUGAUGACCAUGAAACUAGAGAUCUUCCUAGCAAUUGACAAGUGCCACUUGUGCUCAUUUUAUCAAUCUUGCAUCCACCAUAGUCGGAGUCCGAAUAUCCAAUCAAUUCAAAGUUAGACCCCUUAGGAUACCUUAAUAUUCUUUUGGUUGCCUUCAAGUGACUUUCUCUAGGUGAAGCUUGGUAUCUUGCACACUUGCACACACUGAACAUCACAUCCGGCCUUGAUGCGGUGACAUAGAGUAAACUUCCAAUCAUGGACCGAUAUAGCUUUUGAUCUACCAUGUUGCCACUUGCAUCACUACCUAAUUGAUCAUUUGUGCCCAUAGGUGUGCUCAUUGGUUUAGCAUCUUGCAAUCCAAACUUCUUGAUCAUGUCCUUGAUGUACUUGCCUUGACUUAUAAAAGUGCCAUCUUCCUUUGCUUGAUUUGAAGACCAAGGAAGUAACUAAGCUCUCCAAUCAUGGACAUCUCAAACUCAUUUGCCAUCAUCUUUCCAAAUUCUUCACAAAAAUCUUGAUUGGUUGAUCCAAAGAUGAUAUCAUCAACAUAGAUUUGCAACACAAACAAGUCAUUGCCUGGCUUCUUGGUGAAGAGGGUAGUGUCAACCUUUCCCAUCUUGAACCCUUUAGAGAGAAGAAAAUCUCUCAAUCUCUCGUACCAUGCUCUAGGUGCUUGCUUCAAACCAUACAAUACCUUCUUGAGCUUGUAAACUGUGCAAUUAAUUUUUAUUUUCGUCUAUAUUUAAUACUUUAUGCAUGUGGUGUAAGAUUCGAUGUGACAGGAAAUCUUGAAAAGAUUUUGGUUUUGAGGGUGAACUAAACAAGGCCUACAUCCUUUCCUUCCUCCUCUGCCCACACAAACUUCACCAUUAGGAGUUGGGACGACGUUCCUCCACUGCAUAUCUAGUCUCUACGUAGCCUCUUUAGUGUGUGUGUGUGUCUCUCAAUUCGAUGUCAAAGGUUCAAUGUCGUGAGUCAAAGUAAAAUAAAAGAUUGAUGAGCUGAUGGACCACUGCAUACCUCAACACUGGUCUUUAAUUAUCUCGUACAGUAUGUAGUCAGAAUCCUUCAAAAGCCAGGAAGUGAUCAUGAAUGCAUACUACAGCCGUCAAUCGAUGGAUGGGUCGAUCGGCCUCCGUCGCUACAGCCGUCCGUCACGCACGCGCUGGCCGGGAGAGUGGAUGGUAAGCCAGGUUGCCAGCCGGCCGGCCCACAACGGACGGACGACGACGAGCCGUUGACCAUCGACGGACGACCGACUUGCAUGCUCAAAGUGAUGCGUUGACGAUGAUGGAGUUGACUUCCACACGUCCCAACAGCAAAUUAAAUAUCGCAUUUGUUGAUUGUCCAAAAUUAAAGGCGUGCGCUAUAGCUAUAGCUAUAGCUAGCUAUAAAAGUGUCCACUGUCCAGGCAAAGCAGCUGGCCACCGUACGUUCAGUAGUGAACUCUUUUUGCUAGCUAGUGAUGAUGAGCCACUCGAUCGAUCGAGCGAUCCACUGUGCGCCGGCACAUGCAACGGUCCUCCCACUACGGUCUGCCUAGGAACCCUACCGAUCGACCAGCUAGGGACUACCUACAGUAGGUGACAACGAGAGGGCGAGCGUUAACCUCGCUAGAUAGCCUAAUGGAAAGUUGUGGAAAUGCUCCGUACAAGGAGGAGUUUUUUAUUGCGCGUGUUAAAGUUUAACAGAUAGUAUAAUAUUUUUGUUUUAUUUGGUAAUUAAUUAUAGUGUUUAAUUAUGGACCGAUUAAGGUUAAAAAAUCGUCUCGCUAGCUAUUCUCUAGCUGUGUUUUUAAUUUGGUAGAUAAUCUACAUUAAACACUUUAUAUAUGUAUCUAAAUAUUCGAUGCGAUAGUCGGCGAUAGAGUUUACCGCCUCCAAUCAAACAGAAUGGGCGGGUGUUGCCAUCGUUGGAGACGGCCGGGUUGGGCACUACUGUCAACACCACCUUCAAUUCAAUCUAGCUAUAGGUAGAAGGGAAUAAUCACUGUCAACCGAUCGGCAUCAGCUCCUUUAUUUAUUUCCCUUCCUUCUAUCUCUGUGUUUGUUCCACUAGUCCACCAGUUAGCUAGAAUAGGGAAUCACCCGCACUUGCACGCGCGUGCGCGUGCCGUGUGCCAUUUCGUUACAGUUGAUGCACGUACGCGUCUAGCUAUAGCCGGAUGCCGACUACCACACAUGAGUCGCGUGUGCAACACAAGUCGUACUGUGUCAUAUGUUCUAACUAGAGAUUCUGACAAGUCUCAUAGCUUAAGCUUUCUUUUUUAUUAGUCCACCAAGACAACCCGUACUCUUCCAGGGCUGGAAUUUGAAAAAUUAAGAGCUAGACAUUUUAAAAUUCAUAUUUGAUACUAUCACAAAAAAAAUAUGUAUCAGUACAUUGUUUGUGUGUACUUUUUAUAUAUAUUGUGUUCGUUUUCUAACGUACAUAAAUACUAUUUAAUCUAUAUUUGGUUGUGUAGUAUCAAUUAGUUAUUCUAUAUGUUUUUAUGGACUCUCAAAAAUUUUUAUUUUCUCCAAGCGUGGUACCUUAUGAUUAAGGGGUUAUUUGGAUGGUCAUUUACAUGCUAUUUUAAGGUGUUAUUUGGAUUAUUUAUCGUAAUGGUAGAGCCAAUAAUCUUAACACAAAUUCAUGGGUUACUUUGGAUUAUGUUUUAUAAUGGCAUAAAUGGCUACUUUAGAUGUAGAGUGAGAGGAUUAUUUUUUGUUGUCCUUAUAAUGGUAUGGAGAGCAAUCUUUUAAAGAACAACAUUGAUCUCAUUGUGAUUGAGCACUGAAUUAAUGUGCUUAUAUUUUUUCCAUUUUUGUGAGAAUUUCUAUAAUUUAUCUUCUUAUCUAGAGUGUCAUGAAAGGAUUAACGUGCUGGAGUCUCCAAUUAGUAAUAGUAUGCUACUACACACUUUCCUCUCUCUACAUGUAUGGACACUUGUGGGUAAAUAUGUUGGCCACAAAACAUGAUAAAAGACUAGGUUUGGUCGAUUGUUGAUAGUAGAAUAUGGACAGGUGGGAUUGUGCUAGAACGCUUGGGAAAUUAAAAAGCAAAUUUUUAGACCUGAAGUUGGCAAGUGGUGUGUGAGUGUGUCUACUGUCAGGAAAGUCUAUCCUCAAGUUUAUGUCAGAUGUUUCUAGGCUAGGGUGAUGAGAACAUCACUCCUUCAGAUACAAGACUUAGAGGUGAAGCAUACCAAUGUGGACGUCCAAGUCACAAUGGAGGCCCAAUCUAACUAAUGUUAGAGUCCGCCUUGGACUCAAGGAGCAAUCUGGCUAAAAAUGCAUCCUAGGACGAAUGAGGACUCCAUUUUUUAUGGUCUACAUAUGUAUGGAAACCUAAGGAAAAAACAUUUUCAAUGCCACUGAUCUCACAUCAAUACUCUUUCUGAGUCAACGGGAAUUAUCAAAACAAAUGGGUGUCCUUAAUCUUUCUAGGCGUUGUGUCACCAUAUUUUGGGAUGUAGGCCCCUAUAUCUUGUUGUAGCCCAUUAAGGAUGCAUCCAUGAUUUAUUUGUGCCCUAAGACCUAUUAAUUCAUGGACACCGCUUCAUUAGGAUUUGGCUUUUGUUCUGUUAUAGUUUUCCUCUUGAAACAUACAUUCUUCGUAGCACUUAUAACGCCGGGUGUUUCACUGUUGUGAAUUAGGGGCCCAUUCUUGUACUUAGGCCUUGUUCAGUUGGUGAAAAAUUUUGGUUUUGGAUACUGUAGCACUUUCGUUUGUAUUUGGUAAUUGUUAUCCAAUUAUGGAGACUAACUAGGCUUAAAAGAUUCGUCUCGCAAAUUACAGGUGCUUCAUGCAUGUGACGUAAGAUUCGAUGUGACGGGAAAUCUGGAAAUUUUAAAGGGAACUAAACAAGGCCUUAGUCGAUCAUGCCAGAGUAGUCUUUUUUAUUCAAGACCUAAACCUACCUUUAAGAUCUUCAUAUACACAUUUGCAAUUUCAGAUUAUGUUGUUUAUGUUCUUACUGUGCUAGCUCCUCGAUUUGCAUGCACGAAAAGUCUUCUUGGCCAAGUUCUGCAUAAAUCGAAUCUAUCGUACACAAGAUCGGUCGAGUCUUCGUCAUAGCGUGAGUAGCAUAUAUAUUAGAGAGUGUCGUAUAGAUUCUAGUAGUAGUGUCGGCUAGUGAUGACCGGUCGAUACUGGAAGUUAGAAUCUACGACGAGGCUGAAACAAACGGGACCGCCAGAAGCAAUUCACCUCUUGCCAAGUCAAAUCAAAAUGGAAUACUAUUACCAGUGACCCACCAAAGGUUGCAUUGGCUGGUUUUUCUCUCAAAAAGGGUUGCGUUGGCUGGUACGGUAAAAGCUAGAGCUGUGUGUUCUACACUGGCAAACAAAAACAACCCCCUCUACACGUACAAGCAUCCAUCUCCAAUCAACAAGUUAGUUCCAUUGCAACAUCCAAACCAAAUUUCUCAACAAAGGACAAGUAGAUAGACACCGGAUCGACAGCGACAGCACAUGCAUGGCCAUGGCCGGAAGAUCCGAGACGCGCGCGGCCACGCCGGCGGCCAUCAGAACAUCGUCCGCCGGAUUCCAAUCCCUCACGAGCCGCUCGUUGGUUCAUUCUCCUCCAGGCCUUUUUUAGCCGGAGAGAGAGAGAGAGAGAUCGAAGAAAAACAAAGGGAGGGAACAUAAUCUUUCUCUUGUGCAAAAACUAAAGGUGAUCGACGAUCGUCGAUGGAAAGCAACACAAAUGGUCCAGAAGAUAGAUAGCGCGAUCAUUGGGUUCCGUCCGUUCCGUCCCUGACUAGCUAUCUAUCUAUCUAGUAGCUAGCUGUUCAUACAGUGACAGUGCGAUGCGAUGCAAUGCAAGUGAGUGCCUGCAUGCAUUUCUGUCCGGCCAUCCGUUUCCACUUUUUGGAGCUUAUCAUGAUCUAUCCGUCUGCUGUCUACCUAAGAUUCUCCACUUUCCUUCACAUCCAUCGACAAGCAUGCAUGCAGGAUCCGAGAUGUGCAGACUAAUAAUGUACUGUAUGGAAUAUAUAAGAGCGCCUCUACAGAAUGCAUGCAUGCAUGAUUUCUUCCACACCUCUUGGGCACUUGACAAUGGCUGCCUGCCUAACUUAGCUAGCUAGCUCGCUUUCUUACUGAUCGAGUUGACAUCAGGGGCAAGGAGGAGGAUCCAUGCCCAUGCAUGUACAAGCACAAGCACAAGUGUUUCUGAUGGUUUCGUCAAAAAAAAAAAGUGUUUCUGAUGGAUGCUACCGUGCUAGACUGCUAGCUAUGCUAUAUGCUAUGCAUGAUUGACGUCCAUUGUGAGUUGCAGUGACGACUUCAGUGUGAGGAGAAUGGAAACCAUUACAUACCAUCUUUGUUGGGGAAAAAAAUGGUAUUUGUACGUACUGUGGUAGAUAAAGGUGGCCUGUUUUGAUGCGAGGGAUUUGUACCUUGGACAAGUUGCAUAAAAGCGGGAACCAAAUUAGGAACCUUACCUAGAAAAGCUAGUUUUCUCAUCAUAUAUUAACUAGAGUCCAUUUUCUUUUCUUUUUCUGAAAAGGAAUCAUUCCACAAGAUUGAGUAAUUGAGGAGCACUCCUCGAUGAUGCUCAUGUUUUGUUUCUGGACCUUCCAUAAGUGAUAGACCCAAAUAUUUAUUAAAAACUUUCCUGCACUUAUCAUCCGUCAGUUUUGCAUAAAUUACAUGUACAAAGUUUUUCUUUUUUUGGCCGAAUAGAAAUGCACGUGGAAAGCACCCUCGUUUAUAUUAUUUGAUAAAUUAAACUAAUAUGAAUGUACCAGUAUAUUGUUUAUUUCUCUUUGAAAAUAAUCUAUAUACAUGUACCUGCAGGACAUUAAUUAUUGUUUAUUUCUCUUUGAAAUGAAUGCAUAUGCAUGAUAUUUCAUUAUUCCUCCCUCAGUUUUUGAGAUUUUGAAUUCUUCUUAAACAAACCCUCUCUUUUUUUGUUUGUGGUUGUUGUGCAGUGGCCCGUGUGUCGUUGUUACGAACCUAAACAUAUGGCUCUCGUGUUCUGAAAGCUGAAAACACUCGAUUAUUCUUCCUCAAGCUCGACGCCCCGCCGCCAACACCGUCCGCCACGAUGCAGUAGGUCUCAUUGAAGCUCUGCUGCUGCGGCUACGACAGCCUCCUCCCCCCUCCCUCACACGUCAUCGCCAUGGCUACAGGUGUCCGUGCCAUAACCUUGUCCAGUCAUCUUCUCUGCUACCAGAACUCUAACGCCGCCCUCCGGCCAGGCCCACCGCCUAGCCAUCAUGUCUCUCCCCCUCUCCCACGAGCCCCUUCUAAGCCUGCUGGAGUUAGAGAAAAAGAGGGGGAAAGGCUAGAGACAAAGAAGAAUGAGCGCAAGACGAAUCAAAUAUUGAGAGAGAGAGAGGAACUCUCGAUUGUCAUUUGCUAUUUCUCAAACAUAACCUUACAGGAGGAAAACAUAUACAAAAUAAAAUUGUUAAUAAAAAAGUUAAAAGAAACAUUUUUUUUAGCUCCAUACACCUACAGUAGACUCAUCACAACACCCACCUCCUGCCAUUCUGGCCCCACACCCCUUGUCUUUUGUCUUCCAAGGAAUGCUACCAGCAUGUGCACAAGGGUGCCUACACCUUUCACUUAAUUAAGCGUCACUGUUCUAUAAGGGCCUCCAUGCAAAGAAACAUCUCACACUGCAUUUUUUUUCUCUCUCCCUCCCCUUGACCCCUUGUAGUACGAUUGACCAAAGUCGUUGAACGCAUUGAAUACUGCAUGCAGUACAUACGUCCAUCCUCCUCUCCAGCUAAACAACAAUUAACUGCUGAACGGGUGGUAGACCUUGAGCGCGUCGAUAACGUCGGCAAUGGAGCCGGCCGCGGCGGCGAUGGACACGAACAGGCACCCGACGCUGAGCGUCUGGAGGCAGAUCCACUUGGUGCUGCCCCGCGGCACGCGGCGCUGCUUGAUGUACAUCUCGACGGGGAAGUAGACGGUGAGCGGCCAGAACGAGACGGCGCCGAGGAAGCCGACGACGUUGCCGAAGAAGGGGAGGAGCAUGGCGACGACGGUGGUGACGCACACGAAUGCCGACCGCCACGUCAGGCGGAAAAGGCUCAGCGCGAAGGGGCCGACGCGGAGCUCCCGGGCGAUGAAGGCGCUGUCCGGCCACGCCGCGGCGGCGCGGCGCUCGACGAAGGCGAAGAUGGGCUGGCAGAACACCUGGUAGGCGCCGACGAGGUGCACCACGAUGGCGAUGUUGGCGAUGUCGAUCAGCCAGAACGGCUCGAAGAAGCCGAACCCCGUGAGGAGGUUGUCGGGGGCUUUGUCGCCGAACGCCGCGUACCCCAUGCAUCCGCACAGCAUGUAGAAGAUGGUCGUCGUCGCCACGCUCAGACGCGUCGCCUUCUGCAUCACCUUCGACUCCGACGGUGGCGGCGCCUUGAUCGUGUCCUGGACGAAGAAACAGAGCAACGUUGAUUAUUAGGAACAGAGAAGUUUCUUGGUGAAGGAAACAGAGCAGAGCUCUGCGUAGGUCUUGAUGCUUACUUGGAUCUCGAUGAGGAUGUUGGAGAAUGAGUAGGCGAAGGCGAUGUCGCCGAAGGCUUGCAGGCUGUGCCAGACCUUCUGCGUGGAGGUGACGUCGGCGCCGAUGCUGAUGCCGGUGAGGCUGCCCUUGAACCCACCAUUAGCUGCAAGAAAUAAUUCAGUGGAUUGCUCGAGCAGAAUUCAGUAACCAAGAACUGAUGAAUCAUGCAUGGGCAUAUAUUGAAGCAGGGGACGACAGACAUACCAACAGUCUGUGCGAUGCCGAGUGACAACCCGAUGCUGGAGUAGGUGAAAGACAUGACAGCAGCGACGAUGGAUAACCACCAAAUCUGAUCGAAGUCUGGUAUCUGGGAGAAGAGGAUCUGCACAGCUCCAAAGAGGAUCAUGUAGGGAUUGCUCGAGCUCUUGCACGGCACGGCGUGGCCUCGCUUAUGGAAGCAGCCAGCUCUACUGAUAGCCUGCAUGCUGAUGGACGACGCGAUGGUGUAGCCGAUGGCGACGCCGACGAGGUUGGCGUACUGGAUGCAGCCACAGAAGGCGACCCUGGCGCCGCCGAGGUUGGACCGGACGGCGUCCAUGUAGGUGUAGUUGCGCUUGCCCGUGUCCGGGUCGCCGGUGCGGUAGCACUCCGCGAGCAGCGUGGCGGUGUAGUAGGUGACGAAGGCGAAGAGCAGCAUGGCGGCGGGGCCGGCCACCCAGCCGAGCUGCGCGAUGGCCCAGGCCAGGGAGAGCACGCCGGAGCCGAUCACGGCGGUGAUGAUGUGCGCGCUCGCCGUCCAGAACGUGCCGGUGCGGCGUGGCCGCCCGUCGUCGUCGAGAUACUCGGCCGCGUCGCCGUUCCCGGCCUCCAUGGAGACCUCCAUCGGCGGUAGGUGCUUGGUGGUGCCGCCGUUGUGCGACGCCAUCGCCAUGUGGGUACGGUCGUCUACAACUGGGAGCUCGCUGGAGCAGAGGAGACCGGCGGCCGGACACAGAGGAGAAGAAGGAGAGCAGCCGUGCGGAGAGGGGGAUGGAUGGGCUGCUCUGCUCGGUUGUUGUUGGUGAGCGGUGGUGGUGGAGUGUGAUGGCAGAAGGGGGGAGUGAGGUGGUGUCGUUAUAUAUAGCGGCCGGAGACGGAGAGCAUCUGACGGGCGGGCGGUGGAGGUGGAGGAGACGGUCGUGAUGGCCGCAGGCAGGCAGGUCCGGUCAACGCGCGGCGCCGGGGCGGGUGCUAGCUAGACGUAUCUCUCCUGUUUCGUGUCAGCUUUGUUUUGAUUCGUUUCGAGCAGCAGGGAAAAUAAAUAAAAAAAAUACGUGUUUAAUUAGGGACGUCAUUUCUUCUGACUCCCUCCGUCUCCAAAAGAGUGUCGUUUUAAGUUUUUGUGCCACAAGUUUGAAUCGAUUUGUAAAAAAUACAUGCAAUAUUUGUAUCUCUAAAUAAUUUUGUUAAAAAACUAGACUUAAAGAUUUUUCCGAUGAUACUAAUUAUGUAAUAUAAAUAUUAAUAUUUUUAUUAUAUAUUUAGUUAAAGUUAUUUCUCGGAAAGCGAAACGACACUUAUUUUGGAACGGAGGGAGUACUCUACUGUCUUUCAAUUAAAUUAAUCUCCUGUAGGCGCCCUGGCCCCUCAAGUUCUCUAAAAAAAAAUAUAGAGACGCCGUUCUGCUACUACGGCCUGCGGACUGCUAGAGAAAGAUAUUUAGGCUUUAUUUAGUUUUAAAAAUUUUAAAUUUUUUUAUCGCGCAAAUAUUUAAUAGAUAUAAAUGAAAAAAUAACUAAUUACUUAGUUUGUCUAUAAUUUAUAGAAUAAAUUUUUAAAUCUCAUGGUCUAUAAUUAAAUAAAAAUUACUAAAUACAAAUAAAAUUAUUACAGUAGUCUAACUAAGGCCUUGUUUAGAUUCAAAAACUUUUUGGAUUUUGACACUGUAGCAUUUCGUUUUUAUUUGACAAAUAUUAUCCAAUCAUAGAGCAACUAGGCUUAAAAGAUUCGUCUCGUGAUUUACAAGUAAACUGUGCAAUUAAUUAUCUUUUUUUUAUUUAUAUUUAAUGUUUUAUACAUGUGCCGCAAAAUUCGAUGUGAUGGAAAAUCUUGUAAAAUUUUGGGUUUUUAGGUGUAUCUAAACCAGGCCUAAAAAAAUCGCAAAUUAAAUAAGCCUGAUAGAUGCCGCCGGGCCCGGAGAGAGCCAAGACAAACGCUCGUGAGCGUGUGAGGUGUACGUGACGACAGUAGCGAAAUCGGAUGCGUGUUUAUUAUUAUAUGGUAAAUAAAUGUAGCAGCACAUAAGACCGGAUUGGGUUCAAUCCUAAAAACAAAAAACUUUUUAAUUUUUUUUUUUUCAUAUCUAAUCUUGUAGCACAUACAUGAAACACUAAAUAUAGACGAAAAUAAAAACUAAUUACACAGUUUACCUAUAAAUCACGAGAUAAUCUUUUGAGUCUAGUUAAUCUAUGUUUAGACAAUAAUUACCAAAUAAAAACAAAAAUACUACAAUACCAAAAACUAAAAAAAAUUCAGAACUAAACAAGACCUUAAUGCCGCGUUCCACAAUUAUGUGCUCCUAAAAAUACUUUCAUAUACUAGCGUUCUACGGUUAGGUGCUGGUAAAAAUACUCCUACCGAAUUAGGAGUACUUAUUGCCAGCCUCGAUGACAUAGCUACCAUGGUACACACAAAGUUGCAGUGGAUCUAGGUUUGAUGGUAGAAGGAAGUAGGAUAAAACUAAAACAAGCUUAUCCGAUCCUAAAAAAUUACCGUUCUACUACCUCCGUCUUAUAAUAUAAUGUAUUUUAGAAAUUUAAGUUAAAUUAAUAAAGAACAUGUAUCUUCAUUUUGUUUUCUAAUCAGACACUAUUGAUGGUGAUUGCUUCAUAAAUAGAAAGUAGUUAGUGCAAAACUGAGUUUGUUCUCUAGAAUGCACAAUUUCUGAAUGCUAGAAUGCCCUAUGUUACAAGAAGGAAUACUAGUUACAACCUACUUAAAUUUAUUAUCUAAUAAUAGUUAGUUGGCUAAUACCUCAUUAUUUGAUUUGGUCUAACUAGUGGGAUACUUCUUUCAUCCUGGAAUAGAGUACAUUAGCGUUUGAGAUGUGUCUUAAAUAUAGUGCAUUCAGGAAACAUGAAGAUAUCGUUUACUUAAAUAAAAAUACGUGAUCUACUGCUUCCUUUUUCAUUUAUUCUCUCUUCUACUUAGAUAAUGAAAGUAAUUCAGUGCUUACCAUAUUUUUUAUAAGAAAACAUAGAUUCUACUCUUUAAUCAUGCAAAAUAGGAUUAGAUUACAGUAGAUUAGAAAGUUAAGUAAGGGAUACAUACUAUAUUCCAGGACCGAGGGAGUAGUUAUCUAAAGGUCCAACUAACAAUUAGCUAGUCCAUUAUCUAUAUCAGUUUGGAUAAAACAAAUAGUUAUUAGCAGAUACUCUCACCAUUCCUAUUGAGAAGUAAAAUAUUCCAAACUUUGACCAAAAUAUGUAUACAAGAAAAUACUAAUAUUUGUAGUACAUAAUUAGUGUUAAAUUUAGAUAGAUUGUUGAAUCUAUUUUCAUAAUAAACUUAUUUGGAGAUAUAAGGUCCUCUUUGAAUCCCUCUGAUUUUUGUUAGCUUUUAAGAAUCUAGUUUUUGGAAACUGGGUGCUACCACCAAGUUUUUGUUGUUAGUUUUUGCUAAAUUCUUAAAAACUAGGAAGUUGUUGAUACCUAGCUUUUAUCAGUUGUUUGUGACCCAUAAAGUAAUAUAAAUGAAGUUAGAUUCUUAAAAACUAGAGAUCCGAACACCCUCAUUAGUUUUUGCUUAGAAUCUAGAUUUUCAAAACUAGAUGCCAAAACUAGUUUUUAAGGGAUCCAAACAUGGCCUUUGCUCAGCAUAUCUUAUGUGAGUUUCCAAUGCAAGUUUGCAUACAACACCCUAUGUUUACCAAUCUUUAUGCUAGUUUCCAAAAUAUGAAGGUAGUGAUACCUCUAUUUAUUAGAUGACAUUUCACAAUUAAAAAAUGAGUUCUCAUAUAAGAGCAUGACUAAUAAUAUAGCUAGCUGCUAGCUCUAAGGUUUCUUUGUAGUCUUUUCGUAGCCCACACAUAUAGUGGUUAACUUAUCCACUAAUACAUGAUUCACUUGUCCCUUUUACAAACUUCCUUGGAUCUUGUCCGGCUGUAAACUUACAACCCGCUUCUACUCUUUCUCCUCUCCUCUUUCCUCUGCCUCAACAUUUAGCCGGCUUACAACCCAUUAUUAUACUUACUCUAAGUCUCUAAGUAGGGUUAUGACUAGUUCAGACCAUAUCCGAGACCGAAUCCACUUAGAGGACUUUAGAUUUGUCCGUAACAAAGUCCAGAUAUUCAACAUCCGACAACAUAUCCGUAUCCAAAUACUUAAAUCGCAUAUUUAUGAUAUCGAUAUUCAUUCGUAUCCUAUCUGACAUAUGUGAUGCUAUCUAUAUUCGAAUCCGAAUAAAAAUACAAAAAUAAUUGUAAUAUCAAUAAUAUAUACCGUAUCUGAUCCAUUUGCAUCCCUACAUAUAAGAAUUGACAGAGUUAAUUCUUAAUUGUACAUACAUAUGAGUCUGCAUGAUGUAGCCAUGCAGGUGUGUAAUAUAUACUAAGGGCAUCCAAACAAGGCACUUCUAGCUAUCUAUUCGCUUAGGGCAUUCACAAUGUAAGACUCUAUCACAGAAUCCAAGACAAUUAACUAUAUAUUAUUUAUGGUAUUUUGCUGAUGUGGCAGCAUAUUUAUUGAAAAGAGGUAGAAGAAAUAAGACUCUAAGUCUUACUCCCUCCGUCUCUGAAAGAAUCAAUUCCUAGGAUCCGUGCCAGUCAAACUUUUUAAAGUUUGACUAACUUUAUAGAAAAGAGUAACAACAUCUAUAAUAUAAAAUACACAUUAUAUGAAAAUAUAUUUUAUGAUGAAUCUAAUAAUACUAAUUUGAUACUAUAAAUCUUAGCAUUUUUUUCUAGAAAUUUGGUCAAAGUUUAAAAAGUUUGACUUAGGACAACUCUAGAAAUUGAUUCUUUCAGGGACGGAGGGAGUAUUUAGACUCUAAGUCUAUAUUGUUCGAGGUAAUAAAUAACUUUAAACUUUAUGAUAAAGUGUUGUAUUGUGAGUGCCCUUUAUGUCGGGCAGAGAGGGCACCGAAAAGUUUAGUCGCUGGCAACGCAUUCGUCGCUCAGCUUGCACACUUCCACAGUAAUUUUUCUGUCUCUGCCUUGGUGACCCACUCCCGCCUGUGCUGUUGGGCUGGCAACUUUUAUAUUUGCUUAUUUUCACUUAGCUAGUGAUUUGGCUCAGCUUGUUGAGGACGCCCUAAUGUAGUAAUCAACUUCAUAGAGGGCCAAAAUUGACUAACAGAGGUUGGCACUAUGUCCACCUCAACAAAAGGUCACUGCAUAUCGCUAUAGCGUCAGCCUCUAUAAAUAAAUUAGGUCUUAUUUAGUUCAACCUAAAAACCAAAAACUUUUCAAGAUUUUUUAUCACAUCGAAUCUUGCAGCACAUGCAUGGAGCAUUAAAUAUAGAUGAAAAUAAAAACUAAUUACACAAUUAGCCUGUAAUUUGCGAGAUGAAUCUUUUAAGCUUAGUUAGCUCAGGAUUGAACAAUAUUUGCCAAAUAAAAAUGAAAACAAAAACUAAAACUAAUUACACAUGCAUGGAGCAUUAAAUAUAGAUGAAAACAAAAACUAAUUACACAAUUUGCCUAUAAAUUGCGAGAUGAAUCUUUUGAGCUUAGUUAGCUCAUGAUUGAACAAUAUUUGCCAAAUAAAAAUAAAAGCUACAGUACCUGAAAAUAAAAUUUUUUGAAAACUGAACAUAGCCUUAGAAAAAAAUAUAAAAAUGUCAGCACUGCCCGGAUAUAAAGACCACACUGAACCCGUCGUGCCGGUCAUGGAUUCGCCAUCACCUCUGCUCCUCUAAUCCACCAUAGGAGGUUCUGAUGAGCCCAUGGCUCCUCGCCUUAUUACAGUUGGUCAAGCUAAAAAUAAUGUGUGUAUAUGCAGUUUGGUUCAUUUUCUCUAGAUGACAAUCAACACAUGAUGAAGGAAGGACAUGAACAUGCUACUGCUACUGAUCUACCGCCAAGUUGUUAUUUAAAGGAGCUAAUUAUUAGGUCAUGAAACAAAGCAAGCUGGUGAGGUUUAUCACAGUUGGGUCCAUACCUGUGGAGAUAGGUUGAGUUUGCCGAGAUCAAAGUUGUGCUCAUCUGAAGUCAGCUGGCAAUUUAAUCAUUCAAAAUUGCAGACGACUUUAGAUUGUUGUUAUGCUUAGCCCAAGUCCAGGAAGGAUAAGACCAGUCUCAAUGGACAUGUCACUGCAUGGUUUCACAUACCAACACGUCAUCAAGAUUGAAAUGAAAUCAUCUAUGAAAUAACUCCAGCAAUGAAGCAUUUCACUUUGUUGUUUCCAAGGCUAGCAAAGCAUUUAAUUACUGCAAAAUGAUUGGAUCACAUGCAAGAUGGUGAAACGAUUUAGCCCUCAGUGGAGAUUUCAUCUCGUUUCACCGCGUGAGAAACAACGCCCGUGGAGUUUCACCAUGGUGAAACUACUUCUUUCUCUCUCCUCUUUGUUUCAUACAAAAAGUGCAGUUUUGCUGACGCGCUCUAAUAAAUGUGCAUGACAUCCUGGUGAUACCCCCACUAAAACUGGCCUAACGAGGUUUCUUCAAUAUGACCAACAUUAAUUGUAUACUUGAGUUGUCUACCUUGGUUGGGUAGUCACGCGUAGUAAUUUAUUUCUUGUGUAACCGAGCCAUGCAGAAAUCUUUCGGCCGAACGGUCGGACGGACAGGAAGUUCCCGCCGAACGACUUGAGAGGAAGGCUAUUGUUUAGUGGGCUAUUCAUUAUUUAUUUCAGCCCAAUUGCAGUAAGUACGUCGCUAGGGAGGUCCAAUACGUGUCCGUUCUCUCCACAUCUCCGUCGUAUAUUUUUCUUUCUUUUUAUUUUUUAUAUUUUAUUUUAUUUUACUUUGUCAUAUUUUCUCUUUUUACUUAUUUUGUUUUUUCUUUCCUUUUAUUUUUUACUUAUUUUUCUUUUCCUUUAUUCUCUUUUUACUUACUUUCUCUUUUCUUUCUACUUGUUUUCAUUUUCUAUAUUUUAAUAAUCAUGAAAAAAAUGUUUCCUUAACGGCUCAUAUAAUGACACAAAUAAUUCAUUAUAAAUAUGUGAUUACCCAUGACAACAACUUAUGUAGGUUGUUAUACUACUUAAUUAUAAGUUGUAUAUACAUUUAUACAUUUUUUUUGACUAAAACGCCAUAACAUGACUAUAUCAAUAGGACACAAAUAACUUUUAAUAGAUGAAACUUAACACAUUAAGCAAUACGAGAUCGAGUUGGUUUGUGUGGGUUAAAGGUGGCCACGGCCAACCCAAUGGAAAUUUCUUUUAAGCAAAUAAUAAUAAUUAGAUUUAAAGAUUAAUAUCAUCUCAAUAUUAGCUAUUAUUUGUGUCAUUAUAUGAGCCACCGAUUGUUAAAAGGAGUAUGUUUCAUGGAUGGUUUUAAACUGUUUGUAUAAAUUGAUUUUUAGGGAUGGUUCUAUUAAGACCAUCGCUCUAAAAAAUCGAUUUAGGAUCAGUUGACUUAAGUCAACUAUUCCUAAAAAUAGGUUUCAUAAAUUUUAAAAAUUACUUAUAAAUCUAUUAAAAAUAAGAAAAGAAUAUUUUCAGUGUGGCCCGAAGCCAGCUCACAAGAUUUAAUUUUUGCUAGUUCUGACCUGCAAACCUCUCACAUAGCACGUUAUAUCCACUAACAUCACACCACACAAUCACUUCUAACUAGUUCUAUGAUGUUAUCUAUUCAUAUUAAUAUAUACAAAUCUUUGUCACACCCAAUUUCAAGGAUGAAAUUGAAUGCAUAAACUUAUGUACGCCCAGAGAUCAAUCACACACAUAAGUCACAAAUUAAAUACCAUCAUCGCAGUGUUUACAACAAACGUAGUUAUUACAUCACAAAGUCUGAUAUAACAGCGGAAAUAUAAAUAUGAUAUUCUAAGAUAACUAUCUCAUGGCCCUCACACAGGGAAGGUCGACUGGUGAAGCACAAGCCUAAUAGUCCUCCGGGUAGUCCUCAUAGCUACCACCAUCUGUUACCCAUCCGGGAUUUUUAUCCAAAGAAAAGAAAUAUACAAGCGUGAGUACAUCUUGUACUCCACAAGCAUAGCAUGAGGAUUUAUGAGGCUCAAACAGGCUAAACUAGGUUCACUGCAUCAGCUUUUAGUAGGUCAGUGUUUUAUCAUUAAUUAUUAUAGAGUAUGCUUAAGCUACCAAAUAUCCCAUAUGAUCAGUUAUUAGAACCAUAGUAAGUCAAUAAGUCACAUUAAAGCAUAAUUAUACAUCAUCAUGUACCAUAUAGCCAUCAGUAACCAGUUAUUCUGUGAGUUUUCCGGGCCGCUCGUGACCGUGAGCACGGCUGUUAUAACAGUUUUACACUCUGCAGAGGUUGUGCACUUUCACCGUGAGUCGUGUUGCCCAUAUGCCCGGGAUCCGUCGACCCCCAAACACUACCAAGGUGAGCGGGCAGGGUACACUAUGAAGCCUUCCAUAGGCCUAUUCUAACCAGUUAGGGCCGCGAGGUUUCCUCGGCAGGCAGAUGUAGAAAACCCCCCCUUUUCUAUGGCACAUUUCCAUCGCGGCUAUACUCAUAGAAACAGGGGCAGCCCUACACCCAAAGUGGCAAGCGCCUCUUGCGCCCUUUUGGGUAACUUCUAAGGAGUUAGAAAAGGUCCUAUUACUGAGCUAAAGUCAGAGCCAUGUGACUCUCCCGGUUGCACUGUAAGUCCCAGCUUUUGCCGACAGAUAAGUCCUUACGGAGGGUCUAGGACAACAUGACCAACAGUCAUUUGUACCAUAGCCCUAUGUUCCAAUUAUCAUAAUCAUGUUUAAUCAAUUAACCAUGGUUCCAUCACUGAUUUCAGAUCAUAUAUAAUUGGAGUUAGAGCACUAGCACUUCUACCCAUAUGCAAUAAAAACCCUCGGGAACAAGGUAAUUGUCAUCAACAGCUAGGAUGUCCUUAUAGUUUGCAAUAUUAUACACAUGCAGGGUGAAAUGCUUAAAAAUAAGUAGGACAACAAGGUAGGCCCAUGCUAUACUUGCCUUGGUUCACGUACUCCUGCUGGUCUUGCUGGUCCUGCUGAUCCCCAAAGAGCUCCGGACUCCCGAAAUACUCCUCACCGUCUGGGCUCGAUCAAUACAUCACAAUCAUCACGCAUACCAAGACAAACAUGCAAGAGAACAAUUCCUAAAGUUAGAACAGUACACCAGCAGUAAAUAAAUUAAAUAAAAGUUUUCCAAAAUCAUCUACGUGCUGCUACGAUCAAGUCAACGCGAAAUUCACGGAAAACGGACUUACGACGCGAAAGUUACGCUUUUAACGGGAUUUCAACAGCAAUCUACGGACUUGUAAAUAACUAGGAAAUCUAACAGUGGUAAACCUAAACAACAGUGGUACCAACGCGAAGCUUACAAAAUUACGAAACUAACGCAACUUGAACGGAUUGAUUCGGAGUUCAAACGGCGAUUUUAUAGCUAAAACAAUGCGGUGGCAAUUCUGUAAAUAAGACAGAGUUUAAACGAAUUUAAAUAAACGAAAUAAAUCCUGUAAAUUCCUCUAGCCGAGGACUGCGGUGCAAAUACAAAAAUUUUAGGGGACUCUUUAACAAGAUAUCAUAUGAAGGGGUAAUAGGUAUUUUUGGCCGUUGGAUCAAGAUUGAACGCGCUGGAUUAAAAGAUAAAUAAAAAAAAUAAAAAAAAAGAGAGAGGAAGGUGACGGCGGACAGGCAGCUCAGGCCAGAAACACGGUGGCCACCAUUGACGGCCGGCCCGAGCUCGCCGGAGUUGAGCGGAGGAGGUGCUACGGUGCACGGUUUUCGAUUCCGAUUGAACUGAGAGAAAGAGGAGAGCGAUGCGAGUCUAUUCCACUCCAAAAACGCGGUCAAGGAGGCGGUUUCCGAGAAGGUUCACGGCGGCGCCAUGAACGUCCCCGUCGGAGCUCGUGGAACUCGGACUCCGGGCCACGAUUGACCAAACCGAGCACACAGGGAGGAAGAGAGAGGCAAGGCGAACUCGCUAGAACACUUGGCGCGGCUGUGGAAGGUCCUACGCGGCACGCGCCAUGGCCGGCGGCCAUGGAGCUCGCCGGAGCUCCGCGGACAGCACUAAGGAGUGCGCCGUUUCGCGAGAAAAAUAGACGGAGAGGAAGCGGGAGAGGAGAGGAAGCUCACAACGGCGCUAAUUCGGAGCGAAAACGGCUCGGAACGGCGGCCUACUCGCGGUCGACGAAGAACUACCCGGCGACGGUUUUCUCUGCGCUUUCACGGAUGGGAGCAGAAGCGAGGAGGGGGAAAAAUGGGGAGAGGAAGACUCGGGCACGCGGACUCCCUCCACUUGAAGCCGAGACGCGGGGGAAGCUGGAGAACGUGGGAGCGGGGCUUCGGCCUGGGCGGUUGCUGCUGAGAGAGAGGAUUCGGGAGCGACGGUUGGAGGAAGGAGGUGGUCCUGACGGGUGGGCCCCACCCGUCAGCCGCCAGAGAGAAAAGCUUUUCCUUUUUAUUUUCCAAACAAAUUUUCCAAACUCUUUUCCAAAUGAAUUUUUGAAUUCAAAAUUCUUUUCAUCAAAACCACUCAUCCCAUAAAGAAAUGCACCAGCAUGUAUGCAACAAAAUAUUAGCCUAACUUAUAUUUAAUUUUAUUUUCUCUAAAUUUAUUUAUUUUUCCUAUAUUGAAAAAUGCUCACAAAAUUAUUUAAUAAAGCCAAAUUCAUCUAUUUUUAAAAGAGCCAAAUUUUGGGUGUUACAAUCUUAUAAUCAAUAUUUUGAUUCAGAAAUAAUCUUAAGUGAGAAAAUUUUCAAUAUAAAAUUUUGGAUCUCUUCGAGCACACCAACUUUGAUAUAGGACAUUUCCCCACCCAAGGUCAUUUGAAAAAAAAUAAAAAUCUCAAAUCUUAAAUUUGAUAACUUAAUAUACAUAUCUAGGACCUUAAAUGAUCUCAAAUGAAAAUUUUAUCAACUGCAGAGUUUUAUAUCUCAUCAAGUUCUUGAUAUAACUUUUGUCUUCACCCGACUUCAUUUUAAAAAGUUAUGAAUUUAUUUGUGCCUUUGAAAAUCGAUUUCUAGGACGGUUGACUUAAGUGAAUCGUCUCUAGAGAUCACCUAUUUUUAGAGACGUUGACAUAAGCAACCGUCCUUGAAAAUCAUAUUUUCAGGUAAAAGCGGUUCUCUUAAACAAACCUUUCUUAAUAGUAGAUAUAUUUUAGUGAUGGUUUAUUUAAUAGAACCACCUCUAAAAAUGUUUUUUUUUCUAGAGAUGGUUUAUAAGCUAAGGUGCUUUCAUGGAUAGUUACAAACGGAUUGCUAAGUAAACCAUCCUUGAAAGAAAUAAUACGCGUGCAUAAAAAAUAUUUCCGUACUACAAUAAAGAUUAUGUUUUGAAUAAAAGAUGCGGAGCCUGAUCGGUUUGUGGCUAAAAUUUGCUAUACCAAGGAUUUGGCAAGCCAAAGUUAGGUAAAAAUAUUGCUAUGAGUUUGGCAAGCUAAAUGUGAGUAUAAGUUUUGAUAGCAAACCAAACAUCAAAAUGAUGGCUCGCCAGAUCUUCUGGCUUAGCAUAUUUUGGGAAUCAACCAAUCAGACCCGCAAUAUGCAGCAUAAGAGCAUCUCCAAAGGCUUUGACAAAUUGACUUGACAUUUGUUAUUGUUUGCAAACUUCCAUAACAAAAUACAAAGGAUAAAAAUAGGUCAUCUCCAAGGGAAUUGACAUUUGGACUUGGCAAAGGAGAAAAAUAAGAGGUCUCCAGGCGCGCGCGCUUUCCUUGCGUGUGACUUUGCACGCGCGAUCAGGUUUGCAAAACCGUCUACAACUUGGCAUUUUUGCCAAGUUUGCUCCCUCAUUUGCCAAUUUGCCCAAAUUGCAAACUCCAAAUGUAAAACCGUUGGAUAUCCCUUUUAGAGCUAUUUGACAAAUUACUCAAAUGCAAACCUCAAAUGCAAAACCCUUGAAGAUGCUCUAAGAGUUUGGACUUAACAUCAUUCUAGUAAAAAAUAUAGCAAUUAAUAAGAUAAAAGAAAUUGAACCCGCACGAUCCUAUGAUUAUAUAUUUUUUUAGAUAAAAAAUAGUAUAUAUCCAACUUUAUUUAUCAACGAUAGAAUUAGACUAAUUAUUCCAACAUUCCACCCGUAGGCAACUAAAGCACUCAUAAAUUACACGCCUGUCUUAAUUAAUUGUUAUACUCGCUUAGUUGCGACCUUGAGCAUGCCCCACAUUCGUGGGCGAUGGAUAAUGGUUUGUAGUCUUUUUCCAUAAUUUAUGGUUGCGGUGAAUGUCUUUUACACUUACACGUUUACCGAUAAGAUAAAAAAUAUGUACUUUACACUUUCACAGAGACGCAUAUUUAUUUCUUUUUAGGAUUCGGUAGGUAUGAAAUAGCAAAAAGGGUAGAACUCGUUAAAAGCGUGGGUUUGCGGGCCACUUGCCAUUUGGAUUUGGCACAAAAUCUUUCAUGGCGAUUGGCGGACCGUGUUAAGGUCAUGUUUGACUAUACUCAGCUAUUGUAUUGUAACAUCCAAAAAUUUUAUUUAUUUAAAAUAGAUGAAUUGAAUUUAAAUGAAUUAUUUUGUGAGCAUUUUAAUGUAGGAAAAUAAUAAAUUUUGGGAGAAUAAAAUUAAAUAUAAGUUUAGGCUAAUAUUUUUGUUGCAUACAUGCUGGUGCACUUCUUUUAUGUGAUGAGUGGUCUUUGAACAAAGGAAUUUGAAUUCAAUUUCAUUUGGAAAAGAGUUGAAAAUUUUGUUUGGAAAAAUAAAAAGGAAAAAAGCCUUCUCUUCCCCCCAUUCCUCCUUUCGCCCAUUUUGGCCCAAACCCCCGCGCCCGCCCCUCCUUCCUGGGCCGCGGCCCAGCCGACUUCCCCUCCCUUCCCCCUCUCUCUCUCUAGCGGCUGACGGGUGGGGCCCACCCGUCAGGUUCAUCCCCUCCCCCAAACCGCCGCCCGAUUUCCUCUCUCUGUUGAAACCGCCGAAGCCGCACUCCGCUCCCACGUUCUCCAGCUUCCCCCGCGCCUCGGUCUUCAAGUUGGAGAGCCCCUCGCGCACCCGAGCACUCCCCCUCCCCCAUUCUCUCUUCUCCUUGCCCGUGCCCCGCUCGUUUCUGCGCAGAGAACCGUCGCCGGGAAGUUCUUCGUCGGCCGCGCGUAGGCCGCCGUUCCGAGCCGUUUUCGCCCCGAUUUCGCGCUGUGGUGAGCUCCGUCUCCUUCCCCACUCCCUCCCCGUCCUGUUUCCGAGCGAAUCGAGGCCCGCUAGCGCCCUAGCCGCGCUCGUCGGAGCAGUUAUCCGCCGGCGGCCAUGGCGCGGCCGCUCGGGCGUUUCUCCGGCCGCGUCCUAGCCCGGGGCGUGAUCCCCUCGCCCUCCUCUCUCUCUGGGAGUUUUCGGUUUGGAAAACCGAGCUCCGUAGCGCUCUGCAGGACUUCGCCGGCAAGCUCGGGCCGGCCGUCAAUGGCGGCGCCGCCGCGCCCUCCCUCCCCUCCGGCCGGCGCGCCCUCUCCUCUCUCCCUCUGUUUUCUUUCUUUUAAUCUCGCGCGUCCGUUUCCAAUCGGACGGCCGAGAAGAGCCCGUACCCUUUCGGGGGUAGUUUUGUUAAAGAAACCCCAACUUUUUGCUAAUCACGCCCACAGUCCUUAGCGCAUUUCGUAAAUUACGCUUUGUCUUUUAGAAAGCGUAUUAUCUGUCGGUUAGGUCAAAAUACGCUUUCAGGAAAUUACAGAAUUGCCACUGAACUUGUUUUAGCCACAAAAUAUUCGUUAUAGCUCCGAUUUGACCCGUUCGAAUUGCGUUAGAUUCGUAAUUAAAUUCUCUACAUGUUAGUACUACUGUUUCUGUAGUUUGCAACUUUUUAUUUUCAGGGUUAGGUUUAAUUAAUUAAAUGCCUAUAGGAAAUCACCGUAAAUUCGUAACUUGCUCGUUUUAGCUUCGAUUUUCGUGAUCUUCGUAUCUAUGUGAUCGUGGCGUAACGUAGGUUCUAUUUUUAAAUAUUUUAUUUCAUUUUGAUCUGUUGGUGUACUGUUCUAACUAAAGAAUUGUUUGCUUGUAUGAUUGAACUUGGAAUGCGUGUUGUUGUGUGGUACCGAUCGAGCGCAGACGGUGACGUGUCCGUGGGUGAUCCAUUUUACUCCGAGGAGAAGCAGGACCAGCAGUAGUUCCUCUUCACCGAAGGCAAGUAUAACAUGGGUUUCCCUUGUACACCUAUUCACUUAAUUAAUUACGUAUCUGCAUGUGUCUAAUUUUGAAAACCCUAAGGACAUCCUAGCUACCUGACUAUAAAUUUAUGACACCUAUGGGUAGUAUGCAUGUGGGUAGCUUUGCUAGUGCUUUAAUUAAUUGAGACUUUACUAUCACUCUGACUUUAAUAAAUUUGAUGACAAAUGUUGAGAAAAGGGCUAUGGUGCAAUUGACUUCGGUCAGGUUGACCUAGACCCUCCGUAAGGACUUCUCUGUAAGCGACUAUCCGGGACUUACAGUGCAACCGUGAUGGUUAUAUGGCUCUAACUUUAGCUCAGUACUAGGAUCUCAUCUAGCUGGUUAGAGGUUACCCGAAAGGGCGCAAGAGGGGCUUGCCACUUUGGGUAUAGAACUGCUUCUGUUCCUAUGUGUAUAGCCGUGAUGGAAAUAUGCCAUAGGAAAGGGGUUCUCUAUAUCUGCCUGCCGAGGAAACCUCGCGGCCCUAACUAGUUAGACGAGGCCUAUGGAAGGCUUCAUAGUGUUCCUUGCCCGCUCACCUUGGCAGUGUUAGUGGGUCUUGCAAACCCCGGGCAUAUGGGUAACAUGACUUACGGGAAAAGUGCACACCUCUGCGCAGAGUUUGAUCAAACUAGUAUACUAGCCGUUCUCUCGGACAUGAGCGGCCUUGGACCCUUACAGAAUAGUUGGGUGUGGUUGGUUAUGGGGGAAUGACUUAUGAAAAUCUGACGCAUUGAUCGUGAAGAUUAAUGUGGUUUAACCGUGAUGGUGAUGGUGUUAGCCGUGAAGUUUAACGGUGUUAUUAUCAUGUACUCAAUUGGGCUAAUCGAGAGCUUAAGCAUGAUUAAAUAGGAAUAAAACAUUGACCAAUUAAAAUGCUAACUGCAGUAGCCAGUGUCUGACCUUUUUUGAGCCACAUAAAAUCCUAUGUUAUGCUUGCGGAGUACGAGAUGUACUCACGCUUGUCUCUUUAUUUCUUUUUGGACAAAAAUCCCGGAUGGGUAACAGAUGAAAGCUACUAUGAAGAUUUCCCUGAGGACUUCUAGGUUGGCGAUCCACCCGUCGGUCGUCCCUGUGAUUGGAGCUACCAAGCUUAGAUAGUUAUGUGUUUUAUUUCCGUUUGUCGCAGACUUUGAUAUAUUUGUGUUGUAAUAACGUUAUGUAAGACACUUGUGAUGAUACAUUUGUAAUUUUUCGACUUGUGUGCGCGACUAUUCCUGGGGCGCACAUGAGAUUAUUGUACUUAAAUUUAUCCUUAAAUUUGGGUGUGACAAAUUGGUAUCAAAGCAAGGCUGACUGUAGGACGCAAACCUAGGUAGAAACAGUCGAUUUUAGGGUUUUUACUUUCGCUUUAUUUAUUUCACUGCUUACUUUACUUUCUUGUUAUUUUAUUAAAAUUAUAUAUUCUUACCCACUGUUCUAUUUAUGUAAACAUAUUGAUUCUAAUUCUUAAAAUAAAAUUUAUAGAUGCCUCGUCGCAGCGCAGCCGCGUACCGUGCCCUCUUCACCGCCGCCCGUGCUCCGCCAGUUGCACCAGCACCAGCACCAGUACCUGCACCUGCCCCAGCACCUAUACCUGAGCCCGAGGUCGUCGCCUCUGGUGGCGGCGAGGAGGAGGAGCCUAUGGACACGGGGUCUCCUACGCCUACACCUUCAGCGCCUACUUCGGUGGAGGUAUCGAUCCCGCAGGCCGCCGCUCCAGCACCACCUGCACCUGCACCACCUGCGCCUGCACCCCACGCGUCGACGGGUUCAGCGUCGACGCCUCAGUACCCACAGGUUGUCCUAGAGAUGGGAUGGACCUCUAGGAACAAGUUCAUAGAGGUUGACGAGGACGCUCACUACCACACUCUGCUCACGGGUGUGUUGACGAGCUACUACCCGGAGUUUGCUGCCACCGUCCUCUACCUUUGCUCGGAGCACAAGCACCCGUUGGAGAACACCUACUGGAAGGCCGAGGUGAUCAUCACAGCUCGGAACAACAUCGACAACUCGGAUGAGGUGGAGUCCAUCUAUGAGAGCAGGGUUAGGCGUGCUUCCGCCUACGAGAGCAUGGAGGAUGCAGCCCAAGCUGCGUACUUUCACUACCAUGGCCGUCGUUUUGAGGCCAUGCUGGAGGAUAGGUACCGGUUUCUUCCCCGCAACGACCCAGAUGGCAGGACAUGACAUGUCCUGGCACCUCCUGCUGGUGACCCUACCCUGGAUAUGACUGUGAGACACGUUAGUGCCAUUCAGAAGAUGAAUGUGGCACUGAGGCAGGAGCUGCGUGUUACACAGCAGGCGGGGAAGUGCCUCCAGCGCCAGGUGGAUGAGCUGCGUGGUCAGUUUGGACAGCCACCCAUCUAUAAGAAGAAGCCCCGCAAGUUCGUUCUGCAGGAUAGAGCUCCCUAGAUUUCCCAGUACCUUCUAGUUAGACGUUAGCACGAGUAUUUCAGUAAUGUGUGGCAUGUGAACUUUAGUGUGUUGCUGUUUGUGAUGAUGAACAAUUAUGAUUUGGAGUUUUUUUUGAUUGUAGAAACAUGUGGGCCUGUCCGCAUAUUUCUAAAGUUUAAUUCUAGUAGUAAACGAUGUUUAAUGUGAUGUUGGGUUACUUUAUCUUUGUCUCAGUCAUGCUGAUUCUGGAGCAGUCUGUGAUGUUUAUUCUGUAUUUCAUUAUUGGUUGAGUCGAAAAUUACGAAAUUUUUAUGGUGAAAACUAGACUGGCAUAUCUUUGAUCUCCAACUGGAGUCACCUCAUUAUCUGUUAGGGUCUAUGAGAUAUGUCCGAUUUAAUCUGCUGUACCUGCGCAGACUGAGAACUAGAGCAGAACCUGAUAAACCAUAAUUUUGAUUAUGUUACUGUUGGAAUCAGUAAAUGUGGUCUGAAUAAAGUUUGUAGAGAAUUUCUUAACCUUUCCAGCGAUGUAUACCAUGUUCCUAUUGGAUCUCUAGAUUCUGAGAUAAUCAUGGAUUACUGACCUGCUGAGUUUGAAACUUGUCCAUAAAACUGCUAGUCUUGUUUUUAUUCAUUAUAAGCGAUGAAUAAUUAUUUUGGAAGAUCAAUAAAAGCCGUGAAUCUUUGUUGGAAGCAGAUGGAUGCCGAAGGAGCAGACGCUGGUCAUGGACGUGGCCGUGGCCGUGGCCGUGGACGUGGUGUACCUGAGAAUCCACCACCACCACCGCCGCCUAUGACUAUUGAGCAGCUUAUGGGUAUGCAAGCUAAUCUGAUGCAAGCCAUGAUGAACCGUAUGAACAAUGAACCAGUAGCUGUACCACCGCCGGUUCAAGUCCGUGACAAGCGUGGGGAGUUUUUGAAGGGACGUCCCCCGGUGUUCACCCAUGCCUCUGAUCCACUGGAGGCAGACGACUGGUUAAAAGCAGUCGAGAAGCUGCUGGACAUAGCCCAAUGCAGCAACUUGGAGAAAGUGUUGUACGUCUCAGGCUAGCUGCAAGGACCUGCACAGGAGUGGUGGGAGUCCUAUCAGUAUGGACGCCCGAACAAUGCUCCACCAGUCACCUGGAAGGAGUUUACUGAAGGGUUCAGGUCCCAUCAUAUUCCAGAGGGCCUGAUAGAACUGAAAGCGGAAGAGUUCCGGUCUCUCAAGCAGGGAUCGAUGUCAGUCAGUGAGUAUCGUGACAAGUUUGCAGAGCUGUCACGAUAUGCUCCAUAUGAGGUGGCCAGGGACUCUGACAAGCAGCGCCUCUUCCUGAAGGGUUUGUAUGAUAGACUGCAGCUGCAGCUGAUGAGCAACAUCUACCCUUGUUUUCAAGAAUUGGUGAACCACGCUAUUGUCAUCGACAACAAGCGCAAGGAGAUGGAUGCAAAGAAGAGAAAGCUCCAGGGGCAGCCGUCGGGCAGCAACACUCGCCCACGUGCGUACCCUCAGCAGGGAUUCCCUCAGCGCAGUCAAGGACCGCUGAAUCAGUGGAACCGUGGUCAGUUUCCACAGUGUCCCCAGUACCACUAGCAGCACAGCCACCAAAACCAACAACGUCUCCAGCAGCAGUAUGGCAAUCAGAGUCAGCAACGCCCCCAGCAACAGGUCAACAACCAAGCACCACGCCAAGGAGGGCCCAACAAUGCUCCUGGCAAGAGUGCAGCACCCAGCGGCAAUCCCAAUGCCUGCUACUGCUGCGGAGAGGUGGGACACUAUGCAUACCAGUGCCCCAAGAAGCAGAAUCCACCAGCCCAGCAAAACCAGAACAACAAUCAGAGGCCUACUCGACCUCCAUUGUCGGGAAGAGUGAACUAUGUGUGCACUGACACAGCUCAGGAAGCACCUGAGGUUAUGAUGGGUACGUUCAACAUCAACUCCAUCCCCGCUACAGUACUGUUCAAUUCUGGUGCUUCACAUUCUUUUAUCUCCCAAGCUUUUGUUAGAGUGCAUAGCAUCCCACUUUGCACACUGAAAAAUUCUAUGCUAGUAAAUUCACCGGGAGGUAACAUGCCAGCUAAUUACUGGAGCCCCUCCACUAGUAUAUCUCUAAGGGGGAUAGAUUUCAAGGUGAAACCUAUUGUGCUAAGAACCAUGGGAAUUGACCUCAUACUUGGAAUGGAUUGGAUGAAGCAGCAUGGGGCAGUAAUUCAGUGUCAGGAGAAGUCUGUGGUGGUGACAUCACCAGGUGGGGACAGAAUAAGUGUGGAUGUGGUAGUGCAACCUCAGCCGACUGCUACAAUGAAUCAGAUGAGUGGUGCUAAUCAAGAAGACCAAGUGGUGGACGAGUUCCCAGAUGUGUUCCCGGACGAGUUGCCAGGUAUGCCACCAGACCGAGACAUUGAAUUUCUUAUUGAGCUUUUACCUGGAACUGCACCCAUAGCAAAAAGACCAUAUAGAAUGGGGGUAAAUGAAUUAGAGGAACUUAAGAAACAGCUUAAGGAAUUGCAAGAAAAAGGGUUUAUCCGUCCUAGUUCUUCACCCUGGGGUGCACCAGUAAUCUUUGUUGAUAAGAAAGAUGGCACUAGGAGGAUGUGUGUGGAUUAUCGGUCAUUAAAUGAAGUCACUAUUAAAAAUAAAUACCCACUGCCUAGAAUAGAUGACUUAUUUGACCAACUGAAAGAAGCAUGUGUGUUCUCCAAAAUUGACCUCCGAUCUGGCUACCACCAGUUGAAAAUCCGUGCAACUGACAUACCUAAGACAACUUUUACCACAAGGUAUGGCUUGUAUGAGUAUACAGUCAUGUCAUUUGGGCUGACCAAUGCACCUGCAUACUUCAUGUAUAUGAUGAACAAGGUGUUCAUGGAGUAUUUGGAUAAGUUCGUGGUAGUAUUCAUUGAUGAUAUAUUAAUCUUCUCCAAAACAAAAGAAGAACAUGCUGAACAUUUGAGAUUGGUCUUGCAAAAGCUUAGAGAGAAUAAAUUGUAUGCCAAGAAAAGCAAGUGUGAGUUUUGGUUGGAUGAGGUCUCAUUUUUGGGACAUGUGGUCUCCAACAGUGGAAUAGCCGUAGACCCCAGCAAAGUGCAAGAUGUGCUGAAUUCGAAGCCUCCAACCAAUGCUAGUGAGAUCCGUAGCUUUCUCAGACUAGCUGGGUAUUAUAGGAGGUUUAUUGAAGGAUUCUCUAAGUUAGCAAAACCCAUGACAGCCCUACUAGAGAAGAGUGCCAAAUUUAUUUGGUCAGAUAAGUGCCAAGAGAAUUUUGAGGAGCUAAAGAAAAGGUUGACCACAGCUCCAGUGUUGACCUUACCAGAUCUGAGUAAAACCUUCUCUAUUUAUUGCGAUGCAUCUCGCCUAGGCCUUGGAUGUGUGCUUAUGCAAGAAGGAAGAGUAGUGGCCUAUGCAUCCAGGCAGUUGAGAAAACAUGAGCUGAAUUAUCCUACUCAUGAUUUGGAGCUAGCUGCCGUGGUUCAUGCUCUAAAGAUUUGGAGGCAUUAUUUAAUUGGACACAAGUGUGAUAUUUAUACGGAUCACAAAAGUUUGAAGUAUAUUUUCACACAGUCGGAUCUGAACCUAAGGCAACACCGCUGGCUAGAAUUAAUAAAGGAUUAUGACCUGGAAGUGCAUUACCAUCCCGGGAAGGCAAACGUUGUUGCCGAUGCACUUAGCCGAAAGAGCUAUGCCAAUGGGCUGCAAUUGACCUUCAUUCCCACAGAGUUGCUAGCUGAAAUUGAGCAUCUCAAUUUGGGUUUAGUGAACAAUACUGUUGAAUUGGAGUUAGAGCCCACCCUAGAGCAAGAAAUCCGCAAAGGUCAGUUGGAGGAUGAGAAAUUAAAAGAAAUUUCAGAGAAUGUAGUGCUUGGAAAAGCACCAGGUUUCAGGUUGGAUGAAAAUGGUACACUAUGGUUUGGGAAGAGGAUAUGUGUGCCUGAAGUAAAAUCCAUCCGAGAUGCAAUCCUACGUGAAGCACAUGACUCUGCAUAUUCAAUUCACCCCGGAAGCACCAAGAUGUAUCUAGAUCUUAAAGAAAAAUAUUGGUGGUAUGGAUUAAAGAGAGAUGUGGCAGAGUAUGUAGCCAUUUGUGAUACUUGUCAAAGGGUGAAAGCCGCGCACCAAAGACCUGCAGGGUUGUUGCAACCAAUGCAAGUGCCUGAAUGGAAAUGGGAAGAAGUAGGUAUGGAUUUCAUCACGGGAUUGCCCCGCACUCAGCGUGGGUUUGAUUCAAUUUGGGUAAUAGUGGAUCAACUCACUAAAGUUGCUCACUUUUUGCCCGUUAAGACCAACUAUGAUGGUGCAAAGUUGGCAAAAUUAUAUAUGGAUAGAAUCGUGAGUCUGCACGGAGUUCCGAAGAAGAUCGUGUCUGAUCGGGGUACACAGUUCACAUCACAGUUUUGGCAUAAAGUACAUGAAUCGCUGGGAACAAAGUUGAACUUUAGUUCCGCGUAUCAUCCCCAAACCGAUGGGCAGACUGAAAGAGUUAAUCAGAUUCUAGAAGACAUGUUGAGUGCAUGUGCGUUACAUGAUGUUACCAGUUGGGACACUAGUUUACCAUAUGCUGAAUUUUCAUAUAAUAAUAGUUACCAGAAAAGUCUCGAUAUGGCACCGUUUGAAGCAUUGUAUGGGCGGAAAUGUAGAACACCUUUGUUUUGGAAUCAAACUGGUGAGAGUCAAGUAUUUGGACCAGAUGUUCUUAGUGAUGCAGAGGCACAAGUACGGAAAAUACGGGACAACUUGAGAGUAGCCCAGUCUCGACAAAAGAGUUAUGCUGAUACUAGAAGAAGAGAUUUGGCAUUCGAGAUAGGUGACUAUGUGUAUUUGAAGGUGUCACCUAUGAGAAGUGUCAGGAGGUUUAAUAUGAAGGGUAAAUUGGCACCAAGGUACGUUGGACCGUUCAGAAUUCUUAGGAGACGUGGAGAAGUGGCCUAUCAGUUAGAGUUGCCUGCGAGUAUGUCGGGUAUUCACGAUGUGUUCUAUGUGUCACAACUAAAGAAAUGUUUGCGAGUGCCUGAGGAACAAAUUCCAUUGGAGGAACUCACAGUUGAAGGAGAUCUAACUUAUGAGGAAUAUCCAAUCAAGAUCUUAGAAACAACGGAAAGAGUCACCCGAAGUCAGGUUAUAAAGAUGUGCAAAGUGCAGUGGCACCGAUAUAAACAAGAAGAAGUCACUUGGGAAAGAGAAGAUGAGCUGAGACAAUCUUAUCCGUAUCUCUUUGAGUAAGCACCGUCUCAAUCUCGAGGACGAUAUUAUUUUUAAGGGGGGUAGAAUUGUAACACCCAAAAAUUUUAUUUAUUUAAAAUAGAUGAAUUGAAUUUAAAUGAAUUAUUUUGUGAGCAUUUCAAUGUAGGAAAAUAAUAAAUUUUGGGAGAAUAAAAUUAAAUAUAAGUUUAGGCUAAUAUUUUUGUUGCAUACAUGCUAGUGCACUUCUUUUAUGUGAUGAGUGGUCUUUGAACAAAGGAAUUUGAAUUCAAUUUCAUUUGGAAAAGAGUUGAAAAAUUUGUUUGGAAAAAUAAAAAGGAAAAAGCUUUCUCUUCCCCCCAGUCCUCCUUUCGGCCAUUUUGGCCCAAACCCCCGCGCCCCGCGCCUCCUUCCUGGGCUGCGGCCCAGCCGACUCCCCCUCCCUUCCCCCCUCUCUCUCUAGCGGCUGACGGGUGGGGCCCACCCAUCAGGUUCAUCCCCUCCCCCAAACCGCUGCCCGAUUUCCUCUCUCUCACUUGAAACCGCCGAAGCCGCACUCCGCUCCCACGUUCUCCAGCUUCCCCCGCGCCUCGGUCUUCAAGUUGGAGAGCCCCUCGCGCACCCGAGCACUCCCCCUCCCCCAUUCUCUCUUCUCCUUGCCCGUGCCCCGCUCGUUUCUGUGCAGAGAACCGUCGCCGGGAAGUUCUUCGUCGACCGCGCGUAGGCCGCCGUUCCGGGCCGUUUUCGCCCCGAUUUCGCGCUGUGGUGAGCUCCAUCUUCUUCCCCACUCCCUCCCCGUCCUGUUUCCGAGCGAAUCGAGGCCCGCUAGCGCCCUAGCCGCGCUCGCCGGAGCAGUUAUCCGCCGGCGGCCAUGGCGCGGCCGCUCGGGCGUUUCUCCGGCCGCGUCCUAGCCCGGGGCGUGAUCCCCUCGCCCUCCUCUCUCUCUGGGAGUUUUCGGUUUGGAAAACCGAGCUCCGUAGCGCUCUGCAGGACUUCGCCGGCGAGCUUGGGCCGGCCGUCAAUGGCGGCGCCGCCGCGCCCUCCAUCCCCUCCGGCCGGCGCGCCCUCUCCUCUCUCCCUGUGUUUUCUUUCUUUUAAUCUCGCGCGUCCGUUUCCAAUUGGACGGCCGAGAAGAGCCCGUACCCUUUCGGGGGUAGUUUUGUUAAAGAAACCCCCAACUUUUUGCUAAUCACGCCCGCAGUCCUUAGCGCAUUUCGUAAAUUACGCUUUGUCUUUUAGAAAGCGUAUUAUCUGUCGGUUAGGUCAAAAUACGCUUUCAGGAAAUUACAGAAUUGCCACUGAACUUGUUUUAGCCAUAAAAUAUUCGUUAUAGCUCCGAUUUGACCCGUUCGAAUUGCGUUAGAUUCGUAAUUAAAUUAUCUACAUGUUAGUACUACUGUUUCUGUAGUUUGCAACCUUUUAUUUUCAGGGUUAGGUUUAAUUAACUAAAUGCCUAUUGGAAAUCACCGUAAAUUCGUAACUUGGUCGUUUUAGCUCCGAUUUUUGUGAUCUUCGUUUCUAUGUGAUCGUAGCGUAACGUAGGUUCUGUUUUUAAAUAUUUUAUUUCAUUUUGAUCUGUUGGUGUACUGUUCUAACUAAAGAAUUGUUUGCUUGUAUGAUUGAACUUGGAAUGUGUGUUGUUGUGUGGUACCGAUCGAGCGCAGACGGUGACGUGUCCGUGGGUGAUCCAUUUUACUCCGAGGAGCAGCAGGACCAGCAGCAGUUCCUCUUCACCGAAGGCAAGUAUAACAUGGGUUUCCCUUGUACACCUAUUCACUUAAUUAAUUACGCAUAUGCAUGUGUCUAAUUUCGAAAACCCUAAGGACAUCCUAGCUACCUGACUAUAAAUUUAUGACACCUAUGGGUAGUAUGCAUGUGGGUAGCUUUGCUAGUGCUUUAAUUAAUUGAGACUUUACUAUCACUCUGACUUUAAUAAAUUUGAUGACAAAUGUUGAGAAAAGGGCUAUGGUGCAAUUGACUUCGGUCAGGUUGACCUAGACCCUCCGUAAGGACUUCUCUGUAAGCGACUAUCCGGGACUUACAGUGCAACCGUGAUGGUUAUAUGGCUCUAACUUUAGCUCAGUAGUAGGAUCUCAUCUAGCUGGUUAGAGGUUACCCGAAAGGGCGCAAGAGGGGCUUGCCACUUUAGGUAUAGAACUGCUUCUGUUCCUAUAUGUAUAGCCGUGAUGGAAAUGUGCCAUAGGAAAGGGGGUUCUCUAUAUCUGCCUGCCGAGGAAACCUCGCGGCCCUAACUGGUUAGACGAGGCCUAUGGAAGGCUUCAUAGUGUUCCUUGCCCGCUCACCUUGGCAGUGUUAGUGGGUCUUGCAAACCCCGGGCAUAUGGGUAACACGACUUACGGAAAAAGUGCACACCUCUGCGUAGAGUUUGAUCAAACUAGUAUACUAGCCGUGCUCUCGGACAUGAACGGCCUUGGACCCUUACGGAAUAGUUGGGUGUGGUUGGUUAUGGGGGAAUGACUUAUGAAAAUCUGACGCAUUGAUCGUGAAGAUUAAUGUGGUUUAACCGUGAUGGUGAUGGUGUUAGCCGUGAAGGUUAACUGUGUUAUUAUCAUGUACUCAAUUGGGCUAAUCGAGAGCUUAAGCAUAAUUUAUGAUUAAAUAGGAAUAAAACAUUGUUCAAUUAAAAUGCUAACUGCAGUAGCCAGUGUCUGACCUUUUUUGAGCCACAUAAAAUCCUAUGUUAUGUACUCUCGCUUGUCUCUUUAUUUCUUUUUGGACAAAAAUCCCGGAUGGGUAACAGAUGAAAGCUACUAUGAAGAUUUCCCUAAGGACUUCUAGGUUGGCGAUCCACCAGUCGGUCGUCCCUGUGAUUGGAGCUACCAAGGUUAGAUAGUUAUGUGUUUAUUUCCGUUUGUCGCAGACUUUGAUAUAUUUGUGUUGUAAUAACGUUAUGUAAUACACUUAUGAUGAUACAUUUGUAAUUUGUCGACUUGUGUGCGCUACUAUUCCUGGGACGCACAUGAGAUUAUUGUACUCAAAUUUAUCCUUAAAUUUGGGUGUGACAUGUAUCCAUCUUAUUCUAGAUUAGAAUAAAAUAUUUGUUAAUCUUUCAUCCUAACACAUGUAGAGUGAGAUUGACAUGAGCGUAGCCAAGCAAGUAAAUGUGAAAUGAGGUGGGCGCGCAGAUGAGUCCAAAUUCUCUGGACUAGAUCCUAUUUGUUUCAGCUUCAUGGGAGCUUUUGGAUAUUAGUUUAGUAUCCAUCAAAAACCAAAAAGCUCUGUUAAAAGCUUCUAAAAAACCUAAACAUCGAUGUUUGACGGAUGGAGCUGGGACAUGCUGGUCAUUCAGAAGUGGAGGUUGAUGGAUGAGGUCGCCGUAUAUAGUGCGUCUCUAGUUUCACCACUGUCUCACUCCGGGUCUCUAAUAAUGUGCAACUAGGACGUGCCGUCAAGUACACAUGACGCGCCAAUAUGACAUCAUGCGCAUCAAGUAUACAUAAGUGCAUAACAGAUAAAUAUAUAUUCCAACAAUUUAGUAAUCAUGAAAAAUGUUUCCUCAACGGCUCAUAUAAUGACACUAAUAAUUAAUUUUAAAUAUGUGAUUAUGUACCCAUAACAAUACCUUAUAGGUUGUUAUACUACUUAAUUACAAGUUAUAUACACCCAUUAUUGUGACUAAAAUGCCAUAACAUGACUAUAUCGAUCAAUAGAACACAAAUAAAUUUUAAUAGAUAAAUAAAACUUAACACCUUAAGCAGUAGAGAUGGUUUUUGUAGGUUAAAGGUGGCCAUGGCCUCUCCUAUUUUUUACCAAAGUCAUCAGCAGGGGAAACCCUAACCUAUUUUUUUCAUAAUUUUUUUGUCGGCCUCUCCUUUUUCUUUGACCAAAGUCAUCAGCAGGGGAAAUCCUAACCUAUUUUUUUAUAUUUUUAUUCUAGACCUAUUUAAUUCACUCCCAUGGAGAGUCGAACCUAGGCCUGCUAGAUGCUACUCGGGUGCUCUAACCGCUAGGCUAGAGGCCCUUUCGCCAUGGACUCCCCUAUUGAGAUUUCUUUUAAGCAAAGAGUAAUUACUAGAUUUAAAGAUUAUUAUCAUCUUGAGGUUAGCAUUGCUGAGCUUAUAUAUAGAUCUCAUAUCAAGGUCUAUCUUAGAUCUUGAUUGUAUAUGGACUUUACUAGUCUAGUUGAGGGCAGGGGUGGAUCACAGUUGGGGUUGGCUAAUUUCAAUGGUUUUGGAAUUCCUCUAUAAUGAAGGUCUUGUGUAGUUCUUGAUCUCAACCAUACAUAUAUAACUCAAUCAUCUUUGAAUGCUGACCUUGAUGAUCCAUUUUGCUAGAUUCACCAUUGGUCUAGGUCCUAAAAUCAUAUAUCACACAAUCAUCUUUGAAUGUAGGCCUAGAUGAUCCAUUUUUGCUAGAUUCACCAUUGGCCUAGGACCUAAAAUUCUAACUCUAGUGCUAAAUGAUUUUUUGCUAACGGUCAAAAACAAGCUCCAGGGUCAUUUUGAACAACCGCUACUAUGUCACCGAUUGUAAAAAGGAGUGAUUUCCAGGAGUGGUGUUAAAACGGUUUCUAGAAAUCGAUUUUUACGGGUGAUUUUGAUAAGACAAUCAUCCUUAAAAAUAAAUUUUCGGGAACCAACCCUAAAAUUAAUUUUAAUUUUUUUAAAUUCAUUUAGAAGUCUAUCAAAAUUAACCAAAAAAAUAUUUUUAAUGUGGCCAAAAGGAUCAAUCACAGCUUAACCGAAUUAGGUUUUGCUAGUUUUGAAAGGAUUGAACCCACAACUCUCGCGCUCGCGUAUUGUACCUCCUACCACCACAUCACACAGUCAAUUCUAACUAGUUCUAUGGUGCUAUCUAUUUUUUUUUACUAAAAUGUACAAAUCUUGUAGUCAAUAUUUUGACUCGUAAACAAUUUUAAAUGUACAAAGUUUUAGAUCUCAUCCAACACUAUUACACUACAACUUUAAUAUAGGACAUUUCUCCACUCAAGGUCAUUAAAAAUUCAAAAAAUUUAAAAUUUGAAAUCUAAGAACUUAAUAAAUAUAUAUAUAUAUAUAUCUAACCCUUAAACCAUCUUGAAUAAAAAUUUUAUCAACUAAACUUUUAGAUCUCGUCAACCUCUGUAAUUUUGAUAUAAAUUUUGUCUUCAUCCAACUUUAUUUUAAAAAAAUUAUAAAUUUAUUUAUGCUCUAGCUAUUUUUAAGACAACCGUAUUUGAGAAUCGAUUUCUAGGGGUGGUUGACUUAAGUCAACCAUCUCUACAAAUCACUUAUUUUGAGAUCAUAUUUUUUGGAAGUAGUUCUUUUAACCAAACCGUUCUUAAAGGUAGAUAUUUUUUCAAUGAUAGUUUACUUAAUAGAACCAUCCCUAGAAAUGCAGUUUAUAAGCUAAGUGCUUCUUUGGAUAACUACAUAUGGUUUGCUAAGGCCUUGUUUAGUUCCAAAAAAUUUGCAAAAUUUUUUAAAUUUCACGUCACAUCGAAUCUUGUGGCACAUGUAUAGAACAUUAAAUAUAGAUUAAAAAAACUAAUUGCAUAGUUUGUCUGUAAUUUGUGAGACGAAUCUUUUGAGCCUAGGUAGUCCAUGAUUGAAUAAUAUUUAUCAAAUACAAACGAAAGUGCUAUAUUGUCUAUUUUGCAACUUUUUUGCAACUAAACAAGGCCUAAUUAAACCGUCCUUAAAAGAAACAAGAGACGUCCCUAAAAAAUAUUUCUGUACUAGUGUAAAUAAAUACUAAAGAUUAUAUUUUAAAUAAAAGAGCAGCGUAAGAGUUUGGACUUAGCACUAUUCUAGUAAAAAAAAUAUAGCAACUAUUAAGAAAAAGAAAUGGAACAAGUGGAUCGUACGAUAUAUAUAAUAUGCGACUACAGUAAAAAGCACUGCACAAAUUACACGCUCGUUUUCAAUUGUUAUAUUUGCUACUGGUUGCUGGUGGAAUCUGAUCUUCAACAUGCCCCCAGCCCCCCACCCAUCGUGGGCAAAUGCGAUAAUGGUUUGCAGCCUUUUUCUAUAGUUUAUUACCGCUUCGAAAGUUUUUUACACGUGUAGAUGACUUAAAAAAUUGUGUUCUUUACACUUUCACAGAGCGCAUACUUAUUUUCUUUAGGAUUCGGUAGGGACGGAAUGGCGAAAAGGGUAGAAGCGUGGCUUUAGCCUAGGCCUUGUUUAGUUCUGAAAAAUUUUAGGAAAUCGACACUGUAGCACUUUUGUUUGUAUUUGAUAAAUAUUAUCUAAUUAUAAACUAACUAGACUCAAAAGAUUCGUCUCGUCAAUUUCGACUAAACUGUGCAAUUAGUUUUUAUUUUCGUCUAUAUUUAAUACUUCAUGCAUGCGUCUAAAGAUUUGAUGUGACGAGGAAUGUGAAAAAUUUUGCAAAAUUUUCUGGGAACUAAACAAGGCCCUACUUUUGCCAUUUGGAUUUGCCAUUUACUGAGGUCUUGUCUGACCAUAGUCCGAAAUGUUUUUGGAUUUCGCUAUAGUGUAGCACUUUCGUUUAUUUAUGGUAAAUAUUGUUUAAUUAUGGACUAACUAGGAUCAAAAGAUUCAUCUCGUGAUUUAUAGACAAACUGUGUAAUUAGUUUUUGUUUUCGUGUAUAUUUAAUACUUCAUGCAUGUACCGAAAGAUUCGAUGUGACGAGAAAUCUUGAAAACUUUUUGGUAGAAACUAAACAAUGCCUCAGUUAUUAUUCACCUCGUUCUACGUACGUUGAGGUAGACAGUAAUUGAAUAUUUAUUAAUUUUCCAUCCCAAUUCAUCCUAGCACAUGUGUGGUAAAUACGAGCGCAGCCAGGCUUUGUUUACUUAUAAAAUAUUUUGUAAAAUGUGAAUAGUACUAAUUUUAUUUGUAUUUGACAAAUAUUGUCCAACCAUGGACUAACUAGGCUCAAAAGAUUCGUCUCGUCAAUUCCGACCAAACUGUAUAAUUAGUUUUUAUUUUGUCUACAUUUAAUACUUUAUGCAUACGUAUAAAUUUUGUAAAAUUUUUUGGAACUUAACAUUUAACAAGGCCGUAAAGGUCGAUGAUGUUUGACGGAUGGAAUGGAACUGGGACAUGAUGCUGGACGACAUUCAAGUGGAGGUCGAUGGAUGGGCUGAGCCUGAGAGGUCGCCGUAGUGCGUGUGCGUCUCAGUUUCACCACACAUGUCUCACUCCGGGUCUCUGAUAAUAAGGUGCACUAGCACGUGCCGUCCGGCGUGCAUGCAGGCGCACUAGUUAUCGCGCGUCCUCUCUCUUCCGCCCCUUCUGGGCGCUCUCUCACGGUGGAUUGAUAUAUAUUGAUGGUGUUAUUAAAUUUCCGGCACCUCAUGAUUAAGGCCUUCAAUUAGUUUCCAAAAUUGUUCAAGAUUUUCCAUCACAUCAAAUCUUUAGACACAUACAUAAAAUAUUAAAUAUAAAUAAAAAAUAAUUAAUUACAGAGUUUGUAUGUAAUUUAUGAGACGAAUCUUUUGAGCUUAGGUAGUCCAUAAUUGUAUAAUAAUUAUCAAAUACAAACAAAAGUGCUAUAGUAGCUAAAGCCAAAAAUUUUUCCAAACUAAACAAGGCCUAAAUUAAAUCAUAUACUCGACGAGCGGGAGUCGUGAGUGCAAGCAAUUAUUAUUAGAUAUAAAGCACACUAAACUUGAUCCUCGACCGUUAGUAGUGUCUCCACAGAUAAUUCGCACGUUUCUUUCGUUGACAGAUUGAACACACUAGAAAUAACGUAGUACUGGUAUAUAGGCAUUAAUUAUUACUAGUACACUAAACCGAUCAUGAAUUACCAUGCAUUGGUCGUAAAACAACCCUGUUUCAUUGUUGUUUUAGAAAAUCGGCAGCGUAUAUGAUAAGCGACAGUACUAAUAUACAGAGAAAAUUUGUUAUCAUUAUCGGUUUUGGCGUACAACCAGCAGUGUGAUACAUGUACAAAUUAUCACUUCGUUUGCAUUGGUAUAUAUUACGAAUCACACAAACAGUGGUGAUCUGUAUAGAGUACAUCACUAGCGGGUUUGUAGCUUAUGAUUAAGGGCUAGUGAUCGAUAGUACACGGAUGCUGUUCUUUUUUUUCCCCCUAAUACACUACUACAUGGUCGUGUCGUGCCUCACGUAAAGUUUGUAUAUAACCAUAGUUGGUUCAUUCGGUAUCACAGUGUAGUCUGGAUGUGCAGAGAGUAGUCUUUGUCGAAUGGAAGUUAAUAAAGCACGCAUCACUAUCGUUUUAGGAGCACUUGAACUUGGCCAGAAAGCUAGAGCCAUUAGAUAUACUACAUAUUGGAGAUAGUAGAUGAUAGGCACACACACACACACUCCGCCCAAAUGCACGCACGCACGCCGGCCGGUGUCUUUGUCUGCUCGGAAUCAUGUCAUCUUCCGUUGAAGCACGCGGGCUAGCUCUGGCCGCCGGCACGGCAUUCUGGCAGCGGCCGGUCGCCACGGCCGGCCCACGGCGGGCGUUGGCGUGAUGCAUGCGCUCACUGAUCCAAUUCAAUGUUUUCCACAAGUUUUGAUGCGCGCGGCGGCACUUUAUUUAGCGUUUAGGCAAGGUAUGGAAUGGAAUCAUAUACUGUACUACGCAGCACACAUCACAUCGUCGUUGCAGUUGCAUGUACUGUAUGAAGUAUGGCGGAUUCGAGCAAACAAAACAAAACUGAGGACUUGUUUAGUUCACUCUGAAAACCAAAAAGUUUUCAAGGUUCUUCGUCACAUCGAAUCUUGUGGCACAUGCAUGAAAUAUUAAAUAUAGACAAAAAUAAAAACUAAUUACACAGUUUAGCUGUAAAUCACGAGACGAAUCUUUUGAUCCUAGUUAGUCUAUGAUUGGAUAAUAUUUGUCACAAAUAAACGAAAGUGCUACAGAUUCGUCGUCGUCUUUUCUCCCGUCCGGCGCGGCCGGCCGGUGUGCCGACCUGCAGCUCCUACUAUAGGAUAGGAUAUAUAUAGGUCGCGACCUUGUUUAUUUCCAUAAAUUUUUAAGAUUCUCGUUUAAUCAUAUCAAAUUUUUAAACACAUAUGCAUUAAAUACUAAAUAUAAAUAAAAAACUAAUAACACAGUUUGUCUAUAAUUUGCAAGAUGAAUCUUUUGAAUCUAGUUAGUUUAUAAUUAGAUAAUAAUUGUUAAAUACAAACGAAAAUACUGUAGUAGCCGAAUUUUAAAAAAAAAAAUAUUCUCAAACUAAACGAGCCAGCGCUGCUUGCAUGUUCUUAUAUAUCCGGCACAGAUCAUAGCAAGCAACAGGACAAAGAAACAAACGUGUGGUGUUCCCCAGGCAUCUUGCAUAUAUAAUAAGGAAAAAAAAAAAGGAGUGAACACAUAUGUGUAUGUGCAAUGUUCAGUCAUUAUCAGGUAGCGGCAAAUCAGAAAACACCGCCCGUCUCUGUAGCAUACCAGAAGGAGGAGAAUUCGUGGUUUAAUUACUUUCCUUCGUUCUAUGACUUUCGCGCAUGCGCGUACGUACGUACGUCCAGAAAUUGCUCAUAAGGAAUUUGUCUACGAAUUGACACAAAAGAACAAUUAAACUGACGCUUCAUUUGGAAUAUUUCGCGCGCAGAAUAAUGUUGAAGGACGUAACUAAUUGGUUGCGCAUGAAUAAAGCCAUGUGGCGCAACUGGCAAAAUGCCAAGGUACAGCAUAAUGCCCAUGACACUAUCAAAUUAUAAGCACCGAUUAUCGUCUAUGUACGGACAACAGAGAGGAAGAAUCGCUCUGAAGGUCUAAAAACUUACCACAUUAACUCAAGAAAAUAUCAUCAUUCUCAUGUACAUUCUAUAUAUCUUAAUUAUACUUUUAAUCUCGACUAUCAUUCUAUCUUGUCAUGCAUGCAAAAUGUCCAAUUAGCAUCCACUAACGGUUCUGUUCCACCAUGCCAUCCAAAGGGAGCCGAGGAAGACACGCUAGCGGAGCGAGCGGUCCUAGCAUGGAUGGUUGGGAAGGGGGUAGCGAUCCCUAGGCAGGAGUGAGGCUGUCAUGGCAAGGUGUGCAAAGGCUGCUAGGGUGAGCUGUGUGAGGUUGGGCUAUGACUGCAAAUGGAAUGCAAAUAUUGCCGCAAGGGAACGAGUUUGGUCCGGCUAUUGUGAAGGGAAACCUUGGGAUAGUGAUCGAAUAAUUUUGCCAUAGAGCGGUUUCUGGAACCCCAACUUGUGAGCUUCAUAUUAUUUGCAAUAUCAUAUUGUUGUUUGAUCUUGUUUGUGUUCUUCGAUUCACAUACUCCUAUAGAGAUGAAAGAGUGACGGGUAUGUGCAUGGCAGCAGAUAGUCUAUGGACGGCGGCACCCGUGUGAACAAAAGGGUUAACGCAAAAAAGAGAGAGAGUUGUGGGUCAUCAUCUUUUUGUAUUUUAGGUCUUGUUUAGUUCACCCUGAAACCAAAAAGUUUUCAAGAUUAUUCGUCACAUCGAAUCUUUCGGCACAUAUAUGAAGUAUUAAAUAUAGACGAAAAUAAAAACUAAUUGCACAGUUUAACUAUAAAUCACGAGACGCAUCUUUUAAUCCUAGUUAAUCCAUAAUUGGACAAUAUUUGCCACAAACAAACGAAAGUGUUACAGUAGCGAAAUCCAAAAUUUUUUCGCAUCUAAACAAGGCCUUAGGAAGCUAGUAUAGGAAAAUAUUGGAGAGAGAGGGAUAAAUUGCGGUUGCUACUUAUUUAGUUAACUUGUUAAUGCCAUUGGUUUAGUAAUUGAGUUUUACACAGCUCCUUGAGUUGCUCUUGGUUGGACCAAAAAAUCUAACUAAAUUUAUAUAAAAAAUGGAACACCCAUCAAGCCUAUCUCUUGAUGGAAAUCCUAAGUAAGAAAGCACUCGGUGAGCAAGGUUCAAAAAGAUACCUUUCAAACCAACUCCUUCAAAGAGUCCAAGGACAAGCACCCCUAUAUUGUUUUUGCAAUUGUUUUGCCUUUGGGUGAGCUCAACAAAGUAUAGGCUCAGGUUGGAUUUGAUCAAUCGAGGAGGAAGAAAGGUUAUAGAGGGUAUUUUUUGGCGGUGAUUUACUUAAGCCAACUGUCUCCAGAAAUCUCCUAUUUCUUGGGAUUGUUGGCUUAAGUGAACUAAACUUGGAAAAUAUAGUUUUUAGGGUAAAAGUGAAUACAUUUCUAGGGGUGGUUUUCUAAAUAGAAUCAUCUCAAAAAAAAAAAAUUAAGUUCGAGUGCAAUUUGUUGCUACAAUAUUGCACGGUUGGUGGUUUGCUAUGUGAAACUGAAAAGUAGGAGACAAAUGUAAAAAACAUUGUCUACUGGUGAAUGGCAUGAAAAAAAAAACAAGGAGCAGAUAUUCCAAGUUUGUUGCGCGCUAGAAAUAGCUGAUAUGCAGUUAUUUGCUUCUUUUGGAUGGCCACAUACUGUACUUCCUCCGUCCACAAAUAAAUGCACGCCUCAUUUUCCAAAGAGUCAAAUAUUUUAAGGUUUGACAAAAUACAUACAGAAAUAUAAUAAUGUCUAUCAUAUGUAAUAUGUAUCAUAUUAAGUAUAAAAUAUAUUUUUAUAAUAUAAUUAUUUGCAAAUACAAAUAUUAAUAUUAUUUGAUAUAUUUCUAAUCAAGCUGAACGUGCAUUUAUUUAUGAAUAAAGGAAGUAAUUCUGUUUGGUCCAGAAGAAGGUACAAAUAUUUCUUAUCUGACAUGUGCUAGUACGUCAUGAUCUCACAAACUAAAUCACGUACGGAAGCCAACUACUACUCGUCCUGUCCUGUGUCGUCAACGCGUACAGGCGUAUAUAUAGCCACUGCCUAUAAAACAAUUCGUCUGCACUCUGCAGGGUCAUCAGUCAACGGUCAGUCCACUGCUGAGGCAAAAUUAAAGGCUGCUCAACCAAGAGAGUACAAACAGAGGCCUCUAACCUGUGUGAUUUUUCGAUCGUAAUACUAUACGUGUGUGUUUUGUCAGUGGUACAUGCAGCUCGGGCGGUGCAGUGGGAUAAACGCGCAGGCAGACUCUCAUCAGCUAGCUAGGUAGCCAAACCACCACCAAGUGGCCUAUCAGAUCGAGAGUCUCUCGGCAGACCAACGUGCCGACGACACCCGACAGCGAGACCUACCAUUUCCCCGGCAGCACGCGCAGGCACACAGGCAGUCAAGUUGACAACUCAAGACCACAGGCCAUCAUCAUUCAUAAUAAUCAAAUUUGUUGGGAUAAACUUCCUCCGUCUCAAAAAUACCGUUGUUAUUGACUUUCAGACAUCUUGUUUGACCAUCCGUCUUAUUUCAACUUUCUUAUAGAUAUCAUUUAUUUUAAUAUGAUUUAUUUGAUCAUUAGAGAUACUUUAAUAAUGAUCUAUCUAUUUUAUAAUUUGCACAAAAAUUUUGAAUUAGAUGAGCGGUCAAAUAUGAUUGGUCAAAGUCAACAACAAUGGUCUUUUUGAGACGGAGGGAGUAUCUAUCACGCGCAAAACUCACACACGCUUGAGCGAUGAUAGGUUCAUGAUGAAUGGCUCUUUAAUAUACCCCCUCCAUAUCCUAGAAUACUUGACGUUCUAGGAGUAAAAAAAGCUAAAAAAAAAAGCUUGAUGCUUUAGCUGUUGGACUAUAUAGAUUGGGCUAAUAUCUCAGCUUGAGAUUGUUGUAGGUUGCAUGCCUCCAUUCAUUUUUUUAAAGAGGGGUUUAUUCCUCCUUAGUUAGCAUGGUCACCUUUAACAAAUAGAGGUACAUGGGUAAUUUUUGUUGAACAUUAUCCUAAAAAUAAAAAUCAAAAACAUUUUUUUUUUGAGGUGAAGGGAGUACUAUAUAGAUAUAAGGUAUGUUUGGAUUCAUUAGCACUAAAAAUUAGCUAGCUAUUAGCUAAUAGUUGCUAAAUUUUAGCUAUCUAAUUUUUAUUAGUAGGAGGCUGUUUGGAUCCACUUGCUUAUAGGUGGUUGGAUAGUGUGGUAAAGGUGCAAACAGACUAUUAUUAGCACCUAUUAACAACUCCAAACCUGCUAAGGGCACUAACAAUAGUGUAUUAAUGAUAGUUUCUAUUUCUAUUAAUUACUUUGCCAGCUAAGCAAAAAUCUGAUGUGGCAACUUAAUUAAUGAAGAAAGAGAGUAAAAUUUGAUGAAACCGUUUUCUCCGGGAGAAAACACGUCUACUCGUCGACCGAGGAAUGGAGAAAUCGCUAAUUUGGCGUUGGGAGGAAACGCCAUCCGGCAGCGGCCCGCGACAGGACUCUCCUCCGCACGAGCAGCCGCUCGGUGUGCCGCCGUCGCCCAAUCUAUGCCCGCCACGCUGCCGUCCCCGCUGCGCUCGCCAUCUGCACAGGCCCCUCGCCGUCGUCAGCCGGCUGCGUGCGCUCGCUCACUGGCUGCCGUGGCUACUCACCCACGGGCCGUCGCGCAUGCUCGCCCACGUCGCCGUUGUGUCCCAGGCUGCGCUCACCGUCCGCUCAGACAUCGCCCUCCGCGCUCGUCAUCCGCACAAUGCAAGCCGCAUUUGCUGCCGUCGAGCAUCUCGCCGCACGCUUUACCUCCCGUCUCCCGCCACCUCCGAGCUGCAGGCGGGCCUCGCAUCAAGCAGCAACUGGUGGUGCAGCAAUGGCGAUGGUGUAGCACUCUGCACUCGGAGUCCUGAAGUACAAGGAGGCACACCGCGAGGAGCCUUCUUGCGUUCGCUGCUCUGUUCUAAGCUCAUGCCUAACCGCUAGAAGAAAGAGGAUGGAGAGAGAGAGAUAGAAAAAUAAGCAACAUUUAUUAGACAAAGAAACUUGCAUUGUGUGGUAUAAUUUCUAUAGAUGAUUUCUUCCUGAUUUGGCUGUUAUAGAAAUCGUGACUGGUUUCAACCAUUGGGACUGCCCUAAUAUAACUAACAGUUAACAACCCUCUAGCUAAUAACUAGCAUGUUUGUGUGGAUCCAAAAAUAUUAAUUUUCCCAUAGAUGUGCUAAAGAGCUAUCUAUGUGGUGAGGUGUCGUCAGAGGCUGACGGGGUGUUUAGAACUGCUCCACAAAUUCUGCUCCACAAACUCCAUCAUGGAGCAGCUCCAUAAAAAAACUGGAGUUUGUAGAGUAUCUCGGUGCUCUCACAACUUCACACUUUUUUCUCGAACUGAGUGCGUGAAGCUAAAACUGUUUUGGCUAAAAAACAUGAAGCCGAGCUGAAAAACUUGAGGCAGGGCAGUCCCAAACACCCCCUUACUCCUACUUGACAACUUCCCGGCCGUGUCAAUCUAUCGACCUGAUUGUCUAUUACUAUCUUUUAUCCUGUAAGUAAAUUAUCUUUGUGCCUUUCACUUCUCACCUUUGGGGGGACAUCUAGCUAGACGGUGUUCUAGCAGCGUGUUGCGGAAAAAUAAACUUGUGCGCGAAAAUCCAUACAACACACAUAGUCAAAACAAUGAACCGUGUUUUGCUUGACCUCGAUGGGUUACGUGACUAACCACUUCUCUAAACAUUUGAAUAACCGUUUAAAACCAAAAUAUGCUCUGGCUUUAUAUGUGUGAUCCCGCUACACGCCGUAUGACACGACAUUGACCGUAUGAACAAGAAAGUGCAUCCAAUAAUUGAUCAGGACAUGUACUACUCUAUAGUAGUGCACGCAUGCAUGUUCCAAUAGUUCAAUGGCCAAAGACAUCGCUGUCGACGCCAACCAAUGUUCGAUCCGAGCAACUUUUACAAAAAAGUCUUUACGAGAUAGCUCAUAUGAUUGCAGAUGAUCAACUCAAAGCAAAACGCUUUUUGACUUGUCAAGAGGUUAUCAAAGGACAACUAGUGAAGGUGGUAUAUUACCAAGAUACUGAUGAGUAGAUCUCAAUGGACAGAUGAAGAAAACAAUGCCUUCAUUUCCUACAAAAUGCAAAACGUUCACCCGUGCAAGGUUCAACCCUACUAAAGUGUAGUUCCAACCUGUUUGGUGAAGACUGAUGUGCUUCAUCGAUCGUGCAUGGGCAUGUCCAAUGUAAACAUGAUACUAGCUAAUAUAUAUAUAACGUACGGAAGAUCUCAAUAGGAUCCAUCAACUUGUACCACCUUUUUAUUAUGUGUUUGUUCAAAGUACAAAAGCUUAUGCAAUAUGAAUGCGCGCUUAUCCUAUUCGCUUGAACUUAUCAGCAUGGCUUAUCAGCCACUGUACUGUGUUUUUCUCUCAUAAUAAAUCAGCGAACAUUAUAGUUCAGCUGGCUCUAGACAGAUCAACACUACACUUCUGUUUUUCCCAACUCACAUACACAGCUUGUUAUCAGUCUCUUCAUACAUCCAAAUGAGAUAUUGUACAAAACAGACAGCAUGCAUGCCAUCAGCCUUUUCUUCUCAAAAGAUGAUCUGAUAGUUCGUCGUGGUCUAAGAAAACUGCCGCGGCUAAAGUCAUGGAUUAGGUGUGGGAAGGUGCGGACAAGAUUGCAAAGAAAUGGUUUAGAACUUUGCUGUUGAAACGUAGUAGUGUAUAUUAAUUGCUUUUUUGGAAGAAUAGAUGAUGCAACAAGAUCAAAUGGUCAAAAAGGUCAUGGCAACUUGCGUUGCCAUCCUUGCAUCUAUCGUCAAAUAGAUAGCAUAAAUCAAUCAUCAUAUAUGAGUCCUAAAAAAUAUAGAGCCUACAGAAAAGGAGCAAAUAUAUUAUAUGAACUAUGAAGUGAUCAACAAGUGAGAACAAAUAAGGUAGCACCUUAUGGCAUAGUCAUCACAGCUGCAGGUGGUGGUUUCACAUUUCUAGAGGCGGACAACACAAUUUGAUAUAAGUGAACAACAACAAGAACAGGGGCCCUCAUUCAUAGGAGUCGAUCUUGGUGAUACAAGUGUUAUGAAUAAUGUCCGUUCCAUGAGAAAAACAAGAACACAACAAAACUCAAACAGUAACAAGUGCGAUGAUGGCUAAUUAUAAUGUCUUGGGCGUGCAAACCCCGAGACGCAUCCCCUAAUGGGCUCUAAGAAGAACCACAUCCAAACGGACCAAAAGACGGUGUCAUAGCACCCUACAGAUUCUAGAUGCUGAAGCAUUUUGACCAUUCCUGUUGAUUUAGGAUGUAUUUUGCAAACCAAAGCCACUGGUUAGCUUAUAAAAUUAUCUUUCACUGCACAUGUAGAUUAUUCGAAACAGAGUCUAUAUUCAUCUUGGGCGUCCAUUUUACCCCGACUGCUCUUGGACUCCGAGAUGCACUCCAACUUGAGUUAUUAGAUUCAGCCUCCGCUAUGACUUGGAUGACUUGAGCUCCCAUGCUAGUCCCGGUUGUCUCCAUGGCUUACAUCAGUAAACUCCACAAGAUUGGAGGUGGGCUCAUGAAUCCAAGUGAUCUCUACCUCGUCUAUGAUGAAAUCAACUUAGAAACAAUGGUGGAAAUCAAGACUUGUUGUAUUAGUUUGCAAGUUGACCAAUAGUGAGCUGGUGGAGUGGUUAGGGAGGUCCCUCGACCCUAGGGUCUAUAGGGCCCCUCCGCUAGAGGGGGGCUUGGUCCACCUGUCAUCUGGCACUUCUUGGUUUGUUGGAUCAAUUGGUGAUGCGAAGGAUUAUAUGUUUGUGAGUCCUUUGGUCCUUGUGCAAUGCACAUCUGCCAACUAGAGAAAGAACAAACUACUCUAACGGUUGAGAGUGCUUAGAAACAUGUUUCCUCGGUUUCCACCUAGAUUAGGAGCAAGUAGGCCCACUAGUAGGGUCGACCGACCCCAUCUAGGGUGGCCCAACCCUAGGGGUUUGCCCAAAUGGCCCCACUUUGCUUCAUACAUAGAAAAACUCCAUAUACAUGUAGAACUUUGUUAUUUGAAUAAAAUAUGUUCAUGCAAUGCUCAUUUCUUUUUAUUUUAAGGUAUGUUGAUGGUAUUCUCAUGGUGUAAAAAUGUGUCAUAACAAAAAACAAGAACUAUUGUUCACGUGGACAAACUAUAAUGCAGAAUAUGAGGCAACAAUGCUUGGACAUAAAAAAACUUAUGACUUGAGACAAAUGAUGACAAUUUUCAAGACAGAUUAUCAAGUAGUCACCACUUUCAUAAAAAGAGUAUGAAGAAAUACAUCCUAAAUCAGCCAAGUACCUAUACUAUAAGAGUAAUGGAAAAACAUUUUCUUAGGGUUACAACAAAGAGCAUUCCCAGGAUAGACAACAACGAAGUUGACGAUCUAGCAAAUCAACAGGAUAGAAGCUACCAAUCCCACUAGACGUAUUCUAUGAGAUAUCUGGGCACCUAAUUGUAAAAGUGAUGACAAACCAGUAAAUUUUAUCAGCGCAAUCAAUAGCAAAGAUUAGAGAGCACUGUUGAGACUUCUUAGCGCAAUCAUCAAAGAUAGACAAAAAGCCUAGUCCCCGGCAACGACGCUAGAAAACUUGUUGACACUUCUUAGCGCAAUCACCAAAGAUAGACAAAAAGUCUGGUUCCCGGCAACGGCACCAAAAAGCUUAUUGGGUAUUUUAAACGCACACAGAAAAAUCCGCAAGCGCAUGGAUACUGAUUUAGCUGUCAACCCGAAAGUAUUCUAGAGUAUCGAUUUUCACAGGGAACAUGAAAUGUAUUAGAGAAUCAAGGCCGUCCAAAGAUAAAGAUAAGAGAAGAAAUAUAUAUUUUUGGUGGGUGGAGAGGAACCUUCUAGUGUUUUCUAAGUUGAGUGGGUGAUCAAAAUCAGGCUUACUUCACUCUACCUACUAUGGAGCAAUAGUACCUUUCCGACUCUCAGCAGAGACUAGGAAAAAAGUAGUCGAGGGAAGGCUGCCAAAAAGCUCUAUGAAACACCAACCCGAACGUGGUGGAAUACAAAGGCCUGACGGAGCUGUCACCUCUGGGGCUAUCAUAACUAAUUGUGGGAUUAGGCACAAACUCAGGUAAACUCUAGUGUAGACACCACGUCUACACUAGCAUUUACUACUCUAGUUACCUUAAGAAUAACUAGAGCACUCAAUACGAGCAGAGAUCUAGUAAGUAUAAUUAAGCAAGAAUUAAAUAAAAAACUGAACUUAGAAAUAAUAAUUAAAGAACCUGGAGAUUGCUGAGCGACGAACCAGAUGCUGCAAAAGUACAAUAUUGAGGAAGAUCCAACAGAUCUAGCUCCUCCUCAGCUCUCUCCUCCUCUAUCCCUUUAUGACUUGAUGAACUAGACUACAACUAGAUGAACUAGAACUAAAACUAGAAAAACUAUAACUAGAAGAUCUAGAGGAACCUCUACUUCUCUACUUGAUAAUGAAAAUAGACUUCUCUCUUGCUCUACUUCUCUACUUAAUGAAAAUAGACUUCUCUCUUGCCAGAAGGAAAAUAGACUGAAGAGUAGUAUUUAUAAUAAUGGAAUAGGUGGGUAAUUUAGAUUUAAAUUUAGGAGGGUUAGUUUAGGUUGUCAUAAGGGAAAGUUAUGUAAUAUAGAUGUAGAUCUAUGAAUUACUAGAGCAGCUCCAACAACUUGACUAAAAUUAGUUGUUAAAUUCUAUUGUUUAGCCAUUAUAUAAAACAGAAAAACUUCCCAAAAAGAAUCUAUAAUAGUCUUGCUAUUUAACAAAGUCAUAUAACCAGUGCAUGUGGUUGGCCAUAUAUGGUCACCGAAAAACAAAGGAUAGCCAGCUUUCUAUUUUACAAAAUUAGAUAGUACAUCUGUUGGAACCAUUUUUUUAUACAAAUUCUAAAAUAAUCUCAACAAUAACAAUAUCCAAGCUGUUGGAGUUUCUCUUAGGAUAGUUCUUUAUAAUGAUAAAGAUGGGUAAUUUCAUAGAGCAAACAAACCUAGUUAUGACUUAUAUUUAAUGACAAUUAGAGUACAUAGUAUGCAAAAAAUGAUCAUAGCGUUUGUGCAAUGCGGAAUUUCUUUGAUUUAUCUUUUCUUCUCACGUCUAUGGUUCAUUGUCUUGAACUUUUGGCAAAACGUCCUUUUCUCCAAUUAGUAGUUAAUGUUUUUGAAAUGAUGCUUUCGACAUAUAUAUGUUCCUCUUUGUCAAAAAAAUCCUGUCUAUUCCACUAAAGUUAGUGUGUGAGGAAGACCUAUACCGUGACCGAGAUUAUAAAGACAGUCUGUGAUGAGGACCCAUAUCAGUGACAAAAAUGGGACCUGUCUCAAAUGUGAUGACAUGUCUUUAGCGGAGAUCACAUUAGAGACAUGUCUUGUCUACACCUCUAUCAGAUGAGUUGAUAUCGCAUCAUAGACGGUCACAAUGUAGUUUGGUCUCUGAUGAUAGGCAACCGCACCCCCGCCGUCACAUCCAGAAUCAGGGACGUGUAAGAUUGACCUAUCUCUAAUUAGUUAUCAGAGACACAUGUUGUUGAUCCGUCUCAGGUAUAGCAUCUUCUCAUUUCUAACAUAGUUUUGGAUGGUUCACAGACGCAAACUAGCAAUUCCACAUGAUCUCACUCGCACACACAUCCCGUGCACUGCAGAUGAUCAUAACAAGUAAGUGGCAAAAAGUAUAGCAGCUUAUCGCUACCAGCGAAGUUAGGAAUAUAGACCUAAUUUCUUAGAGCUAGAUCCUGCUUAAUCGAACCAACUAAUGGAGCAAUACAGUCGCCAGGUCACCUCGCUCGUUAGUAUUCGGAAAUGGUCCAGCAGAGAUUUGGUGUAGAUGCUCACAGUCCUCUGUCGUUUUUCACGAAUCUCCCUCCACGUUCUCCGAAGCUAACCGCUGAACGGCCGGUAGACCUUGAGGGCAUCGACGACGUCGGCGAUGGAACCGGCGGCGGCGGCAAUGGAGACGAGGAGGCAGGUGACGCUAAGCGUCUGGAGACACAACCACUUGGUGCUGCCCCGCGGAACGCGGCGCUGCUUGAUGUACAUCUCGACGGGGAAGUAGACGGUGAGCGGCCAGAACGAGACGGCGCCGAGGAGCCCCACCACGUCGCCGAAGAACGGCAGCAGCAUGGCCACGACGGUGGUGACGCACACGAACGCCGACCGCCAUGUCAGGCGGAACACGCUGAGCGCGAAGGGGCCCACGCGGAGCUCCCGUGAGAUGAAGGCGCUGUCCGGCCAUGCCGCGGCGGCGCGGCGCUCGACGAAGGCGAAGAUCGGCUGGCAGAACACCUGGUAGGCGCCGACGAGGUGCACGACGA
rnacentral:lncRNA from 1 species